GCAAAAAAACUAUCUGGCUCCACCAAUCUUGUAAAUAUAGGGUAAUUUUGUAAUUGUGGUGAAUUGCUCAGAGUUAAUGGAAUGAAUAUGUGCAUAUAGGAACUAGGAAAUUUGGGCUCUGUUUUCCUCAUUGCAUUAGGUUGUACUCGCCGGCAACAGGUCCAUAUUUGCUUCCUAGCUAGCUACUUCAAUGGCAAUCCACCAGCGCGCUGCCCUAUUGAUUGUGUGUGUAAAAGCAUGCUGCUUCCUUCAGCAAACCGAAUAAAAAAUGAAAUUUGUGUUGCUUCCAAAUUACCUAGAUUGGUGUGGCCGAUGUUUGAAUGACUAGGAGUCUACAAAGACUUCAAUAUUAAAAACGAUAGUCUAAAUUACGGGGAGGGAAAUUCGAAUUUGGGCAAAAGGGUGUCCUUCCCGACUGGCCUAACUGGUGUCUGCAGAAGACUACAAUAUUAAAACACAUCCAUGACUCAAAUUCCCAAAAACAUGGAACCUUGCAGACAAGGACAAUCAAUUAGGAGUGGCUUUCGGUGAUCAAACGUCUUUUUCUGAUAUGGGCAAGUUGACAGCAUGUUUUAUGCAUGCGCGGUGGGGCUUCAAUUUUCAGCCCUACACUACAAUAUUCCAUUUUUCAGUUUUUGUUUUUAAAUUUAUAUUCAAUCACACAAGAUAAGGUUAAAAAAUUCUUAGACAAUCACGCUUCCCAUUUGUUGUCAACAAUUAUCAAGGAAGAAUCCUGAAGAUAUCAUAGUUUAUUCUGUCAUAUGGGCAAGCUAACGUACCAGUUGAUGCUCGUGUUCAUAAUUUAAUGAGACCGUAAUGCAUAUUCUAGCUGGAAAAUAGUUCAUGUGUAUGUAAAGCAUGCCAAUUUCCCAUUUCAGUCACAUGGUAUGCUGUGCAUUAUCUUGGCAUUGCAUCUACUUGAUACCUGAUUGCCACUCUGAAGUUUCCUCAGCAUUUGAAAUUUUCAUGACACUGUGCAAAUAGUGAUCCUAGUUGAUUGGCUUUCCAGCUCAGAGCAGUAAGAUUAGGGUUUAUAUGUGCGCCGCCGGACCGGCGCGUGAGAAGCCUCGUGUGGAUUUUUCAUGCGAAGUAUCAGCUCCAUGCAACACUACAUUAACCAUUCAAACACGUCAGUCAGAGAGGUAGAAAUAGCAUAAUCAAAGCAUGCUCCCUAAUAUUCUCCCACAGGAACAUUUUCAGAACUCUGGAAGAAAGGUCAUGUAUCACAUAGAAACCAAAUUGAAAAAGAAAAAAAGAAGGCAAAAUUGACUGAAACACAUGAAUAGCAUUGAAAUGUCUGACAUGAGAAGCUUAUGUUGAAAGAAUCAAAGGGAAUCUUUGAAACUAUGGCUAAAUGGAAUAUUAGUGGAUGUCAAAAUCACACAUAAUAUUCCAAUAAACUGGGAAACUAUAGGUCUUAAUCAUAGCUUAGGUUGCUGAUGACUGGAAUUGCAUAACACAACCCACUUGGAAAUUGACAUCAAACCAGACGUGAACCAAACAUCUUUCGUGGACAAGAUAAAUGCUGAGUGCAAAUUCAAUUGCAUCAGGCCCCAUCACUACCUUCUGCAAUUACUGAUAACCACUUCUAGGUUACUAUUGACAAGGAAAAUUCCACAACAAAGUGGAAAAAGAAUCCUACGAACGUAAGCCAGAUUUAAGAGCAACAUAGGAUGUCAAAUUGUAAAUCAAGACAGCCGAUGGUUCUCGAAAUAUGAUGAGAAGGAACUGCAGAGAUUGUGAACAAGCUAACAUUAGUAUCACUUAUUUGGCCUUCAACAUGACCAGUUAAGGAUCAAACAAUACGGUUGACGAUUUGAUUCGGUGAGCACUACGGUCAAUCAUCUUGUUGUUGCCCAAAACUUAGAUGUCACAAGCCGAUCACAUCAGUAAAGCAAGGCUUGUGAACUUGCACAAGUUGUCAAAUAGUUUUCAUAAGCUAACAUUCAGGACAUUUUUAGCAGUGUCGAUUCAAUAUUAACCUGAAGUUGAUAAUAGCUCCGGUGAACUGAUUUUCAGUAUUAUAUUGCUGCACGCGAACAGCAGUUUAGUUUUUGAAACUUGGAUGAACUUGAGCGGCUACAGACUCUGAUGGACAACUAUAACUAUGAACAUUCACUCAUAUGUCUAUGAAUCACUAAAUACCAGUUACCUAGUUUUUGUUUUUCGCUUUUCUUACUACCCCAUCCCACUCCAUCCUUACCAUGUGAGCGAAAGCCCAGGAUGGGCCAGUGAAAGUAGUUCGUAACGGAAGAUGCGGGCAAGUUUAGAGCAUGCAUCUAGAUGCUAAUUCCAGCAUUCAUAUGGAUAUUAAAAUUAAUCAUUCUUAGUUAUUUCACCAGAUAUAUCUCAGCAAAUUAUGACAAGUAUAAAUCAAAUUUCUAACUCAUGAAAAAUUUAUUAAUCUCAAUCAUAUUGUACCACAUAACUACUACAAAAACGUAUGCACAUACUCAACUCAGAGCUUGAUAUCCUAGUGGCCCUGGCAAUCCAUCUUGUCUUGCGUUAUUCUUUCCCAUUAGAGAAGGCAUCCAUGGGAACAUUUUCCCAAGCUCCUUGCUAAUAGUACUAGGUCUAAGUUGCUUAUCAUUUAUUCCAAACUUUGCUCUUUCAAUUGCUUCCAUGACAUCUUCUCUGGCCACAGUUUCACCACCUGGAAAGAUUAAUAUGGAAUUAUUGAUUACCACAGUUCUCUUUCUAGAAGUAUCUUUAGCAUAAACAGUGCAUUAUGCAGUAAGAAAGGCACAAAUAAAAUGGCAGAGGAACAAAGAGGAAAGAAAGAAGGGCCGGUCUAGGCUCUGGGAGAGCAGGUGUGAGUAGGAGAGAAGGUGAUGCCAGAUAAAAUGACUCUUAUUCAUGGUAACCAAAAUUUAAUCAUUGGACCCAAAAAGGAAAAGAAAAAAUGAAACCAAACUUAAUGGAAACCCCAGCCAUAUUUUUAAAGCAAAGUCUCCGAUCUUACAAGCAAGAAAAUUUUCAGAUAGCAAAAACCAAGUGAUAAUUUGGAUGCUGAAAUAUACUUCACCCUACCUCUACGAGCAGCAAGUAAAGCAGCUUCAUUGACAAUGUUUGCAAGAUCAGCACCCACAAAACCUGGUGUCAGAGAAGCAAUGAGGCUGCAAAUAAGAUUACUGUCUUCCUCCAAAGGAAUUCCUCUCAAAUGUACAGCCAAAAUCUUUCUCCGUCCUUCUUCAUCUGGUUCUCCUACAACUAUUUUCCUUGAAAAGCGGCCUGGCCUACAAAGGGCAGAAUCCAAUACUUCAGGCCUGUUUGUUGCAGCAACAACAAUCACCUUCGAGUCUGACUCAAAUCCAUCCAUUUCUGUCAGCAACUACAAGGACAGGAAUAAGUUUUUUAAGAGAAAAAUACCUUUAUUGAAAGUAACAGAAAGUAAAAACGUAUUUUUCCACUGAAAUCCAAAUCUAAGAUCUAAAAAAGGAAUACCAAAAAGCACAAUAAUAUGGUUAUUACUGCCUUAUACUGUUCUGCAUAACAGCAAGCAUAGAAACAGUCAACUAAUUUAGAGUGUCGAUUGCUAUUUAGACUUGAGAACUGAAGAUAAAAAUAAGGCAAAAAUGAUAAAUUCGCAAUAAAUAAGUAAAAAACGUUGACAAGCCUUUUAAGGGGAUCAAUUUGAUUUUCUGAAAUCAAAAUGAAAUCAAACAUGAGAACAAAAAGAAUUUCCCAAGUACUGCAGUGAUUUUGACAAUUAUUAAAACAGUUUGAAAAUAUAAAUAAUGGUCUAUAAAUCAAAUUACACAUUAACAAUUCCAGAAGACAUUAGGAAUGAUCACAAUAUAGUGAAUUCGGAUAUUGAUGGGUGUGAGGGAUGCAGGAUACAAGCCAGAAUUGAACUCAGAUUACCUGAUUCAGAGUUUGGUCACGCUCAUCAUUGAAACUUCUGCCACGCUUUGUUCCAACCGCGUCAAGCUCAUCAAUGAAUAUGAUCGAUGGUGAAUAUUUCCUUGCCAUAUUAAAAAGGUCUCUAAUGCGAGCUGCCCCUCUUCCAACAAACAUCUCCACAAAUUCACUGGCAGAAACAGUGAAAAAUGGUACACCUGCUUCUCCAGCCACUGCACGGGCGAGUAAUGUUUUCCCUGUUCCUGGAGGACCCACCAGCAAUACACCUCUAGGUAACUUUGCUCCCAGUUUGUUAUAGUUAAUAGCUCCUUGCAAGCAUAAAACUAUCUACAAGAAAGAACUAUUAUCAACAAAACGAAUGAAGGAAAUUGUAUAACUAGUCAGCAGAUAACCGCAUAUGCAAAGAAGGCAGUAAAAUUCACUAAGGCAAAAACAUCAUAGCUCUUGGAAAAAAAAAAAAGAAAAAAAAAGAGGUGGUAUCAAAACUUAGAACGACAUACAACUUAAAGAAAUGCAAAGAUACCUGACAUAUGUUGUUCAUUUCAUUUGUUUUUCAACCAAUUUUAAAAAAAAUGAGAAACAUCCACGAGAUUAUAUCUAAAUAAACAGAUAUGCAAGCUGCACGAGCCAGCACCAUGUGUAACGAGGCUUGCUGCAAGCCUUGGGAAAUAUUCCCAGCACCUGAGCUGGAUAAAUUUUUUGAUUCAUGAUGUGACAAAAUUUCUUCAGGAUAUUGUUAGAAAACGGUGUAACAUGUGCAAAGGGUACUAUAUACAGUAGUGAAGCAGUUGUUAAACUUUUGUACUACCCAAAGGAGCAAUCUUAUUUUAGCUCAUUGACACCACUAGCUAGCAGCCAGAAUUUUGUUUAAAAGCUAAGAAAAUUAUAGAUCGAUUGAAAACUCCUGAAUUCCAGACUUAGAAUGUCUUUGGAUGCAGAGGAGUCAGUGAAUAUGAACCUCAAGAGGAGAGGUGAGGUGCAAAUGGCUGAAGUUCUUUUUUGUCUAGCUUUCAUAAACAAAUGACAGGAUGCUCUUGCUUCUUUAUUUCUGCAACAGUUAGAAAAUUUAAGUAUUACUUAUCUAGCUGUUUAUCAUCAUAUCCAUGAGUUCCAGCCGUCCUAAAUAUAUAUAUAUAUUUCAUUCACGCCUUUGGUGUUUGAAGCUCUCCAAAUUCAGAUUCCAAGAACAAACAAAAUAUGCAUUUUUUUGGCUUUGAUUCAAGUUCUACGUUUAUACCUAAGAACAGAUAGAUUCAUCUUCCUUGUCUUCCUAACUUGUAUCCUCAGGAGCUUAAACCAAGAGCUUUCUAGCUUUCUUGGAGUACAUAACUAUAACAAACAGAGUGAAGGAUAUCCACAGUUCCAUAACAGGAAAAGUAAUUAAAUUACCUCAUUCUCAACUCUAUUGUCAAGUUAGCAAUGCAACAAAGUUUCAACAAAGAGAAAUUAAGAAUAAUACACGGCAUAUUUAAUAUAUUCAAGGGAAGAGAUGCUUACCUCCAUGAGCUCCAAUUUGGCAGAAUCAACUCCCUCAACAUCAUCAAAUCCAACUGACUGAUUAUCAGGUCUCCGCUUUUUGGCUGGGCUAUUACCAGCAGUAAGUUGACGAUAAAGAAGCCACAUCAAUGGCAGCAAAGGAAUCCACAGAGAUAUUAUAGUUAUCAAAGUAGUCCUCAUUGACAUCAACACUGAUUGAGGAGCCGAGCUAUAGGUAAUUCCUUUCUCUCUCAUCAAACUAAGUAAAAAUUUCUCAUCAUGAUCUAUUUUUCUAGUGGAAUACUGCCAGUCAGGGGUUGAAGCUUGAGUGACUGAUAAUUUUUUCAAUACGUUCGUAUUCAAUGCUUGAUCAGAUCGAGAACCAUCAUCACUUGUGACCUUAUCGGCCAUAUUCUCUCCUUGUACGUUUGUCAAUUCUUCAUCAAACAAAUGAGUAUCCCCAGCAAUGCGACAGUUUGUGUUAUAAUAUAUCCGACGAGAUCCCUCUUCAAGUAGAACUUUCGUAACAGAAUCAUUUCGAAGGCUUGUUAUCAAUUCUGAAUAUGGAACCAUUUUUGGAGAAGGCACUGCUGUUAACUUCAAAAACAGAUAGCACAGCCCCAAUGUUGCAGAAAUUGAAGAAAAAAGAGUCACUCUUCUUAUAUUCUUUCUCAAGAAGGUCCCAAUACCAUUUAACACUGAUCGAAUCGUAACUGUUUUCAAUCUUAUAGUUAAUAACCGCAACCUUGGGCGUAAUCUUAAAGAAAAUCUCUUCCUCAAAGACCUUAACUUGGUGUUUCCUUUUUUUCCCAAAUGCAUCUGCUUAUUUGCACUGUUUGCAUUUGUCAGUGGCUCAAUUUUGUUGUAACAACACAACUCCUGUUUAGAUUUAUAACGAUUAUUGAAUCCCUUUAAGAAAACUCCACUUUUUCCAUUACUCAGUGGCCUAAGCUCAUUGUUCCAGAGCAACCCAUGUUGAAAGUUGCAAAAUUUGUGAUAUCCCAACGAACGAAAAGCAAAUGAACGACAACAAAAACCUCUAUAUCUCCCCAAAGACUUGGACUUUCGGCCAUGAACUUCCAAUUUGUUUGGAAUAGAUAAGAACCCAGUAUUGCAAACAACAGAAAAACAAGCCAUGCCACCUCUACAACAAUACUUAUCUAUUGAAAUACAAGAAGAAAACCUACUAACUGUAACAGGAACAUUGCAACAUUAAUACAGAAACCUCAUAAAUAGGUGGAAUUUGGCAAAACAACAAACCAGCAGAAGAAGAAGAAAAACCUGUCAGAACUGUUUCACAAGCACAACCAUCAAACCUGGAACAGCCUGUGGGAGCAAGAAGAGUGUUAGCUAGUGAGUUUGGGAAGAAGAAAGCAGUUCCUGUGGACUGAGAAAUUAUCUCCAAGCCUUAAUAACAGAUAUCCAAAUGUUCAGCUCUGAUGGGUCCUUCUGUUCCUCUGUCAUGGGUGUGGUUGCAGAAGAUUUUUGUUAGAGGUGUCAAGCCCUUCUUCGUGGGAAAUCCCGGACCUUUUUUAAGUGGAGAGACGACGCAGCUAUCAACGACGUAAUCUUUGAUGUCGUCCUUACCCAACAAACCACGCGUUUUGUUGUCGUUGGUUGACAUUGAGCAACGACUCGAACCCCGUCGUUCCGUGAUCUCGGUGAAACGACAUCGUUAAAGGUCCGUUUAUGCGUCACAGUCCGUUGAUGUUUAGACAGCAAUCUCCCGAAUUUAAGGCACUUCAGAAAUAAUCAUAUCCCGUGAAAUUUUGAUCCUACUGAGAGGACGACGCACUUUACUUUGACACUACAAACACGCGUAAUGCUCCUUUUGGUUUGGUGGAGGAUAGAAACCACCAUUCUUAGGACCUCCUCUGUCUGAAUCUUAUUGAUUGAAGCAGAAACCAUUGAGAUAUGAGCUUUAACGAUCAUAUCUCACAUAAGACGAAGAAACAGAGGAAAACCCAUCAUUCACUGGCUUAAAUUCUCCAAUACCCAGGUUGGUUUUCAUUUCUUCCUUUCCUUAACCAUGAUUUUCCUUUGGCUUUUCAAUUUUUGCCUCAAUACAUCAAGAAAUUCAUGGUUUCAUUAGGAUUUGUGUUGUGGAUGUUAAUUUUCUUCUUAUCAUUUCAAAGUUCCUCUUUGCCCAUCGGAUUAUUAUGUUUUUUUGGUUGUAAAUCUUGAAUGGAAUGUUGUGAUUCAUUGCACUGUUAUUGGAUAUCCGUUUGUUUGUCCAAAUCAGAAAUGGCUGUUUUUGGAUUAUAUGUGAAUUAUGGGUUUGGAACAAAGCUAUGUAGUGAUUCUUUAAAGGGUAAUAUUAUUUUUGUUGUAUUGCGGUAUCGUUGCUAGAGCAUCUUCUUAUGUCUGUCUGUAGUUUCUCCUGUUGUGCAUACCAUUUGUCGACCAUAUUCAUUGUUUGAUCUCGUAGCUGUAUCAAUCAUUUUUAAAUCCGUGUGCCAUAUUCAUUGACUAAUGGAAGUUGUCUACUGUAUGCUUCUUUAGAUUAUUUUAAGUCGAUACUUUCCUAGCAUUGUAACUUGCAAGUCUUAUUAUCAUUUUGGCAGCAAUAGGUUGUUGUCAUAUUAAUGGCUACUACAAGUUGUCAUUGAUCUGAUUUUGAGUGUUUCUGGAAGUGGGGUUGUUUGCUUUCUUGUAAUUUUCAUUGAUCUGUGAUUGCAAGCAGUAUCAUUUUUCUGUUCUUUCACCUCUUUUAGAUUUUGCUGCCUAUUUGAUCCACGAGAUUGGUGAAGGAAAACAAGUCCUUAUACAAUGUGGUGUGCAAGAGAUUCUUUAAGAUAGUAGAAUGGAAAAGAAACUGGAAGAAGAUGACCAUGAGGCAGGUCCAGUACCUGCACUGAGAUUGGACAGAUUUGGUUUUUUAAAGCAGGAACUUUCUCCUCAAGGUUUAACCAAGGGCAGGUCAGCCUAUGAAUAUGAGAGGUAAGCCUUUCCUUUUUGAUGUACCAUUUUAACAUUCUUUAAUAUUUGGCCAUAAAAGAAGUUCGCUUUAAUGCAUAUGACUUGAGCAAAUUAAUAUUUGAUCUAUGCUAAUCAGAUAUUGAUAUGAUUAUUUACUACAUCUGAUCACCUUUUUCAGAGAGGAAAGAAGGGUUAGAAAAUGGAGGAAAAUGAUUGGUGUGGGAGGGAGUGAUUGGAAACACUAUAUUAGGAGAAAACCUCAUGUUGUUAAAAGGAGAAUAAGGAAAGGAAUCCCUGAUUGUUUAAGGGGUCUGGUGUGGCAGUUGAUCUCUGGCAGUCGAGACCUGCUGCUGAUGAACCCUGGAGUUUAUGAGGUACACAUGAUUCCUGGUUUCUUAUGUGAAGUUUGCUACAUCUUAUAUGCCAUUGCUUUAUGAGUUUGUAUUUAAGGAUUUGAUAUGUUGUUCAUAGGGGAAGGUUCCCCUGUCUUUGUUAACAAUUUCUUUGGAACAGUAGGAUUAAUACUCUUCAAUAUUUAUUAAUCAAUGAAAGAAAGCACUGGGUACCAAAUCAGGUGGUUCACAAGGAUGACAUGGUCAAUCAUUUGAAACACAAAAUAAAUAAUGUGUGGCUGGAAAAUCUAUUGAGAUGACCCUUAAAGAAAAACCUAAAUACUUUAGCAGAUUGGCAUGAGAACUACCACUGCCAAAAUCCUUGCAAAUCAAUGUUGCAAGGAUUUUUUACAAGCCAUUUUGGUUAACAAAAAUAUCUUAUGCGGAUUCAUCGUAAAAUGAGCUCUGAACCCAACCCUAUGUUAAACCUUGUUCUAAGCGGGCUCCAGUUGAAGAAUCACAUUUUUUGGAAAUAAAAUUUGUUGGUUAACUUUAGAUUAUGAAACUGUGUUGCCUUGGUGCAUACCUGGUGGUGUUACUAGAAACUGCAUGUAUGCCUAAUCUAGUCAGCAUUUGGAAGGCUUGUAGAAAGACUCAAUCAAGUUGCUUAUUAUCAUAAUUAUCUUUCCUAUCUUGUGAUGUUCGAAUUGGUGCUGCCAGUCUUUGACACGGUUUUAGGUUGAUCAGAGCUGACAUUAAUGCCAAAAGUCAACAUUCAAGCAAUAUGCUUAAGAUAUCUUCCUAUCUUGAGUACUUUAUGCUUUAGCUAGGUUCAUGUUAGUUGAAUUUGAAAUAUCUCCUUUGAGUCUUUUGUUGAGAAAGUGGAUAACUAUGUGGUGUGGGAUUAUUUUAGGUCGGCUGGACAAAUUUAAUUACACCGCUCUUCCUUAUUUGUGAUAUUAUUCAUUUCACAUCAUGAGUUGAUUUUUCAUCUAAUGCUCAUCCUUCUUUGUGCAUGCACACCCAUAGUAUUAAACUAAGAAGUGGUAUGGUUUUUGCAGCAAUUAGUAAUUUAUGAGACAUCAGCUUCAGAGCUGGAUAUAAUUCGAGAUAUAUCCCGUACCUUCCCUUCACAUGUUUUCUUCCAGCAGCGACAUGGUCCUGGUCAAAGGUCCCUCUACAAUGUUUUGAAGGCAUACUCUGUCUUUGACAGAGAAGUUGGAUAUGUUCAGGUUUGAGACUUUCUGUUCAUUCGCUGUUGCACUUAAUUUAUGCCUGACACUGGAUAAUUUUAAAUGGUUAAAAGAAUGCAGGGAAUGGGGUUUCUGGCUGGUCUAUUGCUUCUUUAUAUGAGUGAAGAGGAUGCAUUUUGGUUAUUAGUCGCAUUACUCAAAGGAGCAGUCCAUGCACCAAUGGAAGGUUUAUAUCAGGUAGCCCUUUUGUUAUAUGAAUGUCUUGAUCUUAUCUUUGGGGGUUUGUAGAUUAAUUAAGUGUAAUCAUGCGCAUAUUUAUCGAAAAAGAACAAUGUAGUCCACUACUUUGGUCAUAUGGUACAUUUACUAGAAUUAAGAGGAAAACAAAAAAGCCAAUGACGUCAGAUAAUGCCUAGUUUGAGGUUUGAGGAGUUCAUUCACAUUCAUUUUUAUCUAUUCGGGUUAUGCGUAGUUUGUUCAUUUAUUAUAUUCAAAGCCUGAUUUAUUGUUUUUUAUUGAAAAAGUGGGGAAUAGAAAUGGAGAAAAUGGCUUCAUGCUUUGAUAAUUGGUAGUUUAUGCUUGUCAUGUAGGUAGGGCUACCACUAGUACAACAAUACCUUUUUCAGUUUGACCAGUUAGUAAAGGAGCACUUGCCAAAGAUGGGAGAGCAUUUUACUCAAGAGAUGAUAAAUCCUAGCAUGUAUGCAAGCCAGUGGUUCAUAACCGUUUUCUCCUAUUCUUUCCCAUUCCAUUUGGCUCUUCGAAUUUGGGAUGUCUUUCUCUACGAGGUUAGCGAUUUCUAAUGUGUUAUAUCUCUCUUUGGAAGUACUACGGUUUGGAUUUUAACUUAAACUUGAUCUAUUAUUUUUUAUUUUUACAGGGUGUUAGAAUUGUUUUCAAAGUUGGUUUAGCCUUAUUAAAGUAUUGUCAUGACGACUUGGUGAGUAUAUCAGGAUGCCUUUCUGCUCCAAAUCAUGAUAACUAGAAUAUUAUUUGCUCAUAGAAAUUUUUUUCUUUUCGACAGAUAAAAUUACCCUUUGAAAAACUUAUUCAUGCUUUGCGUAACUUCCCUGAUGAUGCAAUGAAUCCAGAUACGUUACUUCCAAUGGCUUACUCAAUCAAGGUUUUUCUUCUGCAUAAUUGUUUUUCAUGAAUGAUGAUGGUUGAGGUGCCAAUGUUGUAAUUUUCUCAUCAUUCAUGUGUAUGUAUGUCGUUUGGUUGAUCUCUAGGUAUCCAGGGGUUUGGAGGAAACAAGGCAGGAGUAUGAGAAGAAGAAUAGAAAGAUCAAUCAGUCUACAGAGAAUGAGAAACAGUUGCAAUGAAGGUUCUGCUCAUCUGAGGGGAGCUAUGCUGAUUCUGAUUAACUUGUCAUUCUUUAGUUUUAGGACAUCGCAGCAAUAACCAAAAGAAUAGCACUGAUAACAUUUGUCAUCAUAGUAGAUGUUUAUGAACUCCCCUAUUCCCUGUUACAAACCCAAAAUCUUAGAUGUAAAUAUAUAUUAACAUUGCUAAAGUUGCCAACUUCUGAAAUAGGAGGCCUCAAGCCCCUUAACAUCCUCCUAAACUGUUGAAUUUCGUUGUGGUGUUCUUCAUUUACUAUUUAUGUUCUGGUACCUUCUUUUGGGAGGCUAAACCUAACAUAGGAUUGGAUUUGUGUAAUAUACUCCAGUCCAGUACAAUGUGGUCCAAUAUAAUCCAAUCCAUGUCACCAAAACGGGCCCUUAUACUUCGUCAAUUGGGAGCUAGUAUUCAUGUCCAUAAGUACAAAUGGAAGCCUUGUUUAUGUUUUCUUUCUAGCUAGGAUUUUUGUUAAAGUCACGUGUGGGCGAUUUUGAAUCAUUGAUUAAAAUUUAUAGUCAUAAAUCACUAUUGCCGGUGUGAUUUGCCAUAGCAUAAGUUUUUUUCCCUCUAGCAAACAUAAAUAUUCUCCACCAAAUAAAAAUUCUGUCAAUUUCAGUUCUUUCCAAGAUGCUAAAACAGGAAUUUGCUUUUCUUUUUGGCCAUAAGAAAAGUUGAUACCAAAAUAGUCAUGAGCAAGAAAGAAACCCACAAGACCACGGCAAUUGAUUGACAUGCAUUCGGUGCUUUUGAGGUGUUACGGUUUUUAGGGGGUGGGGGAGUGUUGGGGUCAAUUUUCGAACCCAAAAACAGCACCAAUCAAUAAUACUCUACAACUGUCUCGCAUGCAAAGCAGCCACCUCUAAUUUGAUACGUAAUUGAGUAGGUAUUUUUUGGCUUUAACUCUAUGUGGACUUAAUUUGGUGUUGAGUUUCCCAUUUCUUAAUGAACAAAGCCCAUUUUUUUGUGUAUGAUUUUCUUUUGGGAAGAGUUCGUUUCAGAGUAAUUUUGAAUAGGCUAUAAUUAUUUAUGUGUAUAUUUUUUUAUUUUAAGGGUCUGUUUGGAAGUGUUUCUGGAAUGGAUAAAAAUUCUUUCAGACAACUAAAAGUAUUUAUGAUAGCGUUUGACAAAAAAGUUUAAAAGUGCUUAUGGGUCAUAGAAGUACUUUUUAGAGAAGCUCUUGCAUGUGAUUCUUCAAGAAGCACUCCCAAGUGCUUUUCCAAUAAACAUUUUGAUUUCUUAUGAAAAUUUCAACGUCUUUAUAAUAAAAGCACUUUUGUUAGAAGCGAUUAUAAGCAUAAGUGAUUCCUAAAGAAGCAGUCUCAAACAAGCCCUAAGUGAUUUUAAAUGAUUCUGAGAAAAAAAAACACAUCUCAUAUGCUUCUCCAUAAAAUCACUUAAUAACACUUAAAGUGAUUAUAUAAAAAAAUGAAUCACUAUAAGAGUAAUUUUUGACUUAUUUAAAAUCAUUUCCAAACGAACCUCAAAACUAAUAAUUAGUGGCCACAUGAGUUUUAUUUUUUUUUGUUAAAUUCUAAAAAAUAUGAAAAGUUGAUGAACCACAUAACUCAACUUAGGUUAUUGAGAGAAGGUAGUGACCUUCAAAACAACAAUUCAUUGUGACUACACACGUAACUCCAACGAUUGUUGUCUAUUCAAACCAUAUGUGGUAAAGUAACUUUUGAGUUGACAUAUGAUGCUUUCACUCCCAUAACACAGCAGGUGCAUUGUAUGUGAAAAACACAAACUAAAUAAUAUUUUUUAUUAUAUAGAUUUGAAUCAUGCCCUUUUUGGAGAAGAUAAUUAAUAAAGAUAAAAAGGAAAUUAAAAAAAAUCCAAUUUCAUUAUUAUUCUUUUUGGAGGGUCCAAGUACAUAGAUAGAAUAGUAAUUGAAUUUGAUAUAAAAGUGGAGAAUAUUGACAUGUGGGCCCACGCAGCCAUGUAAGACAAACGUGAAAAGGAUGGAGAAAAGGAAAAUGACAAAAAGAACCAGCUCACAGCAUCAGUCUGGUCCCUCUCUCUACGUGUAGUCGAUUCACAGCCACACCUUCUUAUCGUACCGCCACGCGUGAUGCUAAUCCAUGAUCGUCCGCAUCCAAUCCUAGCGUACAAACCAGUGAGUCUUCCGUACGACGUCGUCUCUCUCUCUCUCUCUCUGGUCUUUCGAAACAUUUAUUCCAUGACGAAAUGUCUAUGAUGCCCCCACGCGCCGGCUCAACUUCCCAUCCGCCCAAACACGGAGGGGUAGUAUCGUCAGAACAAAACAAAUACAGGAGGUUGUGAGUUGUAGAACAAAUCCAGAUGGAAACGGAAGGGCAUGACCGUAAUUAAACGCAAUUCCCGUGUCGAACACGGCUCAGGGAUGCUAUAUAAACAACGUUCCCUAUGGUUCUCAACCUUCACGAAAACAACGAAGCACCGAAUUUUGCUCCCCCAUUUUUUUUGUGAACCUCAGGUUUUUUUUAGGUGUUUGUGCGGAUUCUAGGUAUAAUUAGGGUUUCUUCAGCCUCUUCCUUCAGAUCUUCGUCUUGGUCCCAAGUUUUCGAAUCUGAAGGUUGUGGUAUGAUUCUCCUCUGGUUCUUAGUUUUGCGGAUUUUGCUCAUUCCAUUCUGUGUUUUUGUCUAAUUAUGAUCUUUGAUUUCUAUCGGUUUCAGGUAAUUGAUUUAGAGAUUUAAAAAGGGAUUCUCGAAGGAGAUUGUAGCUUUAAUUCAGAAACUUCAAAACAAUUUGUAAGUGUGCUUCCUUGGCCCUGGUUAUUAUUUCGUGGAUAGUUUUGCCUAUUGGUUUGAUGUUUUCGGGCAGAAAGAAGGUUUCUUUUUUGUGUACAUGAAAAAGAUUAUGUCAAGAUUUUGCUUUUGUUAUUGACAUAUGCAGAAGUGAGGAUUUUUAAUUUAUUAUUGUAAGGAAAGAAUGAAGAUUUUGUUAGGACUGUAAGCAAUUCUUCGCUUUUGAUGCAUGGCGCCCUUUUCCCUGUUCAACAAAUCACAAUGCUUGGUUGUUUCUAACUUGUUCAACACAGAUUUUGUUUUUCUGGAUAAUUCCGUAAAAUUGUUGAUGGAGUUGUAUGCUUGGAUGUACUGGCUUUGUUGAAAUUAGAUUCUAAGGUUUCUGGUUACUAUUCUUUGCUGUUAUAUCGCAACUGCCUUUUCAUGUCAUUUGCAAAGAUGUCUCCUUUACCUGGACGCCCUUGGUCUAUCGUUUUUGCAGGAAAAAAACUGAAUGAGCUAAUGGAGUCGAAGGGUGGCAAAAAGAAGUCUAGUAGUAGUAAGUCAUUAUUUUACGAAGCUCCCCUCGGUUACAGCAUUGAAGACGUCAGGCCUCACGGUGGAAUCAAGAAAUUCAGAUCAGCUGCUUACUCUAACGUAAGUUUUACUGUUUGUUUCUGGGUGCAUGUAAUUUCUGGUUUGUUUUGUAUGAAUGGCCUUCUAAUAUUACCUUAUACUGUUCUCUAUGCAGUGCGUCCGCAAGCCAUCCUGAGUUCUGCUAAGUCUAGACAUAACCCCGUGCGAUCGUUAAUACUGCAAUUUUACUUUAGCUCUAGUCUGUUUCUCUUUCCUACUUCUCUCGUUCUUUCUCGUACUUGUUCCCUCGCUAGUUCUCCUUUAUCUGCUGUUGCAACGUUAUUUCCUUCCUUAAUUCGAGAUGGCUGUACCGGUCUCUGCAAUUGGAUUUGAAGGCUAUGAAAAGAGGCUCGAGGUCUCAUUCUUCGAGCCUGGACUGUUUGCUGACCCUGCCGGCAUGGGUCUCCGUUCUCUGUCGAAAGAUCAAUUGGAUGAGAUUCUGAAACCAGCUGAGUGCACCAUUGUUUCCUCACUCUCUAAUGAUGAUCUGGACUCUUAUGUCCUUUCGGAAUCGAGCCUCUUUGUGUACCCAUACAAAGUGAUCAUCAAAACCUGUGGAACAACAAAAUUGCUUCGAUCAAUCCCUGCCAUCCUCAAGUUGGCUGAGACUCUCUCCUUGGCUGUAAAAUCAGUGAGGUACUCUCGUGGGAGCUUUAUAUUUCCUGGUGCUCAGCCCUCUCCACAUCGUAGCUUUUCAGAGGAAGUAGCUGUCCUUGAUGGCCAUUUUGGCAAGCUUGGUUUGGCAAGCAGAGCAUAUGUUAUGGGUAGCUCUGACAAAACACAGAAAUGGCAUAUUUACUCUGCAUCGGCAGAGUUGGCAAGCUUACUUUGGGGCGCACGCCAAUCAGGACCCACAUACACAUUGGAGAUGUGCAUGACUGGUUUGAACAGGAAGAAGGCAUCUGUGUUUUACAAAUCAAAGGCAAGUUCAGCUGCUGGUAUGACUGAAGAAUCUGGCAUUAGGAAGAUCCUCCCCCAGUCUGAAAUAUGUGACUUUGAGUUUGAUCCUUGUGGUUACUCCAUGAAUUCGAUUGAAGGGAAUGCAAUUUCUACCAUCCAUGUGACACCAGAAGACGGUUUCAGCUACGCGAGCUUUGAAACAAUGGGAUACGACUUCAAAAAUGUGAACUUGACCCAGCUGAUUGACAGGGUUUUGGAUUGUUUCAAACCGGCUGAGUUCUCCGUCGCUUUGCAUACCACCAGUACUGCAGGCGAACAACUCAACGCUAAGUUCCCCCUGGAUGACUUGAGGGGAUACUGUUGCGGAGAAAGCAACUAUGAGAGGCUGGGUUUGGGUGGUGCUGUCAUCUUCCACAGCUUUGUCAAGGAUGCAGGUUGCCAGUCUCCAAGGUCAAUUCUGAAAGGUUGCUGGAGCGAGGACGAGAAGGACGAGGAAGUUGAAGAGAUAGUUAUGGACAAGAUCUAGUGUUCUAUUGUUUGUGUUUAGUAGUAAUGAAUAAACAAAAUGUGACGUGGGGUUAUGUUUCUCUUAUAUAGUAGGGUAAUAGUUUGUCAUGCAGUAUGUUUUGCUGCAUUUAGUCUGCUAUUUUGAAUAAAGAGGAUCUCUGGUGAAAGAGAUCCUUGAUCCUUGACUUCCUGGAUGUAUGAAGUCUUGUUGAAAUUAUUUCUUUUAUGAGAUGAAAGUUAAUCUAUAUAAUUUCUUGUGUUAUCCGUCCGUUUACUCUCUCUCUCUCUCUCUCUCUCUCUCUCUCUCUCUCUCUCUCUCUCUCUCUCUCUCUCUCUCUCUCAUAUUCAUGGGCUUCUUAGUGUAUAUUCAUUUCUUCCUCCAGGAAGUCUUGUUCAAAAACUUUUAUGAGAUGAAAGUCAGUGCGGACCAUUUGAACGAAGACCAAAAUGCGAGGACCAUUUGAACGAAACCCUAAUUUCUUGUGUUAUACGUUUAUGCUCUCUCUCUCUCUCUCUCUCUCUCUCUCUCUCUCUCUCUCUCUCUCUCUUACCCAUUCAAGGGCUCCUUAGCAUAUAUUCAUUUCUUGCUAUACAGCAUAAUGAUAUGAAUCAUAAGCGGUAUGUUGUGGUUUCUUUCAGUCACAAUGCCUCUUCUAGUUUGCAGUGUUUCAUUCAACAAAUGAAGAAAGAAGUUCAUUUUAUUCAACAAAUGAGGAAAGAACAUUUUAUUCUAAGCAUUGUCUGGUGCCUACAACCUUCUGGCCGAUCGAAUAUGCUCUUUAGUCAGCAUAUCUCACUUUUCAUGUGUGGAUUUGUGUAAUUUUGCUCAGCUUCAUAGUCAGCAUAUGUCACUGUCCAAUGUUCUUGCCUAUGUAAUUUUGCUACUGAUGGUCUCUUAUGCCUUCGUUUUGGGGAGUGGUAGAAAUUUGUUAGGCAUAUGAUGGAAGAGGUCAACCAUUCCAAAGAAAAGCAAUUUCAAAUGAAGUAGGAAAGAUCAACCCUGCCAAGUUUGAACCAGAAAGAAAGCAUCAAGCAUAUGAUGAUGGAAUAGGUCAAUUCAUUACACGUGCUUAAUUGUCUUUGCAGAGAAGCUGCCUUCCCCAAAAAUAGGGGUGCUCGUUCCAGUCAAUUUCUUUUGGCGGCAAUUUUGACUUUUAAGAAAGAUGGCAUUCAAAUUGAAAACAGUGACCUAAAGAGGUGCCAAUUGUUUCUGCAUUUCCAGUCAAUGAAUUCGUAUCUCGCUGUGUGAAAGUUGGACGUUCUCUCAAAAAGAAUAACAAUGGAUAUAUCAAUUACACUUGUUGUAACCAAGCGGGAAAAGCAGUAUUGGGAGAAAAAUUGUUAUGCAAUACGCAUUAUACUAUUCAUGGCUUAAUAUUCAGAAAAGAGCAAUUUGAUUCAUGGCUCUUCUUCAUACAAACUAUCAGGCAUUCAGUAUGGUCGAAACUUCCUAGCCGCUCUCAACUGCUGUAUCCGCUUUUUAUCUUGCUCAAAUUUGCUCUGCAGCAUCAUAAUUUCUGCAAGGACAGAUUAUUAAUUAGUGCUUUGCUUCAGUAUUUGCACUACUUUUAACCAACAAGAAUAAAUAUCUCUGAUUCUUGAAUAUAAAUUUUUUUGUUGUGAAAACUAUGACAAGAAAGUUUAUUGGAAACUAAGACCAGAAGCGCAUGAAAAAUGCCAUUGCAUAUUCAUAAUGGGAUCAUAUUAUUUCUUCUUAUAUCUACUUUUUUCUUUCUUUUUCAGUUCGGAGGUGGGGAACUAUGCAGCAUUUGCACCAAAACUGGUGUGGUUUUCAGGUUAACAAAAAAUAAACUUCAUACGUAAGAUUAACAUACCAUUCCUCUGAGCUUCUUUCCUUUGGAACCGGUAAAAAUCUAGCCCGACUUCUGUGCGCUUCUUCUUGGCCACCUUGUCCUCCACAACAGCCUGGGCGACAGACCCUACUGUAAUUCCACUCUCAGCAUCUGUGGUCUUCUUCCUUCCUUUAUGAUGUACUACAACUGUCCAUCCUCCUUCUGCAGCAUGGGCUUCUUUUUCUUUCCUUUCCUGUAUGUGCCACAAAAAAGUCAAUGAGAAUUAUACAGGUAGCCAAAUGACACAGGAACAAAAAAAGAUUGACUGGUUUAAGAACGUGUAAUACACAUAUAUGUGAACUUAUACACAUUUGAUCAAUUGGACAGUUCCAAUGUAGAUACCAACGAAUUUAAACAGAUGGACAUACACCACUGGCCAAUGAAACAUAGAAAUACAUUUUCAGACUACAUGAGCAUAUAUGAAGAGAGAUCAUAGGCAGGAGUAUCAGACAAACUUCCAUGAAGAAGUACAGAUGUGGGCCAAAAUUCAAAACAAGUAAACACAGCGGCAUACACAUGGCAGCUAAUACAUUCAGUGUUUAUAUACAAGUCAAUACACAUGAAAGUGUUUUUUUUUUCAUAUCCAAAUCUUCAAGUAUGUACACAUACAUAUAAUUGAAGUUGGCGUAUGAACAACAGUUAUUAAGAGCAAAGGUUCAAACUGCUGGUUUGAAUGAAGAUACUCCAGAGUGGUUGUAGCAUGGAAGAGGAAAAUUACCUGUUCCAAUUUUUCAUCAUGAGCAAUGAUAAAGUCAUCAAUUCUUUGCUGCAGUACCUUCAAUCCAGGUCUACUUUGAUGGUAUUCCGUAACCCAUUCUGUGGAUUCAGAAACUCUCAUAAGAAAAAUAAAAUAUAAAGCAUUCUUAUUGCUUCAAUUUAAGAAGACAAUCCUUGAAUGGAAAACUAAUAUUACACAUAUGGACUUUAAAAAAAUAAUUUGAAGUUAUUAUCCAUAGGUUAUAGGUGAUAGUUGGUUUUAAAUUAUGAACAGUUGCAGACACCAACAAAUAUUUUGAAAUGAGUAAUUCAUACUUUUCAUUCCUCUCGCACAGUCCUCAUCCCCAGAAGAAAUAAGGUAAACGUCAUCCUGAUCAUCUUCUACUUGCCUCUCCAGUGCCUUCUUAGAUUUUGAUAAAUCAACAUCCCUCUUUUUCUUUUUCGAAGCUUUCUUGGAUAUGCCUACAUCAACAAUUUUGAUUAUUAUUAGAAGCAGAAAAGCACUAAUUGCCACGAAAUUGUGUCAACUUGGAUAAGAGCAAUGUUUCAAAUUCAAGAAUCAUACCUGAUAUUCCUUUUGAGCAGUUAACCAGAUCAUCUUCUACUCCCUCUUCAAGUGACUUCCCGCACUCUGAUGAGACAUGUUCCCUCUUUUUCUUUUUCUUAGCUUUCUUUGACUUGCCUACAAUAAAAUAAAAGCCUCAAUGAGCGCCUGACCUUUUAAGUAUAACUGCAAUAAAAGCUCCAUCCGGUGACUCUUCACUCAGAUCAAACAAAAUUUGUCACUUAUUCAUACUUUCAAAUUUCAGUUCCCAUACCAGCCUCAAUGAAAACUUCAGCACUUUCAUUCUCUUCCUGAGUUUCAAAUUGGCUCAGAUCUGUAACUCCAUCAUCUAAGAAAGAGAAGAUUAUCUUAAACAAGUCAAAAGCAGGAAAGGUUUCUAUUGAAGACACUUCAAUGGAAUCAAUGCAAAUUCAUACAGCUUGAUAAAGAAAUUGGAAAGCACUGACCUUAGCUUAGAGAAAAAGAAAACAAUAAUACACUCCAAGAUAUAUAAAGCAAAAUAACGCACAAACAGGCAAAAGCAUUAGCAAUUCGAAAUUUCUCAAUAUUCACCCCCAAAAAGGGGCAAUUUUAAAAUACUAGGACACCAAUAACAAAUUACAUCAACUUAAAGUUCCUCAGCAAGUACCAAACAUUUAAAGUACAAUGCUACAUAAAUAGUAGCAACUUACCAUUUGUUACAUCAAAAUCAUCAUCAUUCUCAGUAUUUGGGUGAUCCUGCUUGCUUUCCAAAGCUUUAUAGUUCUUCGCUUUCUUUGUCUUCACUUUCUUUGGUGAUUUAUUCUUUUUCUUAUCUUUGGCUGCUUUGGCUGAUUUAUCUGAAACAAGAAAAUCAAAUAGAGAAAAGAGAGUUCAUUUCAAAUUUAAAGCUCUAACAAUUUAUUUAAACCAUACGAAACAGAAACCCAAUGUACCUUCAAUGGAGACAUGAACAACCUUUCGAGAGUCACUAUUGAUUUCCUUCUCCCUUUUUCUCUUUUUCAUCUCUAUAGGUGACCUUUUAUCUGAAAACAAAUAAAAUUACAGAAUAACAACUGUUUUAUACUCUUCGCAAUAAUUAUAAAAACAGAUAAAGCAAAAAUUCUAUAAGCCAAGUUCCAAUUAUCCAAUUGGUUUUUGUCCAAAAAGUUCUACAAUUUUCUAAAGCAUGUAGCAUCUGUUUUAUUUCAUUUUUUAUAAUCUAAAAUAGAUUUGCUCAACAACGAGGUUGGAGGGAUAAACAAGACCACCUCAGAAAUUUCAAAAUAAAUUUAAGCAGACAAAAAUUUCGAAAAAGAAUUUACAGCCAAAAAACAGAUAAAAAGAAAGAAUAUAAUUACCCUUUUCAAUAAGCUCCAAAUUUGUCUGGGCAAGCUUUUUGUUCUUAUUGGUCUUCUUCUUGUCCUUCAUUCCCAUCUUUCUGUGACUCUGAGUAUGGAGAUAGAUAGCUGGGCUCGUUUAUGAUUGUACCGUCCGUACGACUUACAAUGAGUUCAAGCACCCGAAUUUCCUACUCCUCAGACUGCUCUGUCUUCUUAUCUGUGGAUUUAAUUGAAACCAAUAAAGAAGAUGAGGAAGAAUGAGAAGAAGAAAAGGGUUUCUUAAGCUGAGAAAAAUGACCCAAACGAUUAUAAAAAGUUCUAAACUUUAGAACUUGGAUGAUGGCUGUAAUGGAAUGAAGAGGGAGAAGAGGGGCUGUGGCGGGGAGAAAGGGGUUUUGAGUCCUUGAGCUUAGGGUAUGUUGAAGGGGGCGCCGGCAAAAUUUGAUAAUAUGAAUGGCUUGGUUUUAUAUUGAGUCGUUAAACUGAGGCCCAAUUCUUUGGGUUUAAGAAUCUCUGGUUAAGUUUUCGGGCUUGGCUGCCUUCGCUUUUUGAAAUAUCCAUGAUUUGAUUUGAUCUUGCGAAACCAUACGAAAGGCACUCAGGUCCAAAUACAGGACUUCAAAAAAUCAGAGAUGCAAAAGGAAACCAACGUAAGAAGACCGAACGUGAACUUGGGUGUCAUCAAAGUAGAAAAACUCGCACUGAGUCGGUGUAUGUAUGAUGCACUAUUUCUCUUAUAAUAAGUGGUCACAUAUAAAUGUGGGUUAGACUUAGGGGAACAAGUUGGAUUAGAAAUUUCGAUUCCAAAUGAUUUGGAUUCGAAUUUUUUUUUUAUAUUUUGGCAAGUUCAAAUCAAUUCCGACAUUUAGAAAUUCCAAAGUCCAAAAAUUCUUUAAAAAAUUGAUUAAACAUCAUGUUGAAUUAAACAUUAUUUAUUGACCAAAUAGACAUAGGCAAGUUGUUCUUUAACGAAUAACAAUAUCUAAAUACUAGCAUAUAAUAAUUUUUCUAGGUUUUGGUGUGAGUUUUCAAUUAUGAGCUAAGUUUAACAUUUCAAAUGGUUGAGCAUGUUUAAAAUUUUGCAUUUGUUUCCGAAAUUUUCCAAAACUUUCGAAAAUUCCAAAUUUUUUGGAACAGAAUUUCAAGAUAACUUUCAUUCUAAAACUUUCUAGAUUGGAAUUGGAAUCCCCUAAUUCCAAUCUGUUCCGUUCUAAAAUGAGGCCUAGUUAGACCAGUUGGCUAUGACAUUGAGUCCGACCCCUCGCACUUAAGUUUGAAUCCCCUCCUUCAUAAUUAGACUAGUUUAGAGUAGAUUAUCGCUUGUAUAAAAAAUAAAAAAAUUAAGCAGCCACAUAACUAAUCACAUGAAGAGAUUAUAUACAAGACAUAUAUGAACAUGUUAUAUGUAAAUUUUCCUCGCUUGAAUGUAAAAUCCACUUGUCAUCGAAAUGAGAGACAACGUUGCUUUUAGACUCAUGCUGACCAGAACCCAAAAAGUAUGUAGCAUUUAUUCAUACGAUGUUGUGGCCUUUUGAUCAGAUAACAACAUCUUGGUGACAGUUUAUCUUUUGAUCAUAUAAUAACUUCAACCCAACUUAUCAAUGUCUAUGCUCAAAAGCGUAUGUGAUGUAACUGUUGAUUCUAUAUCAUAUUAUAUAUAUGUGGGAGGACUAUGAUUGUAAUUAAAGGUUUUUAGGCCUACGACAACUGCGAAAAUAUAAUCCAAAUAAAUACAGGAAUUCCAUAAUGCUGAAUUCUGGUCAAAAGGCUCACCCUAAGUUAUAGGGCGACACGUGUUAUGGCCCAAAAGGAUGAAAUGUGUAAAUGGCUUCCACGUAGCAUCACACAUGUCGAGCAUUCAAUUGGCCCAACGUCCUAUAAAAACCCUACCCAAUUGUGAGAUAUUCAUCAUUAGCAAACCAAAUUCGAAUUAUUAAAACUUCAUCUGAAUUUCAAGUGUUUUCAAGAAAACAAAGCAAAAACAAAAUGGCUGACAACUCUCAGAAGAUGAGCUACCACGCUGGAGAGGCCAAGGGCCAAGCUCAGGUAAUUAGCUCACCUAUUAUUCUCCAUUUGUUUUUGCUUAUUUCUUCUGUUUUCUAUUAAAUAUAUUAUAUUUAUAUGUGAAUGUGCAUUGAGAUUGAUGUGGGGUGUUUUGUAUUGGAAAAUUUUGGAUUUAACAGGAGAAGGCCAGUGGGAUGAUGGAUAUGGCUAACAAUGCAGCCCAAUCUACCAAGGAGACAAUGCAAGAUGCUGGUCAGAAUGUGCAGGCCAAGGCUCAGGGAGCUGCUGAUGCAGUCAAGAAUGCCACUGGCAUGAACAAAUGAAGCUGCUCAUGAUGAUAAUCAUUUUCAUGACUUUUAAUGACUUUAUAGAUGAUAAAACUUUGAUUGAGUUUUUUUUUGGGUCGAACUUUGAUUUUUAUAGACUUUUAUGUAAUUUGUUUUUCUUUCUUACCUUCCGUUUCGAUGAAAGAAUUGAAAAUUGCAUAGAAUUCUAAAAUAACAGAAUUUAGAUUCCAAUCGGUUUAAUUUAUGUCAAUUAAUAAUUUCGGUGUUCGAAUUUAUGUAUGUCGAAUUUUGCAAAUAACAGAAAUUUCAGGGAAAAUAAAUUUCUUCCACUCAAUAGAAAUAGUGAAACGUCUCUUUUGGUUGAAAUUAAACUCGAAAAUUUUGAGUGCUUAAGUUUCGUACUUAAGUUGCCAAACAAUGGAAAUAUCAAAUCAUACUAUUCAAUUCCUGACUUUUAGCUAAACUCCGAGUUAUUUUCGUCCAUCUAAAUAGAGGGUAAUAGAGUAGUAUGAUUAGAAGGUAUGUAGUAUGACCCAAAGAAAACGACUUCUAAAUAGUAUCGUUUGAUCAUGAUGAAUUAAGUCAUGAGAUCUAUAUAACCAAAAUAAUUAUUCACGUAGAGAUUGAUGAAAAUCAAUUAUGAAAAUGCCAAAGUAAUUGCAUUGUUUCUUCUAACAAAGAUAACAUGGUCUCUUUGUUGUUCUAGUGGACUUCAUAAAUAAAUUCUAAUCAUGGCAGUGUUUAUUCAAACUAGUAACAUAUCUAUUAUAACCAAAAGUGUUGAGAUCCAAGUAUCACCUUUCCCCUAAGGUCUUUAAAGGCAGUUAAAUUAAAACAUGUAAAGAUCGCCUGACCAACAUCCAACCAAAAAAAAAAAAAAAAGUGCAGUACCUCUCUUGUAUCUCGCAAAAGAAAAAAAGAAGAUAGAAAUGAUGUGAAUGAACUUGGGGUAACUUUCAAGUAGAAAAACUCAUAUAGAGCUGGUGUAUGCAUUAUUUUUCUUGUAAUAAGUGGUCACAUAACUAAGCACGUGAAAGAAAGUAGUGUGCAUGAAAGAGCUGGUAUAUGCACUAUUUUUAUUGUUAUAAGUGGUCACAUAACUAAGCACAUGAAAGAAUAUAACAUGCAUGAUGAUGUAUAAAAUUUGUUACACGUAAAAGGCACUUGUCAAAAAAACUGAAGGACAAUAUCGCUUUUAACUCAUGUCGAGGAUAACCCAACAAGUUUAUAGAAUUUACUCAUAAGAUGUUCUGGCCUUUCAAUUAAAUAACAAUAUCUUAUGGAAUAUGGCAUAGUCUUGUGAAUUGUAAUUAAUUGAUAAUAUAAUCUAAUAUUACAAGACUCAACAUAUAUAACUGUCUCAAAACCCUCAGAAUAGCAAUUGCCGACAUGAAGAUAAGACUCAACAGCGUUCCUAGUCAAAAGGCUCACCCCAAGUUAUAGGGCGACACGUGUUAUAUAUGGUGCAAAACCAUGACCAGGAUGAAAUGUGUGCAUGGCAUCACACGUGUUGAGCAUUCAGCUGGUCCAAAAUCCUAUAUAUACCCUACCCAAUUGUGAGAUAUUCAUCAUUAGCAAAUCAAAUUUGAGUUAUAACAACUUUAUCUGAAUUUCAAGUGUUUUCAAGAAAACAAAGCAAGAAGAAAAUGGCUGACAACUCUCAGAAGAUGAGCUACCACGCUGGAGAGGCCAAGGGCCAAGCUCAGGUAAUUAGCUCACCUGUAAAUUAUAAUUCUCCAUUUGUUUUUGCUUCUUUCUUAUGUUUUCCUUUAGAUUGAUGGGGAUGUUUUGUAUUGGAUAAUUUUGGAUUUAACAGGAGAAGGCCAGUGGGAUGAUGGAUAAGGCUAACGAUGCAGCCCAAUCUACCAAGGAGACAAUGCAAGAUGUUGGUCAGAAUGUGCAGGCGAAGGCUCAAGGUGCUGCUGAUGCAGUAAAGAAUGCCACUGGCAUGAACAAAUGAAGUUGCUCAUGAUGAUCAUUUUCAUAACUUUUAAUGAAUUUAUAGGGUUAAGAUGAUGGCAAACUUUCAUUGAGUUUUAUAGACUUUUAUGUAAUUUUUUUUUCUUUCUUAUCCUUCUUUUGAAAGAAGGAAUUGAAAAUUGCAUAGAAUUCUAAAAUGAUGGAAUUUAGAUCUCCAUCAUUUUAAGUUACGGAAAUUAAUAAUUUCAGUGUUUGGAUUUAUGUAUGUCGAAUUUUGCAAAUGAAAUUUCAAGGAAAAACAAAUUCCUUCACUCAAUAGAAAUUGUGAAUGAUGUCUCUUUUGAUUGAAAUUAAACUCGAAAAUCUUGAGUGCUUAACUUUCGUGCUAAAGUAGCCAAACAAUGAAAAAAAUUAAAUUCUACGCUUCAAUUCUUAACUUUUAGCUAAAUAAUUAACGUACGGUAAUAGCAGUAUGUAGUAUGACCAAAAGAAAACGAAUUCUAAUAUUAUCUUUUGAUCAUGAUGAAUUAACUCAUGAGAUCUAUAUAAACAAAAUAAUUAUUCAUGUAGAGAUUUGAUGAAUAUCAAUUAUGAAUUCGUUGGGUUAGAGACUUUUUCACCUCAGAUUUCUAAAGGUCUCAUUCUGGGCCUGGGUGCCUUAGGGCUUUUUGAAAUAUCCACCAGUUGACCAAACACAUUAAAAUACACUCAAGUCAAGAGAACCAAACUAACACAAAAAUACAGAAUGUAAAUGAACUUGGGGUAACUAUCAAGUAGAAAUUUUUUUAUAGAGCUAGUGUAUGCAUUAUUUUCCUCGUAAUAAGUGUUCACAUAACUAAGCACGUGAAAGAAUGUAGCGUGCAUGAAAGAGCUGGUGUAUGCAUUAUUUUUCUUACAAUAAGUGGUCACAUAACUAAGCACGUGAAAGAAUAUAGCAUGCAUGAUGAUGUCUAAAACUCGUUACACGUAAGAUUUUUUGAGGUUAAAGAUAAAAUGAACACUUGUUCAGAAACUGAAGGACAAUAUUGCUUUUAACUCAUGUGGAGGAUAACCCAACAAGUUUAUUGGCAUUUACACAUAAGAUGUUCUGGCCUUUCAAUCAAAUAAUAAUAUCUUGUGGAUUAUGGAACAGUCUUGUGAAUUGUAAUUAAUUGUUAAUAUAAUUCAAUAUUACGAGAAUUUCAUAAUGCUAAAAAAAAGUAAUUUCCAUUCACAAAACUGUCCAAGAAACACUCAGAAUAACAACUUUUAAGACUCAACAGCCUUCCUGGUCAAACGGCUCACCCUAAAUUAUAGGGCGACACGUGUUAUGGUCCAAAACCAUGACUAGGAUGAAAUGUGUGCAUGACAUCACACAUGUCGAGCAUUCAGUUGGUCUAAAAUCGUAUAUAAACCAUACCCAAUUGUGAGAUAUUCAUCAUCAGCAAAUCAAAUUUGAGUUAUAACAACUUCAUUUGAAUUUCAAGUGUUUUCAAGAAAACAAAGCAAGAAGAAAAUGGCUGACAACUCUCAGAAGAUGAGCUACCACGCUGGAGAGGCCAAGGGCCAAGCUCAGGUAAUUAGCUCACCUGUAAAUUGUAAUUCUCCAUUUGUUUUUGCUUCUUUCUUCUGUUUUCUUUUAGAUUGAUGUGGGAUUUUUUGUAUUGGAUAAUUUUGGAUUUAACAGGAAAAGGCCAGUGGGAUGAUGGAUAAGGCUAACAAUGCAGCCCAGUCUACCAAGGAGACAAUGCAAGAUGUUGGUCAGAAUGUGCAGGCGAAGGCUCAAGGAGCUGCUGAUGCAGUCAAGAAUGCCACUGGCAUGAACAAAUGAAGCUGCUCAUGAUGAUAAUCAUUUUCAUGACUUUUAAUGACUUUAUAGAGUUAAGAUGAUGGCAAACUUUCAUUUAGUUUUAUAGACUUUUAUGUCUUUCUUUUUUUUUCUUUUUUUUUUCUUUUUUUUUUCUUUCUUACCCUUCUUUUGAAAGAAGGAAUUGAAAAUUGCAUAGAAUUCUAAAAUGAUGGAAUUUAGAUCUUCAUCAUUUUCAGUUAUGGCAAUUAAUAAUUUUAGGGUUCGAAUUUAUGUAUAUCGAAUUUUGCAAAUGAAAUUUCAGGGAAAAACGAAUUCCUUCACUCAAUAGAAAUUGUGAAAUGAUGUCUGCUUUGAAUGAAAUUAAACUCAGAAAUAUUGAGUGCUUAACUUUCGUGCUAAAGUAGCCAAACAAUGAAAAUAUCAAAUUCAACACUUCAAUUCCUAACUUUUAGGUAAAUAAUUAACAUAGGGUAAUAACAGUAUGUAGUAUGACCAAAAGAAAACGAAUUCUAAUAUUAUCUUUUGAUCAUGAUGAAUUAACUCAUGAGAUCUAUAUAACCAAGAUAAUUAUUCAUGUAGAGAUUGAUGAAUAUCAAUUAUGAAUUCGUUGGGUUUGAGACUAUUUCAUCUCUUAUUUCUAAAGGUCUCAUUCUAGGCCUGGGUACCUUAGAGCUUUUUGAAAUAUCCACCAGUUGACCAAACACAUUAAAAUGCACUCAAGUCAAGAAACAAGACUCCACAAAUCAGAAACACAAGAGAACCAAACUAACACAAAAAUACAGAAUGUGAAGGAACUUGGGGUAACUAUCAAGUAGAAAAAUUUCUAUAGAGCUGAUGUAUGCCUUAUUUUCCUCGUAAUAAGUAUUCACAUAACUAAGCACAUGAAAGAAUAUAGCGUGCAUGAAAGAGCUAGUGUAUGCAUUAUUUUUCUCAUAAUAAAUGGUCACAUAACCAAGCACAGGAAAGAAUAUAGUGUGCAUGAUGAUGUAUAAAACUCGUUACAAGUAAGAUUUUUUGUGUUAAAGACAAAAUGCACAAUUUCCUAGAAACUGAAGGAUAAUAUCACUUUUAACUCAUGUGGAGGAUAACCCAACAAGUUUAUUAGCAUUUACUCAUAAGAUGUUCUGGCCAUUCAAUCAAAUAAAAAUAUCUCGUGGAUUGUGGAAUAGUCUUGUGAAUUGUAAUUAAUUGAUAAUAUAACCCAAUAUUACAAGAAUUCCAUAAUGCUGAAAAAAGUAAUUUCCAUUCACAAAACUGUUUAAGAAACCCUCAGAAUAGCAACUUUUAAGACUCAACAGCCUUCCUGGUCAAAAGGCUCACCCUAAGUUAUUGGGCGACACGUGUUAUGGUCCAAAACUAUGACCAGGAUGAAAUGUGUGCAUGACAUCACACAUGUCGAGCAUUCAGCUGGUCUAAAAUCGUAUAUAAACCAUACCCAAUUGUGAGAGAUUCAUCAUCAGCCAAUCGAAUUUGAGUUAUAACAACUUCAUCUAAAUUUCAAGUGUUUUCAAGAAAACAAAGCAAGAAGAAAAUGGCUGACAACUCUCAAAAGAUGAGCUACCAUGUUGGAGAGGCCAAGGGCCAAGCUCAGGUAAUUAGUUCACCUGUAAAUUGUAAUUCUCCAUUUGUUUUUGCUUCUUUCUUCUUUUUUCUUUUAGAUUAAAGUGGGAUGUUUUGUAUUGGAUAAUUUUGGAUUUAACAGGAGAAGGCCGGUGGGAUGAUGGAUAAGGCUAACAAUGCAGCCCAAUCUACCAAGGAGACAAUGCAAGAUGUUGGUCAGAAUGUGCAGGCGAAGGCUCAAGGAGCUGCUGAUGCAGUCAAGAAUGCCACUGGCAUGAACAAAUGAAGCUGCUCAUGAUGAUCAUUUUCAUGACUUUUAAUGACUUUAUAGAGUUAAGAUGAUGGCAAACUUUCAUUUAGUUUUAUAGACUUUUAUGUCUAUUUUUUUUUUUCUGUCUUACCCUUCUUUUGAAAGAAGGAAUUGAAAAUUGCAUAGAAUUAUAAAAUAAUGGAAUUUAGAUCUUCAUCAUUUUAAGUUAUGGCAAUUAAUAAUUUCAGGGUUCAAAUUUAUGUAUAUCGAAUUUUGCAAAUGAAAAAUGAAAUUUCAGGAUUAAAAGAAUUCCUUCACUCAAUAGUGAAAUGAUGUCUCUUUUGAAUGAAAUUAAACCCAGAAAUCUUGAGUGCUUGACUUUUGUGCUAAAAUAGCCAAACAGUGAAAAUAUUAAAUUCUACUCUUCAAUUCUUUACUUUUAGCUAAAUAAUUAACGUAGGGUAAUAGCAGUAUGUAGUAUGACCAAAAGAAAACGAAUUCUAAUAUUAUCUUUUGAUCAUGAUGAAUUAACUCAUGAGAUCUAUAUAACCAAAAUAAUUAUUCAUGUAGAGAUUGAUGAAUAUCAAUUAUGAAUUCGUUGGGUUGAAUAUCAAUUAUGAAUUCGUUGGGUUAGAGACUUUUUCACCUCAGAUUUCUAAAGGUCUCAUUCUGGGCCUUGGUGCCUUAGGGAUUUUUGAAAUAUCCACCAGUUGACCAAACACAUUAAAAUACACUCAAGUCAAGAGAACCAAACUAACACAAAAAUACAGAAUGUGAAUGAACUUGGGGUAACUAUCAAGUAGAAAAAUUUAUAUAGAGCUAGUGUAUGCAGUAUUUUCCUCGUAAUAAGUGUUCACAUAACUAAGCACAUGAAAGAAUGUAGCGUGCAUGAAAGAGCUAGUGUAUGCAUUAUUUUUCUCAUAAUAAGUGGUCACAUAACUAAGCACAGGAAAGAAUAUAGCGUGUAUGAUGAUGUAUAAAACUCGUUACACAUAAGAUUUUUUGCGGUUAAAGACAAAAUGCACACUUGCCCAUAAACUGAAGGAUAAUAUCGCUUUUUAACUCAUGUGGAGGAUAACCCAACAAGUUUAUUAGCAUUUACUCAUAAGAUGUUCUGGCCUUUCAAUCAAAUAAAAAUAUCUCGUGGAUUGUGGAACAGUCUUGUGAAUUGUAAUUAAUUGAUAAUAUAAUCCAAUAUUACAAGAAUUCCAUAAUGCUGAAAAAAGUAAUUUCCAUUCACAAAACUAUAUAAGAAACCCUCAGAAUAGCAACUUUUAAGACUCAACAGCCUUCCUGGUCAAAAGGCUCACCCUAAGUUAUUGGCGACACGUGUUAUGGUCCAAAACCAUGACCAGGAUGAAAUGUGUGCAUGACAUCACACAUGUCGAGCAUUCAGCGGGUCUAAAAUCGUAUAUAAACCAUACCUAACCGUGAGAGAUUCAUCAUCAUCCAAUCAAAUUUGAGUUAUAACAACUUCAUCUGAUUUCCAAGUGUUUUCAAGAAAACAAAGCAAGAAGAAAAUGGCUGACAACUCUCAAAAGAUGAGCUACCAUGCUGGAGAGGCCAAGGGCCAAGCUCAGGUAAUUAGCUCACCUGUAAAUUGUAAUUCUCCAUUUAUUUUUGCUUCUUUCUUUGGUUUUCUUUUAUAUUAAAUUGGGAUGUUUUGUAUUGGAUAAUUUUGGAUUUAAUAGGAGAAGGCCAGUGGGAUGAUGGAUAAGGCUAACAAUGCAGCCCAGUCUACCAAGGAGACAAUGCAAGAUGUUGGUCAGAAUGUGCAGGCGAAGGCUCAAGGAGCUGCUGAUGCAGUCAAGAAUGCCACUGGCAUGAACAAAUGAAGCUGCUCAUGAUGAUCAUUUUCAUGACUUUUAAUGACUUUAUAGAGUUAAGAUGAUGGCAAACUUUCAUUGAGUUUUAUAGACUUUUAUGUAAUUUUUUCUUUCUUUCUUACCCUUCUUUUGAAAGAAUGAAUUGAAAAUUUCAUAGAAUUCUAAAAUGAUGGAAUUUAGAUCUCCAUCAUUUUAAGUUACGACAAUUAAUAUAAUUUCAGUGUUCGGAUUUAUGUAUAUCGAAUUUUACAAUUGAAAUUUCAGGGAAAAACGAAUUCCUUCACUCAAUAGAAAUUAUGAAAUGACUUCUCUUUUGAUUGAAAUUAAACUCAGAAAUCUUGAGUGCUUAACGUUCGUGCCAAAGUAGCCAAACAAUGGAAAUAUUAAAUUCUACUCUUCAAUUCUUAACUUUUAGCUAAAUAAUUAACGUAGGGGAAUAGCAGUAUGUAGUAUGACCACAAGAAAACAGAUUCUAAUAUUAUCUUUUGAUCAUGUUGAAUUAACUCAUGAGAUCUAUAUAACCAAACUAAUUAUUCAUGUAGAGAUUGAAGAAUAUCAAUUAUGAAUUCGUUGGGUUUGAGACUUUUUCAUCUCUGAUUUCUAAAGGUCUCAUUCUGAGCAUGGGUGCCUUAGAGCUUUUUGAAAUAUCCACCAGUUGACCAAAGACAUUAAAAUGCACUCAAGUCAAGAAACAAGACUCCAGAAAUCAGAAAUACAAGAGAACCAAACACACACGAAAAUACAGAAUGUGAAUAACUAAGCACGUGAAAGAAUGUAGCGUGCAUGAAAGAGCUGGUGUAUGCAUUAUUUUUUCCGUAAUAAGUGGUCAUAGAACUAAGCACGUGACAGAAUAUAGCGUGCAUGAUGAUGUAUAAAACUCGUUACACGUAAGAUUUUUUAUGAUUAAAGAUAAAAUGGACACUUGCCCAGAAACUGAAGGAUAAUAUCGUUUUUAACUCAUGUGAGGGAUAACCCAACAAGUUUAUUAGCAUUUACUCAUAAGAUGUUCUGGCCUUUCAAUCAAAUAACAAUAUCUCGUGGAUUGUGGAACAGUCUUCUGAAUUGUAAUUAAUAGAUAAUAUAAUCCAAUAUAAGAAUUCCAUAAUGCUGAAAAAAGUCAUUUUCAUUCACAAAACUGUCUAAGAAACCCUCAGAAUAGCAACUUUUAAGACUCAACAGCCUUCCUGGUCAAAAGGCUCACCCUAAGUAAUUGGGCGACACGUGUUAUGGUCCAAAACCAUGACCAGGAUGAAAUGUGUGCAUGACAUCACACAUGUCGAGCAUUCAGCUGGUCUAAAAUCGUAUAUAAACCAUACCCAAUUGUGAUCAGCAAAUCAAAUUUGAGUUAUAACAACUUCAUCUGAAUUUCAAGUGUUUUCAAGAAAACAAAGUAAGAAGAAAAUGGCUGACAACUCUCAAAAGAUGAGCUACCACGCUGGAGAGGCCAAGGGCCAAGCUCAGGUAAUUAGCUCACCUGUAAAUUGUAAUUUUCCAUUUGUUUUUGCUUCUUUCUUCUGUUUUUUUAUAGAUUAAUGUGGGAUGUUUUGUAUUGGAUAAUUUUGGAUUUAACAGGAGAAGGCCGGUGGGAUGAUGGAUAAGGCUAACAAUGCAGCCCAAUCUACCAAGGAGACAAUGCAAGAUGUUGGUCAAAAUGUGCAGGCGAAGGCUCAAGGGGCUGCUGAUGCAGUCAAGAAUGCCACUGGCAUGAACAAAUGAAGCUGCUCAUGAUGAUCAUUUUCAUGACUUUUAAUGACUUUGUAGAGUUAAGAUGAUGGCAAAAUUUCAUUGAGUUUUAUAGACUUUUAUGUAAUUUUUUUUUUCUUUCUUACCCUUCUUUAGAAAGAAAGAAUUUAAAAUUACAUAGAAUUCCAAAAUGAUGGAAUUUAGAUCUCCAUCAUUUUAAGUUACGGCAAUUAAUAAUUUCAGUAUUUGGAUUUAUGUAUAUCGAAUUUUACAAAUAAAAUUUCACGGAAAAACGAAUUCCUUCACUCAAUAGAAAUUGCGAAAUGACGUCUCUUUUUAUUGAAAUUAAACCCAGAAAUCUUGAGUGCUUGACUUUUGUGCUAAAAUAGCCAAACAGUGAAAGUAUUAAAUUCUACUCUUCAAUUCUUUACUUUUAGCUAAAUAAUUAACGUAGGGUAAUAGCAGUAUGUAGUAUGACCAAAAGAAAACGAAUUCUAAUAUUAUCUUUUGAUCAUGAUGAAUUAACUCUUGAGAUCUAUAUAACCAAAAUAAUUAUUCAUGUAGAGAUUGAUGAAUAUCAAUUAUGAAUUCGUUGGGUUUGAGACAAUUUCAUCUCUUAUUUCUAAAGGUCUCAUUCUCGGCCUGGGUGCCUUAGAGCUUUUUGAAAUAUCCACCAGUUGACCAAACACAUUAAAAUGCACUCAAGUCAAGAAACAAGACUCGUAAAUCAGAAAUACAAGAGAACCAAACACGCACAAAAAUACAUAAUGUGAAUGAACUUGGGGUAAUUAUCAAGUAGAAAAUUUUAUAUAAAGCCGGUGUAUGCCUUAUUUUCCUCGUAAUAAGUGUUCACAUAACUAAGCACGUGAAAGAAUGUAGCGUGCAUGAAAGAGUUGGUAUAUGCAUUAUUUUUCUCGUAAUAAGUGGUCACAUAACUAAGCACGUAAAAGAACAUAGCGUGCAUGAUAAUGUAUAAAACUCAUUACACGUAAGAUUUUUUGUGGUUAAAGAUAAAACACUUGUCCAGAAACUUUGGGACAAUAUCGCUUUUAACUCAUGUGGAGGUUAACCCAACAAGUUUAUUAGCAUUUACUCAUUAAUUAGAUGUUCUGGCCUUUCAAUCAAAUAAUAAUAUCUUGUGGCUUAUGGAACAAUCUUGUGAAUUGUAAUUAAUUGAUAAUAUAAUCCAAUAUUACAAUAAUUCCAUAAUGCUGAAAAAAGUAAUUUCCAUUCAAAAAACUGUCUAAGAAACCCUCAGAAUAGCAACUUGGAAGACUCAACAGCCUUCCUGGUCAGAAGGCUCACCCUAAGUUAUAGGGCGACACGUUUUAUGGUCCAAAACCAUGACCUGGAUGAAAUGUGUGCCUGGCAUCACACAUGUCGAGCAUUCAGCUGGUCUAAAAUCGUAUAUAAACCAUACCCAAUUGUGAGAUAUUCAUCAUUAGCAAACCAAAUUUGAGGUAUAAAAACAUCAUCUGAAUUUCAAGUGUUUUCAAGAAAACAAAGCAAGAAGAAAAUGGCUGACAACUCUCAGAAGAUGAGCUACCACGCUGGUGAGGCCAAGGGCCAAGCUCAGGUAAUUAGCUCAUGUGUAAUUCUCCAUUUGUUUUUACUUAUUUCUUCUACUUUCUUUUAAAUAUUACAUUAUUAUAUGUGAAUGUGCAUUGAGAUUGAUGUGGGGUGUUUUGUAUUGGAUACUUUUGGAUUUAACAGGAGAAGGCUAGUGGGAUGAUGGAUAAAGCUAACAAUGCAGCCCAAUCUACCAAGGAGACAAUGCAAGAUGUUGGUCAGAAUGUGCAUGCGAAGGCUCAAGGAGCUGCUGAUGCAGUCAAGAAUGCAACUGGCAUGAACAAAUGAAGCUGCUCAUGAUGAUCAUUUUCAUGACUUUUAAUGACUUUAUAGAGUUAAGAUGAUGACAAACUUUGUUUGAGUUUUAUAGACUUUUAUGUAAUUUUUUUUUCUUUCUUACUCUUCUUUUGAACGAAGGAACUGAAAAUUGCAUAGAAUUCUAAAAUGAUUGAAUUUAGAUCCCCAUCGUUUUCAUUUAUGGUAAUUAAUAAUUUUAGUAUUCGGAUUUAUGUAUGUUAAAUUUUGUAAAUGACAUAAAUUUUAGGGGAAAACGAAUUCUAAUAUCUUUUGAUCACGAUGAAUUAACUCAUGAGAUCUAUAUAACCAAAAUAAUUAUUCAUGUAGAGAUUGAUGAAUAAUAUCAAUUACGACUCUUGAGAUUGGGGCCCAAUUCGUUGGGUUUGAGACUUUUUCAUCUUUUAUUUCUAAAGACAUCGUUUUGGGCUUGGGUGCCUUAGUGCUUUUUGAAAUAUCCACAAGUUUACUAAACACAUUAAUGACAUGUUUAUUAAUCCGUAAUUAGAUUAGGAGCAAUUGAAUUGAUGAUGAAUUGAAUUGGGAAGGAGUUAGAUUGAGGAGAAUUAGAUUUCGGAUUCCUAUUGAAGUUCUUUACUAAACCGUAUGGAUUGAGGAGAAUUAAAUUCCGGAUUUCUAUUGAAGUUGUUUACUAAAUCAUAUGGAAUUGAGGUAAUAGUGGUACUAAUUACUAAAAUGACCUCGUUGUUUGGUUAAAGUAGAUGGCAAAUUUGAAAUUUUGAAAAUUGAGGAUAUAAUGGGUAACAAAGAUGAAUUCCUAAUAGAUUAGUUCUCCAGGAAUUAGAAUACCACUUCCCACCGAAGAAUUGAGUUUCUCCAAAAUUAGGAAUUCAAUUCCUAAUUUUAUAUGGCCCCACUUACUUUUUAAUUCUUUGAUGUGAAAUAAACACAGGAAUUCUCCAUAGGUGGAAUUCAAUUCUUGAUUAGUAAAAACACAAUAAAAUGCACUCAGGUCAAGAAACAGAACUCCGAAAAUCAGAGAUACAAGAGAACCAAACCAACACAAAAAUACAAAAUGUGAAUGAACUUGGGGAAACUAUCAAAUAGAAAAUUUUAUAUAGAGCUGGUGUAUGCAUUAUUUUUCUCGUAAUAAGUAUUCACAUAACCAAGCACGUGAAAGAAUGUAACGUGCAUGAAAGAGUUGGUGUAUGCAUUAUUUUUCUCGUAGUAAGUGGUCAAAUAACUAAGCACUUAAAAGAAUAUAGCGUGCAUGAUAAUGUAUAAAACUCAUUACAAGUAAGAUUUUUUGCGGUUAAAAGUAAAAUGCAUACUUGUCCAUAAACUUAGGGACAAUAUCGCUUUUAACUCAUGUGGAGGAUAACCCAACAAGUUUAUUAGCAUUUACUCAUAAGAUGUUUUGGUCUUUCUAUCAAAUAACAAUAUCUUGUGAGUCUUGCGAAUUAUAAUUAAUUGAUAAUGUAUUUUUAGGCGUAGUAAUUAAGGAAAUAUAAUCCAAUAUUAUAAGAAUUCCAUAAUACUGAAAAAAGUAAUUUCCAUAUUCAAAACUGUCUGAACCCUAAGAAUAGCAACUGUAGAUGAAGAUAAGACUCAACAGCCUUGUCCUGGUCCGAAAGGCUCAUCCCAAGUUAUAAGGCGACACGUGUUAUGGUCCAAAGCCAUGAAAUGUGUGAAUAGCUUCCGCAUGGCAUCACACGUGUCGAGCAUUCAGCUGGUUGAAAAUUCUAUAUAAACCCUACCCAAAUGUGAAAUAUUCAUCAUCAGCAAAUCAAAUUCGUGUUAUAAAAACUACAUCUGAAUUUCAAGUGCUUUCCUCCAGUUUCCAAGAAAACAAAGCAAGAAAAAAAUGGCUUCCAACUCUGAGAAGGUGAGCUACCACGCUGGUGAGGCCAAGGGCCAAGCUCAGGUAAUUUUCUUCACCUAUUAUUCUCCAUUUGUUCCUGCAUUUUUUGUUGUUGAAUAUUACAUAAUUUAUGCUGAAUGUGCAUUGAGAUUGAUGUAAUUUUUCAUUUAACAGGAGAAGGCGAGUGGGGUGAUGGAUAUGGCAAACAAUGCAGCCCAAUCUGCCAAGGAAACAAUGCAAGCGGCAGGCCAGAAUGUGCAGGCCACGGCUAUAGGAGCUGCUGAUGCAGUCAAGAAUGCCACUGGCAUGAACAAAAAAUGAAGCUAGCUGCUCAUCAUGAUCUCAAUAUGAGCAUUUGCAGUUUUUUUUUCUUUUUUUUGGGAGCUUUCUAGUAGUUGCUUUUGAUUUCUGUCUUCUAAACAAGGGAGCUCUAAGUCCUCUGGAGUUCUCAUCAUCUGGGUGUGUACUUUCGUUCACACUUGGUUUUAGUUUUUGUUUUCUUUUUCUUUUUGUUCAUGUUUAUCUCCUUUGAACAAGGAAAGUGGGCUCUGCCUAUUGUAGUUCUCACCUAAUUGAAUCAUAUGCUGUUUUUAAUCCCAUCUAUAUGUUCAAGAUUGGUCCUUUGUUUAUGCAGAUGAGCAAAAUCCGACCUAAGAGUUUCUGAAAAUAAAAAACAUAAAAAAAAGAAGAUAUAAAUUAAUUAAGCAAGUGCGACAACUCAUAAUUAAGAGAAGCUACUUUUGCAUCUGAUAGAAUUUUAUUGAUAAUGCGGGAUGAAAAUAAGUAAAAAAAUUAAGCUAUGUCUAAAUAAUUAGGUGAGCAUCUCUACACAUAAUGACGUAGUGGUCGUCGAACUAUCUAGAUAGUCUAUCUUCUCAACCUUCUCUCGUCGGACUACCUAUAGAUAGCCUCUCGUCGGACUACCUAGGUAGCCUACCUUCUCAACCUUCUCAACUACAAACGAAAAAAAUAAAAACCUUGCCACCGUUAGAGCGGCCCCAUCUCUCUAAGAUUAGCUACUUAACUAUAGAACAAUAUCGUGACUAUGUAGCUAAGUAGCUUUCCCACAUCAAAGAAAUUUCUGUGACCUUCUUCCGUGAAAUUAAAGUACCAUAAUUUGUUGAAAAUUAAAGCACUUUUGUCGAGAAAUAUCUAGAAAAAUCUAGAUAAGAUCACCGACCAAGCUAAAGUCUACAUAUGCCAGAACUGUCAUAUGAAAUAUCCAAUAUGGUACUAUUAGAUUGAUAAUACGAUAAAAACUAGUGGAGACCACAAAGUUGUGGUUAGGAAUGUAGCAGCAGCUCGGCUGAAAAUGUGUGGUUAGGAACAAAACAAGCCCAAGUGGGUGGAGCUUCAGCAUGUCGGCUGCUGUCAUCUGUAAAUGAAUUUGGUAUGUUUAUUUUAAAAUAAAUUAAUCCAUAAUUACAUUAAAUUACCUUUAUUAGUGGGAGUUAAAUUUCCAUUAAUAUGACUCAACUGCUUUAUGCUUGUGUCCAUUAACGUCUUUCUUGGUGGUAUACUAUGUGUAUAUGUUAGUUAUAGCUUGAAAAAGAAAAAGAGAGAAGCCACAGCCUUCUUCCUCUUAUGAUAAAAUUUGGGUUACUAACAAUACAUUUACAUUAAUUACUCUCUCUUGUAGAAAUGUGAUAUUAAUUUAUUGAUUGCAAUCAUUAAUAAAAUUUAGAGGAUUGACGGUAAUGACAAUAUGUAUAAAUGUUUUAAAAACAGUGGCCAAGGUUUUGUGUACUUGGUAGGCUUGUUAAGUUGCUGGACCCAAUUCUACAUCAAAAGAGAGGUGGAGUGCAUUUAUAGUGCAAACUCAAAAUUGGACCUAUAUCAAAAGACUCAUUCUUUUAAUUUAUGUAUUGAGAUUUCUAAGCAACAUAGUUAGAAAGGUGUUUGUUACCUUUUCUAAACUGCUUGCAUAAAUUGGGCGUAGAGCCGCGAAACGUCUGAAAGAGAACGACUUCGUACGUGACUCAUCCCAAGAAUCGUUCCAAACUACAUACUAAAUUUUUCGUGUAAUAUUGUUCUCUUAUUUUAAUUUGUUCAUCAACAAUUUAAAGACCUUUUCAUCUGCCAUUGAUGUGAAUAAUAAGGCUUAUAGAUUCUAUGACCAAAAGAACCAUGUUGUACUUGAAUCUAAAUGAUGUUUAAAAAAAAAGAAGAUAAAUUCUCAUAUAAAUUGAGAAAUUGUGGGGACUCAAGUUCUAGUAAUACAUCUUUCCCAUAAAUCAUGAACCUAGAUGUAUAGAACAUUUUUAACCAACUUAGAACCAAGGAAGAGUAAGAAAACGAAUUGCCAAGGAUUUUGGACCUAAUUUUCAUGUUCAUACCUUAGAGCAAGGAUUUUGGACCUAACUUUCACACUUGGUUUUUGUUUUUGUUCAUGUUAUCUCCUUUGAACAAGGAAAGUGGGCUCUGCCUAUUGUAGUUCUCACCUAAUUGAAGCAUAAUCUUUUUUCAUGUGCUGGUGUUAGAAUUAUCUUCAUCCUUUACUUCGAUUUAAUCCCAUCUAUAUAUUCAACUAGACAACGAUAGAAUCGUGACUGAAAAACUGCCGCUGAUGCCUUGCAAGAGACGAUGGUCACGUAUACGACGAUUAUGUGUCACAUAAGAGGACUGCACUGUGUCUAGAAAAAUCUAGAUAAGAUACCGACCAAGCUAAAGUCUACAUAUGCCAGAACAGUCAUAUAAAGUAUCUCGGCUGAAAAUAUGUGGUUAGGAACAAACAAGCCCAAGUGGGUGGAGCUUGGGCAUGUCGGCUGCUGUCAUUUGUAAAUGAAUUUGGUAUGUUUAUUUUAAAAUAAAUUAAUCAAUAAUUACAUUAAAUUACCUUUAUUAGUGGGAGUUAAAUUUCCAUUAAUAUGACUCAACUGCUUUAUGCUGGUUUUAAGUCUAUUAACGUCUUUCUUGGUGGUAUAUUAUGUAUAUAUAUAUUAUUAGCUAUAGCUUGAAAAAGAAAAGAGAUAGAAAAGCCACAGCCUUCUUCCUCUUCAUCCCUAUGAAUUCUCUCCUUCUUUUACUUUAUGUAUUGAGAUUUCUAAGCAACAUAGUCAAAAAGGUAUUUGUUAUCUUUUCUAAACUAUUUACACAAAUUGGCGCAAAGUCGUGAAACGUCUUAAAGAGAUCGACGUAAUACGCAACUCAUCCUAAGAAUCGUUCCAAGCUCCAUAUUGUAUUUUUCGUAUAAUAUUGUUCUCUUAUUUUAAUUUGUGCAUCAACAAUUUUAAGAGGUUUUUAUUUGCCAUGGAUGUUAAUAAUAAGGCUUAUAGAUUCUCUGACUUAAAGAACCAUGUUGUAAUUGAAUCUAAUGAUACUGUUUAAAAAAAGAAGAAGAUAAAUUCUCAUUUAAAUUAAGAAAUUGUGGGGACUCAAGUUCUAGUAAUACAUCUUUCCCAUAAAUAAUGAACCUAGAGGUAUAGAACAUUUUUAACCAACUUGGAACCAAGGAAGACUAAGAAAGAACGAAUUAAUUGCCAAGGAUUUGGACCUAAUUUUCAUGUUUAUACCUUAGAGUAGGAUCCCACCACUCUCCAAUCACAUAUAUAUAUAUACAUAUAUAUAUUUUAUAUUCAGAUUUAUUUCGUUAAUUUUUUUUAAUCUUUCAUAUUAUUUACUUAUGGUUUUACAAGAUUUUAUUGUUUUGUAGUUUCGCUAAUAUGCUGCUCCGGUGCUUCCAUUACAAUUUUUUUUUAGAGAACUUCUCCAUCACAUCUGUAAAUGUACAAUCAUACAAUAUUUCAGUGAGUUUUAAUUAGCAUGUGCCUUCUUUAUGUUGUCGGCCACCUAUAUUGGAUACACAUUCAUAUAGAAAAAGUCACCUAUAUUGUCUAAUUUACUGUCAGCUCUGCAUCACUCAAUAAAAAUUAUGUGCAGGUGGGAUCUCUGAGAUCUGGUAUUUAUCAAGAGUUAGAUUCAAUUAUACAAAAGAUCAUUUCUAUUACUCUCUUUUCCAUCAAUAUUUUCUCAACCCAAAAAUUCCAACCAUCACUAGUAAUGUAUGAAUAUGUCAACAUUAAUCAAAUAAUUAAUAACACGUAAACAUCCAAUAUCAAAAACAUUAUAAUAUCAAGCUAUAAUAUAAUAUUCACGAAAUUUAAUUCAAUCAAUUCUUGUAAAGGCCCUAAAAAAUCCAUACCUCAAUUCCAAAGCUAGCUCAAAAUUUAAGAAAACACAAACUAGGCCUAUAUCUCCUCCAAGAAUUUGAUCAUCUCUCUCUUUCUCUCUUUUACUUCCUCUCUCAUUUCUUUUUUGUUUCUUACUCUUAUUUCAAUUCUAGAAGGCCCUAUUUAUACUAGCAUAAGUCGGCAACAACAAAGAUCUCAUUGGAUAAUUGUUUGGCAGCUAAGAAAUGAGAUAUGCAUGGAAGCUAUCUUUAUAUAAUAUAAACUAAUAUUAAUCCUAUCACAAAAGUAGAUAAAGUAACUAGAAGAUUGACACAUCAACCCUAAGAGAUAAAUUAUACCUGCAUCUGCUCCAGCUCAAGGUAAACAAUGGCAUGAAAUUGACGCCAACUCCCAUCUAAAGCUACCUCUUGCUAAUCAAAGGAUAAUUCUAACACCUCAUCCUUACUAACUCCAGCUCAUGUUAAUUUUCACAUGUAGUUGAAUGUAUCCAUUUCACUAUAAAGACUAAUGCCACGUUUUCAAGUUAAAAUAAUUAUAAUUAUAAGACAGGAAGAGAUCGAUAUAUAUAAUAGAAAACUAUUUAAUCUUCAAUAUAUAUAUAUAUAUAUUUUUUUAAAUACGGGUCUUCACAGAAACUACAUUGGAUGAAGUGUAAAUUAAUUGUGAAACCUUUUUGAAGAAGACUCAAAUAAAAUGAUAAAUUAUAUAACUAUAAGUGGCAUUUAAUUUUGAAUUUUGGUGUAAGGGUUUCGACCCUUAAAUCCUUUGAAGCAUGAUUAACCCAUCAGGUGAUAUGAUUUCAUCAGUCCCAAUAUCUUGGACCACAGGAGUCUAAGAUAUUGUGGUCAUCUACUGUUGGAUAUUAAUCUAAUAGUUCAAAAAAGUUUCUUAAAAUGAGUGCAAGAGUGAGUGAACCGUUGAAUUUCCAUCUAACGGUGAGUGACCACAAAUCUCUUGAACCCAUGUAGUCCAAGAGAUCGGGACUGAUGAUUUCAUUAUUAUAUUUGUUAUGGUUAUCAAGAUGAGUUUUGAUUGGGCAUAUCCUAUGAAAUUUAAAAAUACUUUGUGAGUACCGUUUUAAUAUACUUCAUGACUUUUCUUAUUUUGUAAAGGUUGAGAAUUUCCUUAACUAGCCGGGGUUGAGAAUUCGGGGGUUAUUGCUUUAAGAUCCCUUUACUUUGCCACUUCAGAAACCCAAAUGGAGACUGUUAAGUUUAAUCUGACAUACUUGAAAAUGUGGAGGUUCGUUAUGUUCAUUUAAUGACCUAUCUAAUUAAUAAGUGACUACUUUAUUUUGGCAAAUACGCCAAUAUAUCUUAAUAGUAGAUUUUGCUUAUAUCAUACAACAUUAUUUUGAUAUGAAAGUGAGUGUGACUAGUGACAUUCUUGGUAUUAACAGGUUUCUUUGAGGAUUGAGAAGAUACAAUGACGAUUUGGAUAUGCCAUGUAGCCACUUGAAGCGCACAAUAAAGGAAGCUUCAGCAGGUGCACUCAAAGAAUUGAUAUAUUUUAAUGAAUACCGAUAUUUGGGAGGUAUAUAUAUAUAUUUUUGAUUAUAUAUAUGAAUUGAUAUAUAUCGGAUUUCUGUUAUACUUUAAUGUAUAGUGAUGCACAUGUGAUCUCCAAUGGUAUUGAGAUGAAAUUUACUGAUCAUUUGUCUGCAAUGUUCUAGCAAAUAUUUCUGAUGGACGUGCAAGUUUACAAGUGGAUCUAGUUUGGAGCAUUGGUAUGCUAUUGAGGGUCAUGCGGUACCUUAAAAAGACGAUGAACCUUGAAUUACACUAUUAGAAGUUUGCUGUUAUCCUAGAAGGAUAUAGCAAUGCUCAUUGGAAUACCCUGUCAGAAGAUUCAAGGGCUACUGGAAGUCUUAGAAACAUACUAUUCUAGCUCAGUCAACAAUGGAUUCAGAGAUGAUAGCUCUAGCAAUGGAUAGUGACAGCAAGUUGGUUGAGAAACUUACUGACAGAUACCCUCUUGUGGGAGAGAUCGAUACCAGUUGUUCUUAUCCACUGUAAUAUAGUGGAUUACGAUGUAAUGAGAAUUUAGCUGAUCCUUUGACGAAAAGACUACCAUGAGAAAAGGUUUGGAAAACCUCAAAAGGAAUGGACUAAAACCCAGGAAAGUUAAGUCACUUGUGAUGGUAACCCAACCUACAAACUGGAAAUCCCAAGAAAAAGGUUCAAUGGGUAAUAACAAGUCAUGUAGUGAUACAAGGUUGAGUUUAACUCUUAAUGAGAUCUAUACUACAUAUUAAGUGGGAUAUCUAGCUACAUAUCCUUGAUGAUCCCCUAUGUGAAUGUGGACGUGAGGCCGCUUUCUAUGAAAAUUUGAGGGAGAUUUUUAAAAGGAUUCACUAUACCGGGAUAUAAGCAUAUGGCCGUAACGUGCUUGCCUUUGAACUUCACCAUAGUAGGGCUGUGUGGUGUUGUUAGAGAAAGAGUUUAGAACUAUACGUUACUCUUGUAUAUUCUAGAGUUCUGUCACUACGUAGAGGUUCAAGUUAAAAAAACACCUUUACUUAUGCACAAUCUUAUGAUAUGUUGCUCAAUGAACUUAUUUUUAAAAUAAAUAAGUGGGGAUUGUUGAAUUUGGUAUGUUUAUUUUAAAAUAAAUUAAUCAAUAAUUACAUUAAAUUACCUUUAUUAGUGAGAGUUAAAUUUCCAUUAAUAUGACAGAUUUUUCUUAACUGCUUUAUGCUGGUUUUAAGUCCAUUAAUGUCUUUCUUGGUGGUACAUUAUAUAUAUUAGCUAUAGCUUGAAAAAGAAAAGAGAAAGAAAAGCCACAACCUUCUUCCUCCUCAUCCCAAUGAAAUUCUCUGUUUCUUUUACUUUGUGUAUUGAGAUUUCUGAGCAACCUAGGGACGUAGUAGCUUUUUCAAAAUUGUUUGCACAAAUUGGGUAGAGUCAUGAAACAUCUUUAAAAAAAGUGACUUAGUACACGACUCAUUCAAAGAAUCGUUCCAAGCUACCUAUUGUAUUUUUCGGGUAAUAUUAUCUUAUUUUAAUUUGUGCAUCAACGGUAGAUAGGAGUGCAAACCGUUUCAUUCUUCUAAUUGUACAACUCGCUUAUGGUUUUUAGGAUUAGAUUGGAUUGGACUUAUGGUAGGAUAUCAACAACUUAUAACUUAUCUCACCCAAUUCCCCAAAAUGAAAAAUCAUUUAUUUCUGCAUUCAUUCCCUCCUUCGACUAACGUGAACGGUGGCGAUUAUUUUGGACUAGUUUACGCUGGUGGUGAAUAGAGAAGAUGCUUAGUAUUUUGGAGGGAGGUGUUUCCUUGACCGAAUUUUCCUCCACUGGAGUUUUCAAAGCAAGGUUUUAUGAGGUCACCCAAGGUACACCUCCUUUCUCCAAUUUUUCUUGUUUUUUCUAGAAUGUUAUUUUGAUUGUUUCUGAAGAAGUAAUAAAGAUUGUUUAUUUGAUAAAAAAUAAUAAGGGGAAAUGGUAAUGCUAGUAAAUAAAUAUUUGUAUCAAUUCUCAGUAGGAAGUAGUUGUCAAUGUAAAAACAAUUUGAUUUGAGGGUGGUUUUUAGUAAAUAAAUAUUUUGUAUCAAUUAUGUGGUGCAAUGAGGAAUUUUAUAGAUGUAGAUAGCAAUGUUCGAAAAAUCGCUAGGCAAGGGCCUAGUGGCUAGAGAGUAAUCGGGCUUAGGCUUUUUUUUAUAAAAAUAAUUAUUUGUAUUAUAAAUUAUAAAUUUAUACCAAAAUCAUGCAAAAUAAAACGAUAUAUAAAUUAUAAAAAAUCGUAAUUGAUAUAAAACAUGGGAAAAAGUUAAUACCAAGAAAAAUACUUGAAAUGAAACGCUAGGCCUCUAAAUCUCACUCUUCCUCUGACUAGGUUUUAUUUAAAGUCAGGCAAAAUAAAAAAAUAAAAAAAUAAAAAAAAGGGACCCAACCCGCCUAGCCCGCCUAGCCCGCCUAGGCGGAUUUUUUAUUUUUUAUUUUAUUUUUUAUUUGUUGGACGAUUUUUCGAAUACAUAGAUAGUAACUCGGUUAUGUUUUUAUCUUAUCCGACCCCUGAAAAUCCACCAAACUUGUGCCGAUAUAGCAGAUACAUUGAUUUUUCUCCUUCCCGUUCCACUCACGGUUGACAAACUCAAAAGAGCUUCUCCGGCGAAGCAAUGGCGGUGCCUCUCUUCAACCUUACCCCCAAUCUUACCGACUCUAAGUCUGAUACUUUGGCCCCCCCUCUCAUCCUCAAAUAUCAAUUCAUUCGUCGCACAGACGAUGACUUUCGGCGAGCAAAACACGUUUCCGAAGUUGUUUGGCCUCCUCGACCAAGCUUUCCUGUCCAGCAUCAAUUUCUUCGACUAUACAGAAAUGUAUCUAGUGGUUCAGUGAGCCCAGACUCAGGGUCAGGGGAGGAGCGAGGAGCGUCGUUUUGGCCACCGAGGUUGUAAAGUAGCUCUGAGAGUAUCAGUUCGUGCUAACAAUGUGUGAAAAUUUGUUCUGAUGUUACAGGUACCGUCUGGGCAGAUGACUUGGAUACGAGAUGGUCCCAAGUGUUUGAAUGCUAAGAAUAUCACCGAGGCCAUUGACAGCAGGUUUGCUAAAGCAAACAGUUUGUAAUUUUUCUUCUGUUUAAAAACACUUCGUGUUAUGCUGUGCUGAGUGAUGAGUUAUGUAAUGUUUAGAUGCAGCUUAAGUGUUUUCGGAUUGCAGACAGAGUACAUUGAUCAUUGGCCUGAUCGGUUUGUAUGUAGAUAAGUGUUUUCGGAUUUCUUUUUCACAUGACUCUAAAUUUGCAGAUUGACAUGAAUCUGCCCCUCUGGGUGAGAAAAUGAUAGUCAUACCUUUUCACUGGUUUGGGUAUGAUGCUCAGUGGUUAUUAAUAUUUUUUUUUAAGUCAGUAUAUUACUUUUGAUUAAGUGUAUGCAUGCAUGCUUGGGUGUGGGGGUAUAUACAAGCCUGGGCUUCCGCAUCUGUGCCAUAGCAGUUCAUGAAUGUCUGCAGUACUCCUUGUUCUAAAAGGAAAAUUAUUUUGAAAAUUAUCUUUAGUUCCAGAAUUUGAUCUCUUUACUCCAUGUUGUAUUUAUCGAAUAUUGCCCGUCGCAUGUUGAUUUACUAAUCUGCUUGUAUUUCCAUUCACAGGAUACAUUGGUAUUGCAGGGAAGUACAGUGUUCAUCCAGUAUCUCUUGCAAUAGGUUCGACACCUCUCCCUCCAAUUCUUUAUAGGUUCUUCAUGUUCUUAUCCACGUUAGGACUCUGGUUUGGAGACUUAAUGGGGGGUCCUGCAGAUGCUUGGUUGAAUCUUUUUAGAGGUCAAUUUUCAAAUUGUUCAUCUCAUCUUUUGAUAUGUAGGAACUUAGAAUACUAAAAUACUUUUCUAGGAUUUUUAAAUAAUUUUAAAUUCCACAAAAUUAAUUACUAGUUAUGAAGUAAUUUAUGAAAUUAAUUAAAAUAUUAAAAUAUUAAUUCUUCACUAAAUAAAAAAUAAUUAAAACAUCAUAUAUUUAAAGAGUAUAGCCGUUCGGCUAUACCUUUUGAAUAUUCGAAUAUAUUUAAAGAGUACAAUAUUUCCACCGUAUAGCGAGCGGCUAUACCGUUUAAAUAUUCCAAUAUAUUUAAAGAGUAUAGCCGUGCGGCUAUACGUGUGAGCAAUAGUACAGCCGUUCGGCGAUAUUUAAAUUCGAGUAUAGCCGCGCGGCUAUACUAUAUACGAAUAUUUAAAAAAGUAUAGCCGAGCGGCUAUACGCUUUAAAUAUAUUAUGUUCUAAUUAUUAUUUAUUUGGUGAAUAAUUAGUAUUUAAAUAUUUAAUUUACUUCAUAAAUAGUGAUUAAUUGUAAUUAAGUAUCUUAAAUAAAUUUGUGAAAUUUUAAAAUAGUUUCAAUUAUUUAAAAAUCCUAGAAAAUUAUUUUUGUAUUCUAAAAAUGGAUUUUAGUCUCCAAACCCUAAAUCCAAGUCUUGAAUUGGGGACUGUUACCAUUGGUAAUGGCGGUGUUUUGCAAAACAUUCAUCACCCUAUUGCCGAAGAAGAUUGGUAAAGGGAAAUUAGACAAUUGAUCUGUCUCUCAAGAAUUUUAGAGUUGCUUGUUAAAAUUUGGAGAUGGAAUGUUGUAAACACAAAUUUUGGAAAUUUUGAAUGAAUAUAGAAUCGUAAUGAUAAUUUUGGUUUAAUAAUUAUCUUUGCCGAGUGAUAAUUUUGCAUAAAUUAUGUCUGAUUGAAGGUGUGAUGCGUCUCCGGCAACGAAACAAUGGACCUGGCUUUUAACAACAAUCCAACUUACUCCAGGAGGCUUUUCUAACCCUUUUCCCUUAGCCGUGUUCUUAUCUGCCUGACCUCCAUCCUAGACCUGCUGCAGCAUAUGUAUUAAGAUAUCAGAACAUAAUUCCCCGCAUUCAUCGGUUCUAAUGCAACAAGUUUUUCAAAUAUGGUUCCAGCUAACUUCGUGGCAGAAUGAAGUCGACAAGCAUUGAGCAAGGCUCCCCACAUUGAUGCAUCUACUUCAACAGGCAUUGAUUCAAAGCUAGGCCUCUAAAUCUAACUCUUCCUCCUCCUCUCCAUAUCCCUCCAAGACUAGAUUUUAUUUAAAGUCAGGAAAGAAAAAAAAGAAAAAAAAAAAGGACCCAACCCGCCUAGCCCGCCUAGGCGGAUUUAUUUUUUAUUUUUUAUUUUUUAUAUUUAUUGGACGAAUUUUCGAACACAGUAGUAACUUGGUUCUGUUUUUAUCUUAUCCAACCCCUGAAAAUCCACCAAACUUGCGCCGAUAUAACAGAUACUUUGUUUUUUCUCCUUCCGGUUCCCCUCACAGUUGACAAACUCAAAGAGCUUCUCAGGCGAAGCAAUGGAGGUGCCUCUCUUCAACCUCGCACCCAAUCUUACCGACUCUGAGUUUGAUUCUUUGGCCAUCCCUCUCAUCCUCAAAUACAAAUUCAUUCUUCGCGCAGGGACGAUGACUUUCGGCAAGCAAAACACGUUUCCGGAGUCGUUUGGCCUCCUCGACCAAGCUUUCCUGUCCGGCAUCAAUUUCUUUGACUCUACAGAAAUGUAUCCUGUGGUGAUCAGCGAGCCCAGACUCAGGGUCAGGGGAUGAGUGAGGAGUGUCGUUUUGGCCACCAAGGUUGUAAAGUAGCUUUGAGACUGAGAGUAUCAGUUCAUGCUAACAAUGGUGUGCCAGCUUGGUUUUCACUUCUGAUGUGUGAAAAUUUGUUCUGAAUUGAUAUAUAGCGGAUUUCUGUUAUACUUUAAUGUAUAGUGAUGCACAUGUGAUCUCUAAUGAUAUUGAGAUGAAAUUUACUGAUCAUUUGUCUGCAAUGUUCUAGCAAAUAUUUCUGAUGGACAUGCAAGUUUACAAGUGGACCUAGUUUGGAGCAUUGGUAUGCUAUUGGGGUAUGCUAUGAGAAGUUUGCUGCUAUCCCAGAAGGAUAUAGCGAUGCUUAUUGGAAUACCCUGUCAGAAGAUUCAAAGGCUACUGGUAAGAAACAAAAUAUUCUAGCUCAGUCAACAAUGGAGUUAGAGAUGAUAGCUCUAGCAUAGUGAAAGCAAGUUGGUUGAGAAACUUACUGACAAAUACCCCUUCGUGGGAGAGAUCAAUACCGACUGUUCUUAUCCACAGUAAUAGUGGAUUAUGUACGAUUUGAUGAGAAUUUAACUGAUUCUUUGACGAAAGAACUAGAAUGAGGAAAUGUUUGGAAAACCUCAAAAGGAAUCAAACUAAAACCAUGGGAAAAUUAAGUCACUUGUGAUGGUAACCAACCUAUAGACUGGAAAUCCCAAGAAAAAGGUUCAAUGAGUAACAACAAGUCAUGUAGUGAUAUGAGUGGAGUCAUGCUAGUAUUGUUCCAUAUCCAUCCUUAGAAGCAUGAAAUCCUACAGCGAUAUAAGGUUGAAAGUUUAACUCUUAAUGAGAUCUAUACUCUAUAUUGAGUGGGAUAUCUAACUACAUGAAUAUCCUUGAUGACGGACCCAGGAUUUCAAAAUAGAAUGAGCUAAAUUUACCUUACAUACCUAAUAGGAAAACAAAAACGUAAUUGCAAAUCGCUAAUUGAUAAUUCAUAACAUUGAAUUGAAAAUCCCUAAUUUAUACUUCAUGAACCUUAAAAAAAUCCCCAAAUUUCAGUAACAACAAAUUGAGGAAAGAAAAUUGUAAGAUUCCAGCAAUAAAAUAAAUUUUUUGCUAACAUUCCACCAAUAAAAUAUGACCCACCAAGAAAAUUGAACAUGUUGAAAGGCUGAUGCGUGAAGUGGGGUAAGUUGUAGGGUGGGCUACAUGUGACUUUGGGCUAAAAAAUAAUAAAGGCUAACCUGGGCCUAUCCUUGGGUCCGUCCCUGCUUGAUGAUCACCUAUGUGAAUGUGGAAGUAAGGCCGCUUUCUAUGAAAAUUUGGGGGAAAUUUUCAAGAACAUUCACUAUAACAGGAUAUAAGUAUAUGGCCAUAACGUGCUUGCUUUUGAACUUCACCCUAGUAGGGCUGUGUGUGUGGUGUUGUCAAAGAAAGAGUUCAAAACUGUAUGUUAUUCUUGUAUAUUCUGGAGCUUUGUCACCAUAUAGUGGUUCUAGUUGAAAAACACAUUUACUUAUGCACAAUCUUAUGAUAUGUUGCUCAAUGAACUUUUUUUAAAACUAAACAAGUGGGGGAUUGUUGAAUUUGGUAUGUUUAUUUUAAAAUAAAUGAAUCAAUAAUUACAUCAAAUCACCUUUAUUAGUUGGAGUUAAAUUUCCAUUAAUAGAGAGAUUUUUCUCUAUUGUUUUAUGCUGGUUUUAAGUCCAUUAACGUCUUUCUUGGUGGUAUAUUAGAGCAUCUCCAGCAAACUCUCUAUCCACUCAUACUUGGUUCUCUAUUUUGGAGAACCAACUUUUGGUUCUCUAUAUCUAGCAAAGAAGAACCUAGACAAAGGAGAUUAUGGGGUUGUUUUAUUCCAGGGACGUAGUGGCCUUUUCUGAACUGCUAGCACAAAUUGGGUAGAGCUGCGAAACUUCUUAAAAAGAGCGACUUAGUAUGCGACUCAUCCCAAAAAUUGUUCCAAGCUACAUAUUGUAUUUUUCGGGUAAUAUUCUCUUAUUUUUAUUUGUGCAUCAAUAGUAAAUAGGAGUGCAAACCUUUUCAUUCUUCUAACUCUAUAGCUCGCUUUUGGCUUCUAGGAUUAGAUUGGAUGGGACCAACAACUUAUAACUUAUCUCACCCAAUUCCCCAAAAUGAUAAAUCAUUUAUUUCUACAUUCAUUCCCUCCUUCAAUUUAUCUUAGUGACUUAUCCAAUCCAAUCUAAUUCUAAGCACCAAUCGAACCCUAAGUCUCUUGUCCUAAACCCUAAACACUAACUCUUCCUAAACUCCUUCACUCAUCAAAAGAGUUUCUUUAGUUCUCUUUUGAUUGGUAGCGUUUCAGAAAUUUGAAUGUUCAUGCAUGAUUUUUAUUUGUGCUCUUUAUCUUCAUGCUCUAUGAAGAUGGCCACAAGGCAGCUACAUCAAAGUGGUUGGUUUUUCCUAUACGAGUUUUCACUGCUUAUAGAUUUUGUGGCAGACGUGUAGAGCACAUAUGGAGGAGAUUUUAACCAGUCUGGCAGACGUGUAAACAUAUCUUGAUAUAUACUCUCCAGGGAAGAGGGCUCUGCCAUUUGUAGCUCUCAUAAUUCAUAGACUUUAUCAUUGUGACCUGGUUCUAUAUGUAUAGUUGAUCUACUUCGGAAUAAGCCCAUCUCUGUGAAUUUAUGUUAUGAGGAAACAAAAGUUGCAAAGACGUUUUUAAUUUCCUACCUCUACUUUCCAUAGUCGGUUCCACAUCAGUCAUCUAAUUUCUCAACCUUUCUCUUUCGCAAAUCUUCUGGCAAGGAACUCAAAGAAGACUUUGAACCAAAGAUUCCAAAAAAUAAAAUAAAUUUAACUCAAGCUUGCAAAUUAAGAGAAGAAGUAAAAGAAAUUUCUCUGACCUUCUUCUGCUUCAAUCGAAUUAUCGAUUAUUUUUUAAAUAUGACAUACCUCCAAGCACCUGUUGUUCAUGUAUCAUUACAUGAAGAUAAAAGUGACACUCGGCUUUGGGACUGUUUAUAUAGAAUCACUUAUGCUUAUAAGCACUUUUAUUUUUAUUUUUGCAAGACGAUAAGUGCUUUCAAAUUAUAAGCAUGUUGAAAUGUUUAUUAAAGAUCCAAGUUCUUAAAGUGCUUCAUUAAGAAACUCUUAGCAGAAAAUGCUUUUAAAACCCAUAAUUAAAACUUAUUUUUUCCAAACACCUUCAGAAAUGCUUUUAAUUAUAGAAAUUUAGUUUACAAUCUGUAUCAAAGGACUUGGGCUGGGGCUGAUUGUCUAUUUUGUUUUUAGGUGUGAGUGGAAUUUCAAACUUAAAUGAGGUUACUUUUGGUAUUUCAAAAACUUUGCUAUUUUAUUUGAAUAUUACAAAAUAAAAAAUUUUAAAAAUAAAAGAUUUUUGCGAUUUUAUCAACAAACCAAAAAAGGGUUAACCAAAAACCCUAAUCUCCGUCAGACGCACAAUUCAUCCUCGCUCGGAAACCCUGUUCCCAGCAAUGAGACACCAAUGGCGUCUGCUUCUUCUCCGAGCUCACCACCGCUCUUCGCCUCACGUGUUCGUAAAGUGUUGUUACUCUCAGGUACACUCCCAACCCAAUCUCCAUUCACUUAGCUCUCUCACUUCUCACUUCCACACUCACACUCUCGACCCAAAGCUUUCACCUUCACACCCCGUUUUCAAUUCCCAUCUCACGACCCCAAUAAACCCUAGAAACCCCUUGUCCCGCAGCCUCUCAUCUGAACCGGCACUUGAGCUUAAAGACUCCGAUCACGGGGCCAUAGCUGAGAUUUUCGCUAAACACAGGGGUGUGGAUGAUAUUAGGAAAGACUUGGAAUUGAACAAUGUUGUGAUUAGCCAUGAUUUGGUUUUGAGGGUUUUGAAGAGCCUCGAAUCGAACCCUGAUGUUGCAAGGAGGUUUUUUGAUUGGGUUUUGGCAUGUGAAGGUGAGAGAUUGAGCUCCAAGUCGUAUAAUUUUAUGCUGGGUAUUUUUGGUGUUAAUGGGUGUGUGAGUGAAUUCUGGGAUUUGGUUGAUGUUAUGAAGAAAAAAGGGUAUGGUGUAUCGAAAUGGGUGCAGGAUAAAGCUUUAGAAAAAUUUGAGAAGGAUGGGUUGGGUGGUGAUGUUGAGAAGUUGAGAGUGGUGUUUGCAUCAGGGUCUACUGACAAUUCCCCAGAUAAGAUUUGUUCAAGGGUGUGCAAGAUUGUUAGAAAUGAGGUGUGGAGUGGUGAUGUUGAGAGGAAAAUACUUGAUUUGAAUGUUGCAUUGUCUAGCGAUAUGGUUAAAGUGGUGUUGGAAAAUCUUAGUACGGAGCCAAUGAAAGCACUGAUAUUUUUCCGGUGGAUGGAGGAGAGUGGGUUUUUGAAGCAUGAUCAACAGACUUAUAAUGCUAUGGCAAGGGUAUUGGGAAGGGAAGAUUGUAAAGACAGGUUUUGGAAAGUUGUUGAUGAAAUGAGAAGCAAUGGGUAUGAACUGGAGUUGGAGACAUAUGUUAAGGUUUUAGGGCGAUUUUGCAAGAGGAAAAUGAUUAAGGAUGCUGUGGACUUGUAUGAGUUUGCAUUGACUGGUGCAAAUAAACCUUCGGUGCAUUGUUGUACCUUUCUGCUGAGGAAAAUAGCGGGUGGUAAGCAGCUGGAUAUGAGUCUAUUUUCUAGAGUUGUUAGGGUGUUUACAGAGAAUGGGAAUGUGUUGACAGAUUCAAUGCUCAAUGCAGUCCUUAAGGCUCUGAACGGUGUUGGUAGACAUGGAGAGUGCAAUAAGGUUUUCAAAGCAAUGGAGGAAGGUGGGCUUGUAGCUAGUGGUAGUUUACAGAGUAAGAUUGCAUUCCGACUUAGUAGUGCUGGCAAAAAGGAGCAAUCAAGUGAAUUUAUUAACAAUAUGGAAGCUUCUGGGCGCAGUUCAGAUUACAAGAUAUGGGCGUCCUUAAUUGAGGGUCAUUGUGUAGCUGGUAAUCUCAACAAUGCUUCCAAUUGUUUCCAAAAGAUGCUUGAAAAAGAGGGGGCCGCCUAUGCUGGUUAUGCUUUUGAAUUAUUGGUAAAUGCAUAUUGCAGAAAGAACAGGGCAACAGAUGCAUACAAGUUACUCCACGAUUCAGUCAAUGAAAGGCAGCUCAAGCCAUGGCAUAUGACAUACAAAUUGUUGAUUAGUAAGUUGUUGGUUCAGGGUGGAUUUAAAGAUGCUCUGAAUAUUCUGGGUCUGAUGAAAAAUGAUGGGUUUCCUCCUUUUGUUGAUCCUUUCAUCGAGUAUGUAUCAAAGUCUGGAACAGGUGAUGAUGCUAUAGCUUUUCUGAAGGCGAUGACUUCAAAUAGAUUUCCAUCUACCUCUGUGUUUCUCAGUGUAUUUAAAGCCUAUUUCAAGGCUGGACGGCAUACUGAAGCGCAAAAUUUCCUUUCAAAAUGCCCGGGAUUCAUUCGUAACCAUGCUGAUGUUUUGGAUCUCUUCCUUUGUGCUCAAUCCGGAGAAGGUGCUGCUUCCCCUGCGUCUGCAGUUGCUACCCCUGCAGCAGCUACACCUGUGGUGGCUGCUUAGGUUUUUUAAGAUUGUAUCUUGUACUGUAUUUCACGAGGUUAAUGUAGCAGAGAAUUUGUUCAAAAAAUUUUGGUUUGAAUAUUGUCUUUGCUCCUACCAUUGAUAUUAAUGAUUAUGGGAGUAUUUUCAACUCUUUUGGUGGAGGAAAAUAAAAUCUAUGGUAUUCAAGUUUCCAGAUGCUCCUUAGAUUUUUCUAAUCUUUUUCUUAUGAUAUAUGGCCUUGGCAUUUCAAGUUCUUAUUGAAUGACCGGAUUGCUGAUGAUAUCACAUAGAUCUAAUGUGCCUCAGUGGUCUGUGGCAUCACACUUUUUUGGGUCAAGUUAUGUUGUGUGUAUUAAGUCCAGUCGUUAUGGUUGUGUUUUGUGGGUUUCAGUUGUCUGGAUUAGGCUUUCAAGACUUUUCAUCUCUGUCGAAUGCUUACCUCUUGCAAAAGCUCUUUAGCCAGUACCUAUAUGUUUUCAGCGAUGCUUUACAAAGAGAAGUUAAAAUGACAAUGACAAGUUCUUGCUCGUCUGUAAGAGGUUGCAGGAGAAGGUUACAGACUUACAGUCUCAAAUUUUUAUAGUAAGAUGCCGAAUUCCUAAUUUGAUUCGAUUCUACUCGGUUGUUUUCUAGAGCUUAUGGAAGAUGUUUACAAGCUGGUUAUAUAUGCAGAAGAAAUCAACAAUUAAAAUUGAAGUUGGCAACAUCUGCAUUUUAAUUGCAGAGGCGCAAGGAGGUGUGCACCUCCUCUCGCUGGAAAGAGCUCUGGAGGUUGUGGAAUUUGCCCCUCAGCUCCGCAAUGGAAGUGCCUCUGCGAAAUUGCUUUUUGUUUGCUGUGGUGUUGCGUUGUUGGGCUGUUGCUCGCAGCACAGCCGCAUGCAUUUUUUAUAAAAGUCCCUAGCCAAAACGAUUCGUUUUGGACCAGGGCAAUGAAAAGACAUAAGGAUAAAGCCUUAUAUUCUGCGGAUAGGAACCCACUGCCAAAUUACAAUUAAUAUUAUUAAUAAUUUAAUACAAAGAGAGUCCUAAAUUGAAUUGAAGAAGCCGACAUACCCAAAUCUCAAGGUCUGUGUUUUUUUUUUCCCCUUUUGGUCUUUUUUUCUUCUGGUUUUUUAUUUCUAUUUUUUUUAUAAUAUGUUUUUUUUUAUAAUAAUUAUUUUUUUUUUGAUGUGGCUUUCUCUGUAUUUUUUAAUUAUAAAGUUAUGAAACAUUACUAGUAAUCUUCAAUCGAAUAUUGCCCCUUCUCUCAAAAAUUCUUGGGUCCACCACUGCACGCAUGUAAUCUUGAUAUGCUUUUCUUAUUCAUGCUGCAACAAGUUCCUGUCCUGCUGCCUUUUUUACUUGUGUUCUUAAUCUUUUUGUUCAUUUCAAGACCAUGCAAUUUAUUUUUCUUUUCUGUUACCGGUUUAGUAUUCAAGAUGUUAAAUUUUUUCCUUCUUUUGUAUUCUAUAAGAACAUUUUCAGUUGAAGACAGGCAUGCCAAUCUGGUAGCCAAAUGGAUUGAAAAGACUUUUCAGUGAGCAAAACGUGAUGAGUGCGACUGAACAUGCCAUUCGGUGGAUUCUUGGAGUUUUGUCCAGUUUGCACACUAUAAAUUGAUACAAACUCGAGCUAUCUUCAUGAAAAUGAGAAAUUUUUUGUUGGAGUUUUCUGUUUGAAUUCUUCAACCCAGGAAAGACACAAGACAACUGAUAUUCGUACACCCAAUGUGCCAAAUUACCAUCUUCUUGUGAUUUACAACAAGUUUUGUGCAGUGAAGGGACCAAGAUGUGGACAAUUGAAGCCUGCCUUUUAUCUUUUCUGCAGAAUUAUUGAGCCACAACUUUGGUGCUCCCUUCCCUUGUUCUGCUGACUUUGCAGGAGACGUGCCAUAUCUCUCGGUCGAGGUGCCAAAGCCCAAAGCUUCCAUAUCAAAUGCAAUGCAGAGCAGUUUUACUGUUUAUCUACACAAACAUACAUCUCUUUUUAGGCCCAUUAACUCAGCAGUAACGGCUAUAAUCUUCAACCCCUUUGAUACAAGCAAUAUUGGAAGAGGGAGAAUUGAACCCAGGACCUCGGAUGUAAAAAUAAAUUGAGCUACAAGCCCGCCAACUCCAUGACUUAUUAAAGUGCCAGUAACUAUUUGGGAGGCAAAUUUUCCCACCCAAAAAGGAAAAACAAGCCAUAGUCAAGGUGGGGUUGAAACCAACAUUAUUAUUUGAACAGUUUUUUACAGAGAUAAAGAGUAAAGAGAGACGCAUGGGCUCAUAGACAAAAUAAUUUUGGUAAAAGGAAAAAAAAAAAAAAAAAAAGUGGGAUGAUCAGAUCACUGAUGAAUCUAUCAGGUUCUUAAAGAUGUUAAAAACAUCAUGCAUCACAAAAAACACAAAGUGGAAAAAGAUGGGGCAUCAUGUUCCCUCAAACUUAGCUUUAUCUAAGCUAUUUUGUACCAUGAAUGUCUUUCAUCUUGUGAACAUUUUAAUCGCUUUAGAUUUCUUGUGAACGACCCCACUUCAAAUAACUUCAGGAAAUCACCUUCUAGAGCCUUUGGAGUUUUAGAGUUUCGCAUAAGGCCAUGUUGAUUCAAUCAGUGAGAAAACCAGAGGACAAUAAAAAUAUCGUCUCAGAAUCUAGACCACAGUGCAAUGCUGUCGUUGUUAACAUAUCUAUCAAUUUUAUAAUAUACGUAUAACACCAAAGUAGUGCAUGUUAAAGGAUAAUGUUUUCUUUUCAAAGCGUGGUAUCUUAUGUUGUCCGACUCUGAAUCGUAGACCAUAUAUUCGAGCAAGAAUUCUAUGAGUCUAGGUCUCUUCUUUGCUAUUAAUUUGGAAAUUUCAGAAAAAAGAGUUUGGUUUUCUUCAACAUCAAACCAUUCCUCACAACAGAAAACACAAGUGGAAAAGGUGAGAGAAAAAGAAAGAGCUUAUCACAAUUUGAAACAGUUGUUAAUGGGAAUCAUUAUUGUAAUGAGGAGGGCCAGAGGGCUCACUCUUAGGGCCACACAAAAGAUGCCCAUUGUCCCUCAGAAAAAGCACUUUUAAUACCUUCACACAGCAUGAUUGCUAGUCUUCUGCAGAAUAUACAACUCUAUCAAGAUGUUUCUAAUAACACUUCUGAUAUCAGCCAUUAAUUAUACAUUUAGGGCUCAUUAAUAUAAUCCUGUCAACGAAGCAUGAGCAUUGCCAUCAUUAGUUUGCUCUUGGAUUCUAUAGCUUAGACACUAAAAAAACAUAUGAAAUCAUGAACCCACAACUUUUUUUUUUGGUGACCAUUUGCAGUGGGCAUCAGAUUUCUACUGUCAUAAGUACUAAGCUUGUGAUAUAUGGAGACAUGCCAUGUAGGUCUAAAUUUUCUGAACCCUAGCUUGUUUGCUCUGUAAUUUCACAUACUCAAUGGCAUUAGCCAAAAUCACAAAAGCAAGAAGCAUGUGGGCUUGUACUUUGCUUGGAGAUCAAAAGGGGCUCUUCUUCUUCCAUUGAAUUUGUUCAAACCUCACCAACUAACUAGUGGAGCAACAAUUAUUUCCUACUCAUUUGGCUGAUGCACUUGUUUCACUCUCUCUGUUUGCAUGCCACCACACCACAUAAAAACAAAAGAUAAAAUAUUUAAACAUUUUUCCAUAUCAAAAUAUAAAAAUUCUAGUUUGAAAACUCUCAUGGGUUUAGUUUAUGAAUAAGGAAUUAAAAGAAUGACCAUAUUUUUUAUUUUUUAUUUUUUCCACAAUUUUCUUCCCACGGGCAUAGAAACAGUAAACAAUGAAAGUUGGAUUUUGUUUUUGGUUGCAAAAUCAUGAAACACGUUAAUUUUCGUAAUGGUUUAAAUUAAUGAUGGUUUUGAGAAAAAUGGGGGUUGCUGCUAAUGAUAUUGUAAAACCCUUGCGGAGUGCAUAAGCAAACAAAGUAGGCACAACAAGACAGCUUGCCCACAAUUUAAAAGGGACCCUACCUAGGUGAUGAUCUUUAUAAGAGAAUCUUACUAAGUUAGAUCACUUAACACAAAAUCGUAAAUGAUAGAUUAUUAAAACAAAUGACAGAUUAGCACUAGACACGAAUAAUUAUAUUUUGGCACAGAAUAUUUGGUUAACUUGGCCGAUGAUCAUUCGAAUUAGUAUCAUUUAGUUUUCAUGUUGUUGGAGAAGUUUAUGAAUUCAAAUUUCGUGAACGAUAUUCGAUUUGGCCCAAACCUAAUGAGUUAACAAACAUAAAGGAUAUACGGCUAAUUGCCUUUAGCAUGCAAAUAUGCAUAUCUUGUUCAAUCAGCGUCACACAACUAAAUGCUCAUUUCAUGCCCAAAGUUAUUCAACUAUGUCUGCGAUCCUCGUGACUAUGCUUUCCUCUUAAUGGAAAUGCAAUUGCUGAUUGUGAUUAGCCUCCAUUUGCUAGCUUGGGGGAGCCAUACAAAAAAAAAAAGCUUUACCAAAGCCAAUCACAGGAUGCCACAUGUAAAGACUAGCCUUUCUGUGCACUUGUCCUGUUUGUGUAGGCUGUUCUUGAUCCAGUAUCAUACAGCACCCGCAUUGUAUCAAUGUCUCAAAGUCAAUUUUCUUAAAGGAAAAAUAAAGGGAGAAAAGGGCAUGCAAUGCAGACAAAGGGUGGGUUAAAACUUUAUCUUGAGGUAUUUGGAUUCAAAAUCUAAGGUUAUGGUCCUGAGCAAUGAGAAUCUACUACUACUAGUGGGUGUGCCUUUUUUGGGGGAUUGAGGUGAUGUGAAGAAAGGGACAAUAAUGCCUUAGCUGCCCUGCCUAUAUUAUUAAUUUACUCUGUUCUUUUCUUCUGCUUGGUCAAUUUCAUUUCUUCUUGUUGCUUACAAUAUGUUUGGCUAUUUGGUACAUGGGUCCUUAACAUCAAUAACCGGGAUUAGAAAAUAAAAACUCCAAUUCAUUAGUCGAUAAAAAUUAGAUGUAAUCGCUUAUUAUAUGUAAUUAAGUAUGUCUCUUUUUCAUUGUGUGAUAUAAGUAUAUAACCUUUUUCUCGUGACAUGCACAUAAAAUUUUCAUCUAUAAAUUCGAAAGUUACAUGUAUAUUGCAAGAUGACGUAGACAAUAAUUUUUCUUAUCUGGAAGUUGAGCCAUUUAGGUGUCUAACUAUAUAUGGUUUUGGCUUGUCAUGGUUCUUUCUCCUACUAGUGAGAGAUUGAUGACGUAGGAAGAGUGAUUGAUUCCCGGGAUUUGUCUACAAAAUAAUUUGGAUGGGCGCAAAAGAUUAACACUUUCUUGGAGAGCUUGAAAUGUGAAAUAGUAUCAUUAUUUGCUGUGAUAAUAAUUUAGAGGGAGAGAAGUGUCCUGGAGAAAAGCGUUUUUGAUGGCAGCUUUUGCUUUUCAAAGUUUUUCUCUUUUUGAACAAAUUUUGGGGAAUGACUGUCUGCUGAAGGGCAGAGAGGGUGAUAGCAUGUGUGAUUUGUUAGCUGAUAGUGGUUUGUGGAAUCUAUAAAGCACAUCCAACAUUUCCAGCACAAAAGAAACCAAAUUAUGAUUAAAAAAAAGCUCCAUAAAAAGUAAUAUUUAAGCUAUACAACAAAUAAUACUAUUUGUGUGUGUGCUGUGUACAUUAAAAAAAUCAAAAACAAAAAUUCUAACAAAGAUCCUCUAAUGGUCAUGGGUCAUGAGUCAUGGUGGUGGGUGACCAAAUCCAUUAUCAACCAUCAGUCACCCCCUCGAGAUUCUCACAUUCUCAUUUCCUUGAAAGAGAAGACGAUGUUUUUGUAACUUUACUGAAUGGCCAAGCUCAGGGAAUGUUGGAUUCCCUCACAGUCUCAAGCAAGGCAUUUCCCAGUUCCACAUACAAAUACAGACUCAUCAUUUUUGUGACCAACUUUUGAGAAACGUAAAUCCAAUAAAAUACAAAAACAAACACUGAUAAUAAUAAGUAACAACAACACCCAUCUCUAGGUAGAUGAUAUAUAUGACUCAAAACUGGCUGGCUAACCAGAAAACAAAAUUUUGUUCCAUUGUUGGAAAAUGUAAAAAUACUAAUCUGCAUUUCAUUUUCUGCUUCUUCUUUUUGUGUGUGUGUGUGGUACAAAUCACUGAAUUUUACUACAAUUAUGUAUGUGUCUUCCUUUAUUCUUAACAUAUACAUAUAUUAUAUUAUCGCUAAAAGCCUUGAUUUGCAAAUUAGGGAUCUCAUAUUCGAAUCCGUAUGAAACUUGACAUACAUGUACUAUAUCUUGAAUUUCCUAUUCUCUCCUUGCCUUUCAAAUUGUUCUUUUUAGUUUAGUAGUAGCUAUUUAUAUAUUAUUUUCUUCACAGUCUCAUGACUCAAUGACAGGCAUGCUAGUUCUUUCUUUUUAUACCACCAAAAGAAGUGGCUUUUUUUCUUGGGUCUGACACAAAGAUUUUCGGUGAAUGGGAUUCUCGCAUGGAGAGAAAGCAAGAAGAGUUGGGGUUGCAAUUUGAAGAUCAACUUAAACAAAAAGAAAUAAACCCAAUUGAGGUUUUGUUUUUCUAGUAGCACUACCAGCCAGCAUAAGCCGCCUUCAGCAUCUGGGUUUAUCUGGUACUUGUGAUAUUUGAUAUACAAUGACAAUGAGGGGAGCAAAAGCUGCUCUCUGUUUCAUGGCAUUUCUGUGGUCUUGGACGUAUGGAAAUGGAUUGCUUUCUCCUAAAGGUGUAAACUUUGAAGGUAACUUCGCAAAUUUUUCUUCUUUCAUUCCCUCAUAUAUCUGCAACAGAAAGGCGCAUUUUUUUUAUAGCUAUAAGUAGUAGGAAAGUGCAGAAUCCUCAUCUGGGUGUUUUUGAUCUCAGUGCAAGCUUUGAUGGACAUAAAGGAAUCUCUGGUGGAUCCUCAUGGUGUGUUAGAUAAUUGGGAUGACGACUCUGUUGAUCCAUGUAGCUGGACAAUGGUCACUUGUUCUCCUGAAAGCCUGGUUAUUGGCCUGUGAGUCUCCUGCAAUUUUUUUUUGUUCUUUAAAUUUAAAUUCAUUUGAGAGCUACAUGAUUACUAGGAAAUGAGAAAAUAUAAUGAAUGCCGUAUGAAGUAGUUAAAAUGGUCUUUGUUUUGCAGAGGAACACCUAGCCAAAGUUUAUCUGGCACUCUUUCUCCAAGUAUUGGCAACUUAACAAAUCUUCAGAUUGUGUAAGUUCUCCAACAACUGGAAAAAAUUUCAGUGCUUCUUGUUCUCAUUGUGUUUAAUAAGGUAUGGUGUUCUGCUUUACUUUUCAGGCUCUUACAGAACAACAACAUAACAGGAGCAAUCCCUCGGGAUAUUGAGAGGCUCUCAAAGCUUCAUACACUUGAUAUUUCCAACAACUUCUUCACUGGGGAAAUUUCCUCCUCUCUUGGCCACCUGAAAAGCCUUCAAUACUUGUAAGUAUCUGUGAUCCGUGCACAUGAAUUGAAGUAUUGUCUCUAUUUGUUUGUAAAGCUAAUACAGAUUAUUUCAAUUGGGUUUUAGGAGGCUUAACAAUAACAGUCUCACCGGAGCAUUUCCGGUGUCGUUGGCUAACAUGAGCCAGCUUGCCUUUCUGUAAAUCUCUCAACCAUUUCUAUCUUAGUGCGGUUAUAUGUAUAUGUAUCUAAUUAAAUUUUGGUUCUGAAGUAAGAUUUUGUUAUUCUGUGAUCUUGUGCAAGUCAGGGACUUAUCCUACAAUAACCUGAGUGGCCCUGUGCCUAGAUUUGCUGCCAAAACGUUCAAGUAAUCUCUCUCUCUCUCUCUCUCUCUCUCUCUCUCUCUCUCUCUCUCACACACACACACACACACACACACACACACACACACACACAUAUAAUAGAGAAUUGAUUUACUAAGUUCUCUCCACCCCUCUCGUUGUUGUUGUUUCAGCAUAAUUGGAAAUCCUCUGAUAUGUGCAACGGGGGCUGAAGCAGAUUGCAAUGGGACGACACUGAUGCCAAUGUCCAUGAACCUGAAUAGUACACAAAGUAUGGACUUUGAAUUUGUGCUGAGAUUUUUUUUCUUAAAUUACUUCCAACUUCCACAGUUAACAGUUUCAAUUGUUCAUGUGAUAUUUGGUUCUGAUUCUGAGCUCAGUUUUUCUUUUCUUCUCAAGCUACUCUUCCUGGAAGACCUAGAAGUCACAAAAUAGCGCUUGCGUUCGGUUUGAGCCUUGGGUGCCUCUGCCUCAUUGUUCUUGGAUUUGGAGUAGUUAUAUGGUGGAGGCAAAGGCGCAACCAACAGGCAUUUUUUGAUGUUAAAGGUACUUGCUGGAUGAUAUAUAACACCAUCAACAGAAAUAUUGAUACAACAAUUUUUGUGUACUGGGAAAGUAAUUGAAUAACCAACCCGCUACUUAAUGCCCUAUCUUGUGAAAUUUCAGACAGGCACCAUGAGGAAAUUUCCCUUGGGAACUUGAAGAGAUUCCAUUUCAGAGAACUUCAGAUUGCAACACACAACUUCAGCAGCAAGAACAUACUAGGAAAGGGUGGCUUUGGACAUGUGUACAAAGGAACGCUCCCAGAUGGAACUUUUGUAGCAGUCAAGAGGCUUAAAGAUGGUAGUGCACUUGGUGGAGAGAUUCAAUUCCAGACUGAAGUUGAAAUGAUCAGCCUAGCAGUUCACCGCAACCUUCUCAGGCUAUAUGGUUUUUGCAUCACGCCAACAGAAAGACUUCUAGUUUAUCCAUACAUGUCCAACGGCAGUGUUGCUUCCCGUCUCAAAGGUAAGACAUCAUGAGUUAAAACUAACAGUAAUUAACCAUUCAGAGUGCCUAUUAUGUGUUGCUAAUUUUGAAUCUCACCGAUCUUCUGACAGGGAAACCAGUCUUGGAUUGGGGCACUAGGAAGCGGAUUGCCUUGGGAGCUGGAAGAGGAUUACUGUACCUUCACGAGCAGUGUGACCCAAAGAUAAUUCACAGGGAUGUGAAGGCUGCAAAUAUACUUCUGGAUGACUACUGUGAAGCUGUGGUGGGAGAUUUUGGGUUGGCAAAGCUUCUGGAUCACCAAGAUUCGCAUGUCACCACAGCUGUGAGGGGUACAGUGGGGCAUAUAGCCCCUGAGUAUCUUUCUACAGGACAGUCCUCUGAGAAAACAGAUGUCUUUGGAUUUGGGAUCCUUCUACUUGAACUAAUCACAGGCCAGAGAGCACUAGAAUUUGGCAAGGCAACUAACCAGAAAGGAGCCAUACUUGAUUGGGUGAGCACACAACACCACUCCUAGGUAGUUUUGAAUUUCAUAUAGUACCAACUGACAGUCCAAUUCAUUUGAUCACAGGUUAAAAAGAUCCAUCAGGAAAAGAAGCUUGAGAUGCUUGUGGACAAGGAUCUCAAAACCAACUAUGAUCGGAUUGAGCUUGAGGAAAUGGUUCAAGUAGCACUCUUGUGCACUCAGUACCUUCCUGGCCAGAGACCCAAAAUGUCUGAAGUGGUAAGGAUGCUUGAAGGUGAUGGACUUGUGGAAAGAUGGGAAGCCUCUCAAAGGGUUGAAUCAACAAAGAGCAAAGCCCCUGAGUUUUCAUCCUCAGACCGAUACUCUGAUCUCACUGACGACUCUUCAUUAUUAGUGCAAGCAAUGGAACUCUCUGGUCCAAGGUGAUUUCCUACUUGAAAAAUUUAUGCUUUAAAAGAAAGCAUAUCAUAGCAACAAGUUAUAGUUGAAGCUAUUAGGUUACAUGGAUAUUAAGAGUUUGUGUUGUAUAUUAGCAGGGUGUCAGAGCUUCAAAAAUUUUGAUGUGUUUUUUUUUUCCAAUUGUACAGAUUCUUCUUCAAUAAACUGACAUUCUUAGAUUCAGAGUUUUUGUUAUAUUGCUAAACAAAGAGUCAAGCACGCUAUUUUGCCGAACUGCCCAACAUGAGAACAUAGGUCCAUCCCCAAAGACUCGCACUAACAUAAUCAAGUUAAUAAGCAAAACUAUUGAAGAGCUUGUUUUAUACUAAAAGAAAGGUGCCCGGUAUAAGUUGAACCAAAAAGAAAAGUUAGAAUGAAACAAGAGGAGCUACUUUCACAUUGAUAAGUUGAAAAUUUUCACAUCUUUUGAAGCUGGCACAAAUUGCUGCAACGAUUCUCCAGGUAGCCUUUCACUUCCAUAAUGCACUAUAGUCAUUUUUUUUAGCACAGGCGAUCGAGCCAGUAAAAACUGAAUCAAUAUCAACUCAGGUAUAACGCCUUGUACAGCUCUUAUAGAUACUUCUUUAAGUUGUUCAAAGUAGAGAUUUGACAAAGACUGUGAGAUGAGAAAUUCCACGCUAGGUCUGGAAUAUGCAGUUGUACCAGCAACCUAUCAGUCAAAAAUCAAAAAAAGAAAAGAGAAAAACCAAAGUCUUGUAAUUCAAAGUCCUUGAACAGAUGAAAUAUGCUUGAAUUAAAUUGCUAGUUGUCCAGAGAAACUUACUGAAAGGAGCAGUUUCUCUAAGUUUGGAGCGCUUCUAAAAAUGCAGAGGCAAACCAUCACUUCUGUCAUACUAUCCAACCUUACAUCCUUGAGUUCAAAAACUGACAGAUGUUGAAGCAUAGUAGGAAGUCUGUCUGGUACGCUAAUAUUACCCAGAAACUAGGGAGUAGAAACAAAUGCAAGCAACAAUCAUAUAAGAUGCACAAAGUUGUUAAGCCAGCCAAAUUAAUAACAAUAAAAAAUAGAGGCCGAAAAGAAACAGCGGAAAAUGAUAAAAUUUACCCUCAGGAAGGCACUGGAUAGGGUAAGUUUCCUAAGAGCAUGUAGACGGCCAAUAAUCCUGACCAACUGGCCUCCUCCAGAAUCGAAGAAUUGGGGUGUGACCCCAACCCUCAAGCCAAUGUCAACAGUAGCCAGUAAUGGACUGUGCUCAAGACAUAUAUCAUCAAAGUUGGAAUCUACUCUCAGAUACUUGAGAUUCGGGUUGCGGAUUCGAAGAACAAUUUGAUGAUCAAUAUCCAACAAAAUCAAUCUUUCAAGAACAGGGGAAUUGCUAACUAAACACUCUAGCAUGCGAUCACUUAUACAAACUCGAUUGAGCUGGAGGGUUGUGAGACUCCUAAAUUCAAUGACUGCAGAAGGUGGCUUGAAUCUACAACCAAAAAGCUCCAACCGGUUCAGCAGUGGACUAGAGAACAGACAAAAAGGCAAGUUGAAACGUUUUACAGAGUCAAACUCCUGCAGGAUCAGCUCCUUGAGGCCUUUGCCUGUUAAAAAACGAAUCCACUGGUCUAAAUCAGAAUGGUCUGGCCGGCAAUAAGCAGCAAGCUUAAACUUCUCUAUAGCACCGUCGUGACAUAACUGAACUUGAUGGAUGAUUUCCAUAAUGGAUCCCCAUCUUGCCACCUUGUCCGAUAUCCGUUUCGGUAUGCAUUUGUCAUGAAGAACAAACUGUGAAAUGCCAGUCCAUUUAUGUCUCCAGUUACUGGAUAAGAUACUAGUCCUCACAACUUCUUUUAAAUCCAAGCGAACGAGGAUGUUGUCCAAUACAUCCCAAGGCAGAUAGCUGAUCCUAUCUCUAUUCUUAUGCGUUCCCAUCUCACACAGUGGCAGAAGACUGAUUCUUGAGAAGUAACUCUGAUGGACGAUUUGUAAAUAAGUACUUUCACAAGCAGCUCUCUGAAACUAGAAGUGCAGUUGGAAGUUGAUAUCUCUCCAACCUGCACAUCAUUAUAUGCAUGUCAUUCAAUUUCUCAUAUCCUUAAUUUGUUUUAGAAAAGUUCAUGAUUUUGGCAUCAAAUAACUGCAUACCAUACAUUGCUUUGAAGGCAAAUACUACACACACAUAGCAACAAUUAAUUUGUCAAAAUUUACUAAGGCAGCCAGAACCCAGAAAAAAAGAAAGAAGAAAACUUUAAAUACCCAACUAAACAAAUCAUGGUGAUCAAAUCCUAACACAAAAUUCUCAGUCUUCCAUAUCAGUCAAGUAAUUACAGUUUAUUUAUGCACACGCACAUGUACAGAGGAAGAAGAAGAUUACCGGCAAAACGGAGUGAUCGGCGGCUGUUUAUGGUUCGAGUGUCAUCAUUUUUACGGAUGAGCUAACAUGUUACUGCAACUGAUAUCAAAUAUUAAAAUCCAUCCAAAUACAUCUGUGGAAAAACAAGAAAUGAGUAAUUAAUUCCUUAACAAAUAAAUAAAUAAGUUCCACGCUGACAUAUGCUCUUACUCGAUAUAAAGAAUCGUAAGUAAAUAAAGCCCUAUUAUAUAGUGGAAGUGGAAUAUAUUCUAUGUUUCCAUUCAAUCAAAAUUCGAAACCUUACAUUUUGUAAUUUGAAAAUUAAGAUUAUGAACAUUCAAAAUUAGAGUUUAUAAAAAUAAAAUAAAAAUUUACAGUGUGUGGUUGAAAUAGACAGAAAUAUUUUUUAGGGUAGAGAAAAUGUUCACAAAGAGCAGUAAGUAUUUAAAAUAAAAAUUUAUGAAUAGGGAUGCAAGUUGUAUUGGAAAACUGAUUCCAUUCCGAAAAUUUCCGAUUUUGGCAAGUCCAAAUCAAGCUUCGAAUACACACAAUUACUAAUUUCAUGUUAAACUAAAUAUAAUUUGAUGACCAAAUGGACAUAGACAAGUUAUUUCAUAAUGGAUAACAACAUAUAAGUACUAGCAUAUAAUAGUUUUCCAAGCUUAUCGUAUGUUUUGAGUCAAUUUUACUCCUUCAAAUGGUUGGACAUGUUUAGAAAUUUAAACUAGUUCCCGAAAUUUUCUAAAAAAAUUUCAAAAUAUGUAAGCUCAGAAUUUUCCGAAUUGGAAUGAAUAUUGAAAUUCCGAAUUUUUUUGGAACGGAAUUGGAAUAGAAUUUUCAUUCCGAAAUUUUUUGGAUUGGAAUUGGAAUCCCCUUAUUCCUAUCCGAUCCGUCUGAAAAUGAGCCUAUUACAAAAACCUUUAUUGAAAAAAAAAAAGGAAAAAAAAGAAAAUAGAUCAAACAUACCCUUAAAUUCCAUUCUAAUUUUUCAACCAUAAAAUUUAAUUAAUUUUAUAUAAAAAAAAAAAUUUUAAAAACAUGAAUUGGUGAAAUGGGGCCAGAGCCCAACAACAAAGACUACAAACAGGCUCUAGCCCUUGCAACUCCUAAAUUCCUUAACUAGCAAACCCACCCACACAAAGGGCUGGGGGAAACAAAACAAAGAAAGAAAAAACAUGCAAUCACGAAAGCACAACUGACCCAAAUUGCUGAAAUGAACUUUGUGUAAACUGAAAUAAGAAACUAUACCACAACUGAGAAGAAUAUUUAUAAAAUCGUGUAAAAUUUACUCAACUGAACUACAACGCAUGUCACCUUUAUGGUUUUCGUCGCGGUCCCUUCGAUAUCGAUAAUGCACGAUAGGUGAGAUGGAUGAAGAGAGAGGCAAAAGAAAGAUGAGAAGAUAGAGUGUUGUGAGGGAUGUUCAUGCAAGGAGGAGAGAGCAGAUUGAGAAGGGUGAGGAUCUUGUUUUGAUUUUACAAAGCCCUAAGUUGAGCACAGCAAAACUUAACUGUUGGAUCAAGAUCAAGUAGGGCACGUAUGCAUGUGAUGUACAAAACGUGUAACCGUUACGCUUGCAGUAUGUAUACAUUCAAUUGGCAGCUAGUAAAUUACAUUUGUAGUACACUUAUAUUGUAUAUACAUACAUUAAUUUCUUUAUAUAUAUAUAUAUAUAUAUUUAUUUAUCACCAUUUUUUUUUUUAAAUUUUGAGAAGAAAAACUAUAUUCUUAUUCGACAUAAGGACCUCGGGCGUCCCCCUCAUUUCCAAGAUAAUUUGAGCUCUUCGAACCAUAACUUCUAGCAUGCUUUUGAGUUGAGUGAAGAACCGAAGUAAUGAAAGCGUGCCGGUUCUGAGAGAAGGAGAGUGUUCUUUAACUGAGGAUCAAGAAAACAAAGGUUAUGAAGGAAGUGCGUUUUCCGUGCUUUAGAAUAGAAAGAAAUUUAGGGGCUCCCUAUCCCUCAGGGGAGGUGAACCUGAGAGGAAGGUAGCUAGAUGGCUUAGUCAGAGGUUGGGAAUGGGUAGUGGAGGACGUGAAACCUCCACUACUAUAACUCCCGAACACUACUAUCUUAAAGGAACUCCUCGUUAAUAGGAACUUCUACUUACAGUUGUUCUUCCUACUAAGAGGAAAUCCAAGUAAAAUACAGAGUUUUGAGACCCUUAAUAAAGGCAUACUUAUAAGGCGUUUUAACAGGGCUUAAUGCCAAACCCUAUAGUUCAACUAACCCAACCCGAUAAUUUAAUUAACCCAACCCAAAUUGGGUUGGGUUGAUUUGGAAUUCAUAUAUUAUAUAUCGUUUUUUUUUGUCAAAAAAGAUUGCACAUGCGAUUUAAAGUGAUUAUUUUAUGCUCUUAAUUAGGGUAACUCCUAAUUUAACAUCCAUGCAACCCAAAUUUAUGUAAACAUGAGAAAUCAACUUCGUCUUUUAAAUACUUUAUUGUUAAAGAUAUAAUCGUCAUAUAGGAUAUAAGCUUUAUCUUCGGACAAAUGUUCGGAAGUUUCUUAAUUUUGUUGAGUUUUGAUUUUGAUCACAGAAGGUGAUCAAGACAAGAAGGCGAACAGAUCGUAUGUACAAUUUGAAUGCAAACAAAGACUACGUAAACAUACUUAUGGAAUGGUUAGGGAAAAAUACCAGGGCAAAUCAAAAUAUAUAUGUCUCCAGCUGAAAGGGAUGGAUGCAACAUUUAUUUAUUUAUUUAUUUUUGUCUUGGCUCCAUUCUCCAGAAGCUAUAUACACAACUUUGUGGUGGAGGUGCAUCCUAAUCCAGUCUCUGGCAUGGCAACUUCCUAUUGGCUGCAGGAAUUUCCCCCAGAGGCUGUCUGAGUCAGCAUCCAACUGAGUUGUACACGUGUUCACUGCAGAAUUGCAGACUCUCAAUUUAGCUGCUCUCUUUUUGUUUACUAUUUUUAAUCUUUAUGUCGACCAUCAGUUUAGUGACUUAUUGACUUAGUGUGAACUAAGUGUAAACUUGUGAAGUAGUUGAAUUUAGCAAAUCCCAGACUUUCAAUUUAGCCACCACACAUAUGAUAUGCUGGUCUUGCUUCCUUUUUGGAAAGUUUUUUGCACAGCGGAGUAACUGAAUUCAUCACAUAUUCCAGUAUUGAGAAAAGAAGUAUGAGUGGACUAAUAACUACUUUAGUAAUUUCUUACAAGCUAGUUGGUCGUUUAUUUCGUGAUCGAGAAAUUAUAAUAGAAUUACCUUACUUUAAACUUGCUUUUGGUAGCUUUCAUGGGUGGAUUCAUCUCUACCUUGUGAUUGAUGAUAGGUAGGUACUAUUGGUUAUAUGACAGCUACAGUUACUUAUAACCAUCCAAACAAAGCAAAUUGGCAUUGUAGAUGCAUGUCUUUAUCAUUAUUAGUUAAUCACAUGUCAAAUAAUCAAAAGAACAUGUAUAAAAAGAUUAAGAUUUAUGAGCAUUGGGAUAAGAGAGAGAGAAAAAAAUGUUGUAGUUAGUAGGUGAGUAGUAAAUUGGAAUUGUCAAUCCAAACAAAUCAGGACUAAUAAUUCAUGGUUAAAUGAUGGAUAUGAGAUGUCAUACGAGAAUAAACACACCUUCAAUCAUAAAUGCAAAAUUAAAAACAUUAAAUACGAUUUACUAUAAUUAUAAAAAAAAAGUUUAAAACUCUCUCUCGACUUCCAACACCAAAAAAUUCAAAUUCAAAUUUGAAAAAUGGUAAGAUAUAGAGUAAGGUCAUGUUUAUUAUUUUAAUUCCAUUUUUACCUCCAAUCUUAUGAGUAGUUUUUUCAUGAUUAAUCAUAUUUCGGUUCUCGCUCAUACUUCAAUCUCGUGAUUCUUUUAUAGAUAAUCUUCGAUUACCUAAAUUUGUUCUAUUUAUCGAUAAUUAUAUGUCUUGGAGAGAGCUUAUUCUUGUACGGCCCGCCCAAUGUUAACAUUCAGAUCGAUUCUCAUCCCUGGCCCUGAAAAGGUGGACACCGCCCGCCUUGCCCAUAUACAAUGAAUUGGAACCACAAUUGAACAAGAGGGCAGGGUAAGUUUUCUCUCUGCUCCUUCUCUAUUGUGCCACGUGUUCAUGGUGGAGUGAAAUGUGAAGAGGUUUCAAAGGGGGGUGUCUUUUGGUGUUACAUUAUCCAGUCAGCAAACACAAAACCUAAAACCUACGGGCAUUAUUUCCUUAGCAUGAAUAAUGAUAUGGGUAGGAAGGAGGGAAGGAGGGAAGGAGGGAAGGAAGGGGUCUUGUCUUGGUAGUAGUUAUGUUCGAUCCAUCAGUAGCAAAGGCAAAACCCAUAAAGCUUUCUCCACCAUGUCUUCUAUUAUUUUUGCCACGUGUAUCCCCGAAUCUUAGCUACUCAUGGUGGGUCCAGAUGGGCCUAAGGCCUAUCAGCAUGCCCUUGGGCCCCACAGGAACCUCUGACUCAGUACGGGGGCCCCACACCCCACAAUUCAUAGCCAACCACAAGAUAACGUAACAACUUUUCUCCGCCACUUGUUGUUGGCCACGCGUCGCUUCCUGGAUUCUUUCCCGCCCCACUGGGCAUUUGGCUCUCUGCCUACAGUUAGACCCCCCCAACUAACCUCUCCUUCCACACUCCUCAACUCAAUUAUUACUCAAAAACUUAAAAGAGUCUGAGAAACAGAGAGAGAUGUUGAAGGAAGAGAGCAAUGGCGCUGCUGCCACCAAAAACUGGGCACGUGUUUGCGACACGUGCCGGUCCGCAGCUUGCACGGUGUAUUGCCGUGCAGACUCUGCGUACCUGUGCUCUGGCUGCGACGCCACUAUCCAUGCUGCAAACCGCGUGGCGUCGCGCCACGAGCGCGUGUGGGUCUGCGAGGCGUGUGAGCAGGCCCCGGCGGCUUUCUUAUGCAAAGCUGAUGCGGCCUCGCUCUGCACUGCCUGUGACGCAGACAUCCACUCUGCCAAUCCGUUGGCGAGGCGCCACCAACGUGUCCCAAUUCUGCCCAUCUCCGGUUGCCUGUACGGACCACAGGCAACUGACCCGGGCGAGAUAGUGGUGGGGGCCGCUGCAGCGGAGACAGAAGAUGGGCUCUUGAGCCAGGAAGGAGAUGAAACCAUUGAUGAGGAAGAUGAGGAUGAGGCAGCAUCAUGGUUGUUGCUCAAUCCUAUGAAAAACAAUAACAACAACUGUAACAAUAACAAUAAUCAGAGUAAUGGGUUCUUCUUUGGAGUGGAGGUUGAUGAGUACUUGGAUCUUGUGGAGUACAACUCAUCAUGUGGUGAUCAGAACCAGUUCACUGAUCAUCAUCAGAGUAACCAGCAGCAAGAGCAGCAGCAGCAACAUUAUGGUGUGCCUGUGCCACACAAGAACUAUGGAGGUGAUAGUGUUGUGCCAGUUCAGAUGCAGAAACAAAGCUUUCAUCAGUUGGGUUUGGAGUAUGAGUCUUCAAAGGCUGCCUACAGUUACAAUGGUUCUCUUAGUAACACUGUAAGCUUCUCUCUCCACUCUACCGUCCAUACAAAUGGUUCUGUUUCUUUGCUUAAUGCUAGCUCAAUAUUUUGUUCAAAUCAAAACCCUCCUAGUAAAAAUUACUACCUGUACUAAUUUACUAGCUUUUAAUACUAUAAUUUAGUUCUAGCUGUUGAAAAUCCUGGCGGGUUAUUAUCCAGUGAAUCAAGUUCUUAUGCUGCUACAGUAUUGCUUUCUUUUUAUCUUGGGAAGCAUGAUUUGGGUUCCAAAUCUCAUCCAAGUCUCAUUUCUGUUCUCCACUAUCACCCUUUUUUUUAGUGGUUGUCUCUGUUUAACAGCUUUAAAGCUAAGUUUCCUUUCAGUGCUGCAACAACUUCUGAGCUAGAUAGGUUCUCAUGUAAUUCUAUCUACAAGUACAAAUAUUCUUGGAGUAUCUUCAGCUAAAUAUAUUUUUAUCUGCACUUUUUUGAGCUUUUUUGUCCCCUUUUCUUUGCUUUUCUUCAUAAAGAAAAGAAGCCAACAACGUCAGUGUUUCAUUCCCUUUGUUUUCCUUCCCCUUUUUACAAGUCAAAAGUGUUACACCAUAAGGUCAUAUUUUGUUGAGAAAUUUGACUUCUGAAGUUUACUCUUCUUGAGUAAAUACAAGGGAAUUUGAGAUCAGAUGAUUUUAAUUCUUCAUUUCUAUUGUUUAUGUGGCUUAAGGAUUUAUGGUCAUUUGGCUGUGAUCAACUCAAGUAGCUCAAAAUCCAAAUAUAAUGAACAAUCUCGCAUACAUAAAUCUUUGUUCGAAAAAUUCCUGUAUCAAUCUAAAUGAUGAAAAUGAUAACUUAUGGUCCUGGUUCAUGAGAUAGAUUUCAUUUCCACAUAUGUUGAGGUCCAUUUUCUUUGAUCAUGUCACACAGGUCUCUGUUUCGUCCAUGGAUGUUGGUGUUGUGCCAGACUCAACAAUGAGUGAUAUCUCAAUCUCACACCCAAGAACUCCUAAAGGGACAAUUGACCUUUUCAGUGGACCUCCCAUUCAGAUGCCAUCCCAACUAAGUCCAUUAGACAGGGAGGCCAGGGUCCUAAGAUACAGAGAGAAGAAGAAGACAAGGAAGUUUGAGAAAACAAUUAGGUAUGCCUCAAGGAAGGCCUAUGCAGAGACCAGACCCCGGAUCAAGGGCCGGUUUGCAAAGAGAACAGAAAUGGAAGUUGAAGUGGACCAGAUGUUCUCCACAACACUGAUGGCAGAAAAUGGAUAUGGCAUUGUUCCAUCAUUCUAAUUACAGCAGAAGAAAAGAGGACCCUCUUCGGAUAACAAUUGUACUGGUUUUUAGUUAUUAUUAAAUAUCUGCUACUGAUACUUACUGUAUCUUUCCCACUUAUAUAUAAUUGGUUUAAGGUAAUGACAUGUAUGGCUCUUCUUGCCAUUGCUAUGCUGUAAAUGCAUUUGCAUCCUUUUAACUUAUAAUAUUUGACUUUCUCAUAAACUACAACUUCACUGUUUGGAGUAGAAGGUGUUUCCUAUUUUAAAGUUAGCAAAGACCAGGCAGGAGAUGGCAUGUGUAAAAAUAUAUAGUGAAUCUUUUCUGCUUAGAAGUUUCAAGUGAUUUAGUACAUGUCUUUCUGGAGAGGGACUGGUUUGUUUUGUUAAAGCACAAGGAGCAUUCCUGCUUUUGUUUGGGCCCUUGCUCUUUUCACAUGGAAUAUCUCAUUUCCGUAGCGCCAAGAACUUUUCUGGAGGCAUUAUACUGCAGCCAACUUAUUCUGCCAAAAUGUUCACUGCUGCAUACCUCGAUGAUUGAUCUGUUAAUUGGAACUUUGCUACAAAAUAAAGACAUGGUAUCCAAGAAGCACAUAUAUUUUCCAUCCAUACGAAAUUCGGAAGCAGAUAUAAGUGAGGUGCAGAUAGAGGGAGUGAAUUCCAUUUUAAAAUCCACAAAUGACAUUCCUCUGCAAAAACAUAGGACAUUCUAGUGGCAGAAUGAACUAGCCAUUUUUACGAAUUAAGUUGUUAUUCCAUCGCUAGCAUAAUCCAGGUAUGUUCCUUAUUGGGAAUAUGAUGAAGAUCCAGUCUGCUUUCUUUGCUAGUGGCAUAGUAACUGUGCCAUCUACAAGUUAAAAUGCUUACUUUGUCUGAGAAAGCAAAGCUCAUAUUUCAUCAGUAAGUGCUGCUCCUCAUCAAUAUGGACAAGACUUUGUUUCCAUCAACCUUCCUCGGUAGUCUCAAAAUUAUAACUUUUCUACACUGAUGAACUUUUGGUUUUCGAUGGAAGGAUUUUCCAUUAAUAUUGGAACACUUUAUAUGCGCAAGUAUAUGUGAAACCAAAGUUCAGCCGCUGAAAGUGGAAUGAACAUAUGGAGGCUAUUGAAGCUUUAAAGCUGGAUGCGCUUUGGUUGCUCCGACUAUUUUCCAAUAAACCUCAAGAAAAAAAAACUGUGUUCAUACUAUUCUUGGGCCCCAAGAUAUCAAUUCCUUGGAUGUAAUAUAUUGAGCAUCUGCGAUUUCCUUUCACUCCUUUUAGACAGAUUCUAACUUCAUCACCACCUCCACAAACUCCUGGAAGGUAAACAAAUUCCGAGAUACAUGUUGAUGCAACUUUUUUCACCAAGGGCUAAGAUUACUUUAUGUGCAAGAAGGGCCUGCAAAAGGAAGGAAAGCAAGAGUGAGAUCUUAGAAGCUCCGGCGGUGGUAUGGUGUGGACUGACAUAGAAUCUGGUCCAUAAGUGCUUCACAGAAGGCAUGCAAGCAUGAGAUGUAAUAUAUGAGGAAUAUUUUAUCGCAAUGUCUAAAAGAGAACACCUUUGAUUCCACUGAACAUCCAGCAAAAGCUGGAAAUUGAUCAUCUUAUUCAAUGGUUUCUACUUUUUUUCAAAAUUGCCAGCCAUUAGCCAUGUGUUAUGCUACAACUUUUUUUAAGUUGCAGGACCAUGCAAAAAGACAAACCAAGUCAAUUAUAAGAGUGCGUAGAAAAAAACUGAAGAGUAAUUCUCCAUGAGUAGGAUCUUCAUCAACAAAGACAUGCUGCACUUUUGCUCACCUUUUCAAAGGAUGUGCACAUCAAGCACAUGGGAGAACAAAGUUCAUCCUCAGAGAAAGAAAGAAAGAAAGAAAGAAAGAAACAUAAAUAUAUAUAUAUAUAUAUGUAUCAUUGUACAGUCUCUCAAGUAGGCCAUUAUCUAUUGCUGUAAGAUGCUGAGCUUUUGGUGGAAGUCAUUGUUAUAAACACAAUGUUGCAAAAUCUGGUUUUGAUGAUGAUGUCUUCCAGCAGAUUGUAGAAAAUGGUUAUAAGGCGCCUUAUAUUUGUUUGGUUUCUACUUCCUUAAGAUUUCAUUUAAUCCCCACUGUUAGUUUCAUUAUGGUUUCUACUUUCCUUAAGAUUGCAGGAAACCAGAAUAUAUCUUAGUGCACAGUUGACAAAAUAAAAAAUAACCCAUCCUGAAUAUGCUAAAACAUUCAAGGUUUGCAUUAACAUUCUGCAAUCUAUAUUUGAGGUGGAAAUUUGACGAGGAAGAAAAAAAGUCAAAAAGGUUGAAGAGAGAAGCAAAAGUGCACAUCAAUUGUAUCAUGUGUGAGAAAAGUUGACUUCACUUUUCACUUUUCAGUACAAAAGGCAGUGUAUAAAGGGUAGCAAAUUUAGAGAAAGAAUGAAUAUGCCUAAUAAUGCCAAGUUGCCAGCCCUUUUGCAAAAGCUGGUGGUGCUGGAUGUGGAUACCCCAGCCAGAAGCUCACACACCCUCUUGCUUUACCAAGUAUUGCCACUUGGCCAUGCCUUUUCACCCUUUUUUUUUUCUUUUCUUUUCUUUUUCUUUUUUCUCUUUUGUUGAUGAGAAGAGAAAAGAAAAGCACAACCACACAACUCCUCCUUGGGUAAAGCUGCUUGGCGUUGUAUCUGCUGACGUAGCACUGUGACCCACUUUUCUACAUCAGCACGAGUCAUGUAUACUCAUCAUAGAAAGAGGGUUUGACUUUAGAAGAGAGGCUAAGCUAAAUAAAACAGAGUGCAAGCAAAGAUAUAAUAAAAAGACCACCUGUGAGGAGUAUAGACAAUUGAAAUGGGCCUUCCAUUUUUGGGCCUCCUAUAUGGGCCAAUAGUAAGGCCCACCACCCAAACAACAUUAACAAGUCCAAAUUGGAUACAAAAGCAAAUGUGGCUACUCAUCUUUUCUUUCUUCCAAGGCUUUUCACCCUAUAACUUACUGGUAAAUAAGAUUUUAAAUAUCGAGAAUUUCGAAAACAUUAGUAGUUUAAAAACAUCGAAAUAUUGAGUAAAAUAUUGAUAUCGAUAAAAAUUAGAUAAAAAUCACAUGGAAAUUUUUAAUGAAACUUUAGAAGUUUAUUUAGUCAAUCACCUAUUAUUUUGACACAAAAAAUUGGAAGGAAAUGUAUUGCAUAGUGAGUUUGAGUGAUUUAAGUUGAUUAUAUUGCAAGCUGACAAACUCUGUGACUUAGAAAAUUUGGAGUAAUUAAUGAAAGAAAAUUAAACACCCUAUAGUAAUUUAUUUAUUAUUUUUACUACAAUAUUUUACACUUUAUAAAUUGCAUGGUAAGACACAUGAGUAAUCUUAUUUCACGUUAUUUACUGGACAUGGUACACUUUCUUAUAUUUAUUAUUUAUCAAAAAUUAAAAAAUAAUUAAAGAUGUAAACCAACUUGAGUUGUCAUGAAAAUUAGGCACUUUACCAUGCUUAAAAAAUAAUAGUGAAGAUUGAAAAUUAAGUAAGAACAUAAAUAAAUUUAUCCUAUUAAAUUAGAAAUAAAGAAAAUAAUUAUAAAAAUUAUAAAAAUUUAAGUAAUUAAGCAACAAUUUGGAGGGAAAUUUAGUAAUGUAAGUAUUAUAAUGAAUAAUAAAAUAAUCAAUAACAUUAAAUGGAUUAAAUAGGAAAGAAACAAAUUAUAUUAAGUAAUUAAUCAACAAUAUAAAACAAUAAGUAAUUGUGUUCAUUUCUAUUUUGAGAAACAGCUCGCAAGAUUUAUAAAUACGAGAUUCCAUAAAUAAUAAUCACAAAGUGAUGACUAGCAUGGUGGUUAAAUGGCUCCAGAACUUGGAAGGGGAAGGCGUUCAAACCCCUAUGUGCAUGAGUUUAAGUGAAUUAUUUCAUUUUUGAAACUUCAUAUAUUAUCACGAUAUAUUGACUAUUUGCAACUACCACUUAAACAAAAUUAUCGGAGUUCGAGUCCUAGCAUCCGUGUAGUGUGCGAGUUUAGUAUGCUAUCGCCCUUCUCAAUAAAAUAAGACUUAGCGUAUUCCCCAAACCACUAUCCCAGAUGUUUUUUUUCUAUCAGACGUGACGCGCGCGGGGGGAGGGGGGGGGGAGGAGAAUAUAAUAAAAAAAGCACAUAAUUGGUUCGAGAUAGAAAUACGGGGGAAAGAAGCCCAAAAUAGUGCGCUUGAACCCGAGCCGAGCCAAGCAGCUCCCUACCAAUCUAGCCGAGCUGAGCCGAACAGCCCAACCAAUCUGGACAGUAGCUACCCCUCUCUCUCGAACAUAGCUACUCAUGCUCAACUGAACAUCCCUGAAGUAAGUCCUUUAGAUCCCAAUACUUCUCAAAAUAUUGUUGAAAUUGUGAAAAAAUUACGUGCACGAGCAAAUAUGGGAAUACCACUAGACAGAUUCUCACCAGAAGAGAAGGUGAAAUAUGUCAUUGCUGAUUACGUCUCCCUACACAGAUUGUCUCCUCAAGCUAAAACAUUUGUUAAUCAAAUGAAAGGAAUUAAAAUUCCUAAUCGAUUGGAAGAAGACUUGCAAUCCAAAAUGGGUGGAAGCAAUGAAUGUGGAGAUGGAGACCUUACAGAAGAAUGGAACAUGGGAGAUAGUUCUACAACCUGAAGGAAAGAAACCUGUUGGAUGUCGAUGGGUGCCCACAAUUAAGCACAAAGUUGAUGACAUAAUAGACAGAUAUAAAGCAAGACUUGUGGUCAAAGGGUAUAAGCAGAUGUAUGAAGUUGAUUAUUAGGAUAUUUUUGCAUCGGUGGAAAAAAUAAAUACGGUGCGAGUUCUAUUGUCUUUAAUAGCUAAUUUAGAUUGUCCUCUCAAGAAAUUCUAUGUGAAGAAUGCCUUUCUGCAUGGAGAUCUAGAAGAAGAAGUGUACAUGGACAUGCCAUCUAGUUAUGGAUUGUCUAAUAAUAGUGGGAAGGUGUGUAGGCUUCGAAAGACCCUUUAUGAAUUGAAGCAGUCUCUGCAAGCAUGGUUUGGAUGGUUCACUGAAGCAAUGAAGAAGUAUGGAUAUCAUCAAAGUAACUCAGAUCAUACCCUAUUUAUCAAACAUAAGGAUGGUAAUAUUACUUUGUUGAUAAUUUAUGUUGAUGAUAUGAUAGUUACUGGUGAUGAUGUUGUUCAAAUGGUUAAAUUACAGAAGUACUUAGCCUUAAAGUUUUUGCCAAGCUUGCUCAUUCCCUUUUUCUGAUUUUGAGUAUAACUUAUUAUAUAAUGAGUAGAGGUGGAUGUGGUUCAAAAACUACAAUUUUUCCGACAAACCGCAAAGCGCUUGAGACAAUGCGGUAUUGCAUAAUUUCAAACCGCUGUCUUUCGCAUAGUUGCGGUUAACUGUGAUUCGGUAGAACUGCAACUCCGGUAGGAGUCUUCAAAAAAAGUGGUAUCCAUCGAUUGACUAAGAAAAAGGGAGAGAGGGGGAGAAAUCAACCGAGAAAGAGAAGAGGGAGAGAGAUGAUUGGGAGAGAAUGAAGAAAAUAAAUUGCAGAUUGAAGAGAGAGAAGAAGAAAAGUAGAACAGGUAGAGAGAAAGAAUAAGAAAAUAUAUUAUAUAUACUAGCCUCUCCGCAAGUGCUUCCGCGCUUACAUGAGGUUUUUUUUUUUUGGUUAAAUUUAAAUUUAUUUUAGAAUUAAAAAAGAUAAUGAGUAGUUGUGUAGGAUCAAUUAUCUGAAUUUUCUUUUAAUUUUAAUUUUUUUAAUAUGAAAAAGUAUGAAUUUACCAUAUUAUCCUCAUUUAAUUAAUAAUUUCAAUUCUUUCUUUCCGCUCGAAACACAGAGAAGGUUCAUAGAGAGAGGUGGCGGUGAGAGCAGUAGAGAGGAGCAUAGUGAGAGACUGAGACAGAGAGCAGAGAGAGGUCGACGAGAUAUCAGAGAAGAGGAGAGAUAGCUUCGCGUUGAGAGUUCGAGAUUGAAGUGAGAAAGCUCUACGCCGUCUCUGCAUCUCUUUCCCGCUCUCCUCUUUGUUUAGGUACCAUAAUGUUUAUUUAAAUUGACAGGUUUGAUCAACGUGCUUAUGACAAUUGUCUAUGUAAUGAUGUUGUAUGAUUCUCGUGUAUGAAUUUAAAGAAAUGUCUCUUUGAAUUGAAUAGGGAACUUAAAAUGUUGCCAAGAUGGAGCAGAGCUGUCACUCAGCUCUCAAGGCUGGGUUCACAGCGUAACUUGAAUCUCAAAAAUUAAUUGUAUGUUAUUUCUUGCCAAAGCUAUGGCAGGGCUGCUGCAGCUGUGGCUCCAGAUACAGCUAUCACUGUGGAAAAACCUCUCUCUAGUGAGCCAGUGGUACGUUUUUUAGCUACCCAUCUGCAUUUAUGUGUGUAAGGUACUCACUUGUGUCUGUGUUUGGAAAUCAAACUUGCUGAUUUAGGUAAUAGUUGGUUGUAGUUUAAAUUAAGUUUGAUGAUUUACUUGUUAAUGGACAUAGAUUAUCCGGAAAUUAAAUCAUUAGCCAUGAAUCAUUCUUGUGAUCAUGUAUUUGUGUGUCUGUGUGUUGUUGGCCUUCGUCAAGCUGAAGCUUCUAGAAUUAUUUCAUUGCUGAGACUUAGUGUACCAAUGUUCAACAGGUAAAUCUAGACAAACUGUUUUGGUCUAAGCCAUGCUCAUUGGCUUUGGCCCCGGACUCCCCAUUAAGAAUUGAAGAGCCACAAUAUGCGGGAUUUAAACAUGCAAUCCUUAGGCUGAUGUUGUUUUAUAGCAAACAAAGCACGUCCAUUCGAGGGGCAAAUGUGGUAUGUAAGCGAAUCAUUUCACAAGUUGAUAAACCUGCCAUUUAUGAAGGUCAAAUUUUCUCUCUUCUUUCCUCUGUAUUUUCUUUAAUAAUCUUGUGGAUAUGAGGAUAAUUGGAAAUGUUUUUAAAGCAAGCUUAAUGGUGAGCUAAACUUUUCUCACAAAAUAUGCAGUAUUCAACUUGGAGAAAACCUUUAAGACAACAUUCUCUCUACUUGUACUUCAUAUGUGGCUUUGCUUACGCCGGUUGAAAGAAGACGGAAAGGAAGGAGUUGAAUUUGGGCAAUACAUAUACGAGACUUACAAUCACGAUGUGGAACUUAUAGAGUAUCUAAGGCUGGGGUAUGUGAUUAGUUCUCUUAUGUUAAGCUACAUAAUCCGCUUUGAACUUAAUGCUUACUGACAGUUUAGUUGCUUCUUGUUAAUGUUAUUUUCAGAUAAAAUCAAAUUGGAGGUCAUCAACUGUUUUUAAAAAGAAUUUUAAGUUAUUUGUUUAGUAUGGGUCAACAAACACAGGGAGUUUUCCAUAAUGAAUCUGUUUCUUAGGUUUUAACUGUUGUGCUUUUGGAAUAAGAGGUUAUGAGAACACGGUAUAAUUAUCAAAAAACCUUUGUAUAAUUAUCAAAACCUUUGUUUCUUAGGUUUUAACUUGUAGAACACGACCACAAUAAAACCUUUGUAUAAUUAUCAAAAGCAGCUCCGUUAUUUUUUCAAUUAUUUAUAAAAUUAAUUUCGCCUUGAGAAUUUGCAGACCAAUUGCUAGUCUUGAUGUAAUUAUGCGUUGGUUGUGAAUUACCAAUUAUCAAGGUAUUCGGUCGUUCGUUCCAUUUAGAUGGGGUAUGUCGCUCUUUUUUUCAUUAUCCCUGAAAAUGCUUUUGCUUUGUUAUGUUAGUUCUUGCACUCUGAAUUUGUUCAGUAUUCUUUCCCAUCAUAUAAAUUGCAUUCUUUUCCACGUAGUACAUGCAUCAGAUCAGAUGAAGCAACUAAGCAAAUUAUCAUAUUUAUAUAGACUAAAAGCGAAAGCUGGCUCAGUUUCCGCGAGUGGGGAUUAGUCGAGGUGCGCGUAAGCUGGCCCAGACACCUCAUGAUACUUACCAAAAAAAAGAAGAGGAAAGUGACAAAAAAGAAACAUUAGUUAUCAGCUUCAAAUGGAUGCUAUAAUUCAGAGGAUUGCAAGCUUUUAUUUAAAACAAAUAGACCCAUCCGAUCAUUGCAAUGAGGAAUUAUAUUGAGAAGCUUCCCCUUAGAGAUCAAGGCGACUCGGCCUUGUUUGUAUUGGGUUUGUGCCUAGUUACUUAUGUCACAGGCUUGUGGACUUGGAUCUUCUUGGGGCCUUAUGGCGAGGAGGUGCAUCCAAUUUUUCUUCCUCAAUUUCCUGCGUAGGUAAAGGGAAUGUCAACAUAUAUCCCAAUGGCAAUAGGAAGGAAGUCAACGAAAAAGAGUUGAUUUGUAGGUGGGUCCUACACUCCCACAACAUCUGAAGGUCGUCCUAUAAGUAUACGUGCAGCCAUGCAUCUUCCCUCCAUCUCUCCAAGCAAGCUCUUCUCUUCUCUUCUCUCUUGUUUUUUCUUCUUUAAAUCGUUGAUUACAGAAGUUGAAUUUGAAGCCAUCAUUUUAAGACAAUGUUCAUUACUUAUGCUAUCAGGAAGCCUUUGACUUAAGGGCAUUGUGCUUUUCGUCCUUGUACCAGCUUCAUAAUGUUUAUUUGGAAUUCUGAAUCAUGUGUUUCACAUAUUGUGCAGGGGCCCCGGAUGACCAAGGGAAAUUAGCAACAGUUUACAAGUCCGAAAAGAGGAAUGAGAUGGUGAAAGAGGGAUACAGAAUUCUUGGCAACUCUGGAGACCAGUGGAGUGACAUACUAGGUACCUCAAUCUCAAUGUCCAUCCGCCCAUUCAAGCUUCCGAAUCCAAUGUAUUAUAUUCCAUGAUAGGGCAAGCAUCUUCAUUGAAGGGGAAUUAAAUAAGAAAUAAAGAAAAUGGUUAUAGAGAUUUAAGUAAUUAAGCAACAAUUUGAAGGGGAAUUUAGUCAUGUAAGUACCUGAUCUCUUAGACCCCUGUAGUCCAAGAGAUUUAUGGUCACUCACCGUUGGAUGUAAAUUCAACGGUUGACUUGAAUCGGGUAAUAAUCAUUUAUGUCAUAUUGCAUUUAUAUAUAUCAUUUUGAACCAUUGGAUUAAUAUCCAACGGUGGGUGACCACAAUCUCUUGGACUCCUGUGGUCCAAGAGAUCGGGACUGCUUAUAAUGAAUAAUAAAAUAAUCAAUAACAUUAAAUGGAUUAAAUAGGAAAUAAAUAAAUUAAAUUAAGUAAUUAAGUAAUUAAUCAACAAUAUAAAACAAUAAAUAAUUAUGUUAUAAAUACGAGAUUCCAAUAAUAAUCACAAAAUGACCACUAGCAUGGUGGUUAAGUGGCUCCAGAACUUGAAAGGGGGAGGGGUUCGAACCCCUUUGUGCGUGAGUUUAAGUGAAUUAUUUAAUUUUUGAAAGUUCAUCAGAUGUGCCCAAUCAUGUCUUAUAGGGGAAGAAUAUAGUAAAGGAAGCACAAAAUUUCUUUGAGAGGAAUACCACUAGACAUAUUAUCACUAGAAGACAAGGUAAAAUAUGUCAUUGCUGAUUAUGUCUCCACACACAGAUGGAGGCCUUACAGAAGAAUGGAACAUGGGAGAUAGUUUUACAACCUGAAGGAAAGAAGUGUACAUGGACAUGCCACCUAGUUAUGGGUUGUCUAAUAAUAAUGGGAAUGUGUGUAGGCUUCGAAAGGCCCUUUAUGGAUUGAAGCAGUCUCCUGAGCAUGGUUUGAAUCGAUGGUUCACUGAAGCAAUGAAGAGGUAUGGAUAUCAUCAAGGUAACUCAGAUCAUACCCUAUUUAUCAAAUGUAGAGAUGGUAAGAUUACUUUGCUGAUAAUCUAUGUCGAUGAUAUGGUAGUUACUGGUGAUGAUGUUGUUGAAAUGGUUAAAUUAUAGAAGUACUUAGCCUUAGAGUUUGAGAGGAAGGACUUGAGGCCUUUGAAGUAUUUUCUGGGGAUCGAAGUAACUCGCUCUGCUACUAGUAUUUGUUUAUCUCAAAAGAAGUAUAUUCUAGACUUGUUGACAGAAACUGGUAUGUUAGGGUAUGCACCAGUCGAAACCCCUAUUGUGCAGAACCAUCACCUCAAAAUCUAUCUUGAUCAAGAGCCAACCAACAAGGAGAGAUAUUAGAGGUUAGUGGGAAGAAUAAUUUAUCUUUUUCACACUAGGCCAUAUAUCGCAUAUGCAGUUAGUGUUAUUAGCCAGUUCUUGCAUUCUGCUAGUGAGGAUCACUUAGCGGCAAUUAUGAGGAUUUUGAGUUAUUUGAAGAAAGCUGCAGGCCGCGGCUUGAUAUUCAAAAAUUUGGGACAUUUAGAUGUCAAGGGUUAUACGGAUGGAGAUUGGGCAUACAAUAUAACACAUAGAAGUUCUACAUUAGGUUACUUCAUUUUCAUUGGGGGUAAUUUCGUUACAUGGCGACGUAAGAAGCAGAAUGUAGUGGCUCGAUCUUCAGCUGAGGAAAAAUACAGGGGCAUAGCACAGGGAGUUUGUGAGCUUCUUUGGCUAAGGAUAAUCCUAUCUGAAAUUGAUUUUCCAUCAAAGAAAGUCAUGGAGCUUUACUGUGACAACAAAGCCAUGAGAGAGAUAGCAAAUAAUCUGCUUGGGGAAGAACAUGACAAAACUAGAAUAGGCAUUAUAUUGAAUAAAUAAAAUUCAAAAUUUACUAAUAAUAAGAUAUACAUAUGAUAAAAUAUAAGUGGUAUGUAAUGCGCGUUAAUGAAAAGUUUGAAAAUAAAAUGUUGAUUAGAAUGAAUAAACCAUGCAUAAAUCCAUAGUUUGUUUAAACAUUGGAUUACAAUCUAGAUAAGUGUCCACCUAUAUAAAUGAAGAGCUCCUAUGAGGUUCAAACAAUGAGGAACAACUAUCUAGAUUCAUACAAUAGUCAUACCAAGUCAUGUAACCCGAGCAGUUUGUAAGCCAUGUUUGAACAUGGUGCACAUAGGUUUCUCUUGAGCUCCCUACUGUCCAUAAUUUGCUUCAUCAUCUUGAGCUUCAUAACUAGUUCCAUUAUAAUCAGACAUGACAUAACCAUAGCCGUCAUAAGAUUCAUUUAAGUUAGUACUAGGUCUAGCUCAUAGAUCCAAAACUGAUCGCCAUGUCCUCUUCAGAUUGAUUGGAGGUAUGUGGGCAAUGGACUGUGCAUAGAUUCUUCAUAUUAAGAAAUUAUAGGGUUCUGAGUGAGGAUUAGCUAUUUUUGGGUUUCAAUUUGCUUCAAUUGCCUUCAUAACAUCUGAAUAUUUUUUGGGUUCUGUUAUGGGUAUCUGGAAAUAUCGGCGAUAUCGGCAGAAUAUCGGGGAUAUCACACUUAAAGGGGAUAUAUCGUAGAUACAGGGGAAGAUAUGGCCUUACUCCCCCAGUAUCGGUUUCAACAAUUAAAAAUACUGAUAUAUCGGUGUAUUGGCCGAUAUUUCAAUCCUUGCUUGUAAUUAGCUAAUUACCUUUCCUUGUAGAAAAAGUCAACUUGUAUUUGUAUAUAUAUCCUCCUCUUGGAGAAAUAUAAUAUUCAUUCACAAUUAUUUAAUCCAUAUGUGUUUAGUUUGAGUGAUAUUGCGUUUUCCGAUGUGUAAGUUUUUCAGUCUAUAACUUACAAGUAAGAGAUAACCAUUUCACUCUGUAAGUUACUGAUAAGAUAUUGGCUUUUCACUAUAUAACUUACUAGUAAGAAAUAGGCCUUUCAAUUUACCAUCAAAACUGAAAUCUUGGUGGAGGCUCUGCACGUCAUCUCAAUUUACCGUCUAAACUGUCUAUUCAUUUAUGACAGAAAUAGUUAGCGAUUAUUAUACUUUUGAUCAUUUACUAAAUUUGGAUCUCCCUACAGUAUUUGUUCGUUGCUCGGAUGAUUUGUGCGAGAUUUGUUGUGAUAUUCCCUUUGGGGUUGAGAAUUUGUUUUACAAGAAGCCAAGCCAUUGGAGAAUUUUUGUUCUUUCCUGUUUUGGGGAAAUUAUUUUGGUGAGUAUGUUAUGACAGUGUUGUGAUCUAAAAGCCAAUCAAUCAUUUGGGUACACGUAUUAUUGGAAGCCACUUGAAGGUUCUAAUGUAGAAAAAUCCUAAGCAUACAACUAACUUGACCAGCUCAAAAAUCAUCUCCAAAAUAAUUCUCUUUCUUCUUCUUCCUCUUCUUACAAAUUUGACAAAAAAUAUUUAACUAGGGAACAUUCACUGGGAGAUGUCAUGAUCAGUGAGGGUAUUAAGGGGUAAGAUUGGAAUUAAAAAGUUAGAGCAGAUUAACCUAGAGAAACUUCUAUAACACUCAAUGCCCAGGUGGCCAAUCAAAGGAGAAAAAAAAAAAAACACCAAUCACACAAUCACUAUUUAUGUACAACCAAGGCCAUAUGUGUAACUUUCUAUAAAGCUAGAUCAAACAACUUCUUUGUUCUCAUCAGAUCACUGUGGUGCUUUAUAUAAAGCUUAUAACUUCGGAAAUACACAACAUAAACGGUUUGGAAAAGGAAAGAAAGAAAAGAAAAACUAGAGAGGGAAAUUAUCAUUAUUAGCUAUAACUAGCAAGACGCUAUAGUGAUCUUAGAGCAAUGAGGCCUUCAGCAAACUCCACCUCUGCGGCUACUGGCCAGGAUGCCGUGCUCAGAAACUGGAAGUCUCCAAUACCAUACCUCUUCGGUGGCCUAGCCCUCAUGUUGGGGCUCGUCGCGGUUGCACUGCUGAUUCUUGCUUGCUCCUUCCACAAAACGCCGUCGUCCAACAGCUCAACAAGCAGUGAUGCAGAUCAAGAUCAGAAACCAACUAGGCCAGUGGACAUAGAGGCUGCAGAUUCUGAGCCCAAGAUUGUUGUCAUAAUGGCUGGAGAGAAAACAGCAACAUACUUGGCCAAGCCAAUGUGUUCCAAUACUUACCAAACCGAUCAAAGUGUUUGAAAUCUCUGCUUCAAAAUGCCUUUCUUUUUGUUUUGUUUUCUAUCUCGGUUUCUUGCAGCUCUAUUUGUUGGUCUCUCUCUCUUAGUACAUGCUUGUUAGCUGUUGCGGGAAUAUCUAAUCGAAGAGAGCUCUAUAUAUAAAGGGUAUAUGUUAAAUCAUAAGAACUUGUUAUACAAUUCAUUUUCUUCUCUUUUCAAUCUGUUCUUAUGUGAGGAUGAUCUAUAGCGAGCUAGUUUACAAUCCGGUUCUCAACUUGUUAGGCUUCAAAGUUUAGGACAUUGGCCUUGAUUCGAAAUUAAUAAACAUUUAUUUUUCCUGCUGGGUUAUUUUCUUUUUCUUUUUUCCUGCUUUGUGAUGAUGGUGCUGUAAUCUUUAAGCCAAGCAAGCUUGAACUUGGGCAAAUCUUGGGUUGAAGGUUUCCGUAGAGAAAAGUUCAACAAUAUUCCACGUGAGAUCACGUGAGAUGGUAUUUAUUUCAUAUUUUGCAGCUAUAAUAAGAAUCACUUGCACAUUUGCGACUGCUUCUCUAAGAUGCACUUCUACUCAUAAUUGUUUUUAUUAUAAAGAUGUUGAAAUUUCAUAAAAAAUCAAAGUGCGUCCUUGAAAAAUACUUAGGAGUGCUUCCUGAAGAAGUGCAUGACAGGUGCUUCUCCAGAAAGCACUUCUAUGACCCAAAAGCACUUCUAGACUUUUCAACCAAACACUGUAAAAAAUGCUUUUUGUUGUCAGAAAGCGCUUUUAGCCCUUCCAGAAGCACUCCCAAAUGAGAUUAAUAUUAGGUUCUUAAUUAUUUUUACCUUCAGGUUCAACAAUUUAAAUCUCAUAUUUGCAAGCUUUUCCCCAAAACAGCUUUUUGCCGCUGAAUUCCAACUACCAUCACUUGAACGAAGGGAUAAAUAUGAAAAAGAUAUUAACGUUAAUUACAAGGUGGUAUGUAUUAUUAUAUCCAUCAAUAAGCUGACUUAAUUAGAAGAAGUCGGACCCCCUGCAGUCUGCGCAAGAGUCUUCCAUCAAUCCCAUAAUUACCAACUGCGGUCUUUUAAUACGCUACUUUACCACAUCUUUAGCCAAUCUUAAGCCAACUAUGUUUGACAGAAAUGCAAAAGCCGAAGAACGUAACCAAUGGAUUUAGAUUAAACAGAGAAGUGGCUUCUCGGAGAUGUAUUUUUAGAGUGCACAUUUUCUUGGAUAUGACACAAAUUAGUAUAAAAGGAACUCAAUUUCCAUUUUGGACGUCAUUAAGUCUAGACGUGUGGACACAUGAAAUGAUGAGUUCCACUGGGUUUUAUAUUUAUAUAUUUUCACAUUUUCUCUGAAGUUUCUUAGGAAAGUGUUAUAGAAGUUGACCAAAUCCAUAUCAAAAUCUCAUUUUCUUGAUGGGAAUAGUUUAAAUCUUUUUUUAUACAAGCACUACUGAAGGAGAGAUGAUUCGAACACCGAACCUCCAGUCGAGUGUAGAGAAAAUUAUUUUUAACCACUUAAGCUAUAAGCCCUAUACUAAUAGUUUAUAUAAAUUAGUUUGUCAUCAAUUAUACUUUCUUGAUGGGAAUUUAUAAUUACCUUAAUGCCGGGGGCACAAGGUCAAAACCACCUCAACCAUGAUAGAUAAACAUGAAAACCAAUUUAUAUAAACUAAUUAGUUUAAUAAUUAUUAAUGGGAGUUUGGCAGAAUGCAUGGAGUCAUAGACCAUGGUAUUGGAUUAGGUGAAAGAGAAGUGGCGUCUCGGUGAUGUAUUUUGCCUACUGUUACUAAUGGAAGACCUAGAAAUUUAGAUCCAUACAUGCAAUAUUAAUAGUAAAAGCAAAAAAAAAAAGGUGGUGGUUUUCUUAGUAUAUUAGAAUCUUGGAUAUGGCAAAUUAGUCUUAAAGGAAGUGCAUUUCCACAUCAUCUUCUUCUUUAGUGGGAAACACUGGACAUCAUGUAUGAAUAUGCUAAUUUUCCACUAGGUUUUUUGUAUUAUUUAUUUAUGUUAGAAUAUAUUUUGAAAUUAUCAUGUGAAAUUAAUUUGCAUAUUCACAAUCGUACAUGCGCACAUGAACAACUUCGCUAGCGCAUAUAUCAUCCUAAUUCCCUUAUUCUUUAGCUAAGAAUUGAUGCCUCAAACCUAUGAUGUACUACUGCCUGCCACUGCUUGCAGUGUCGAGACUACCUAGAAAAAGAAAAUUGUUUCUAGACUGUAGGGUUGAUGUCUGUGGAUGCAAAUAUGCGAGGGCUUGAAAACGUACGCAUGUAGGGUUUACAAUGUUAUACAUGUGAAUGUUAUGAACGAAAUCAAAUUGGAUAUCUUUUAAAGUUGAAAAAACAAAAACAUGGGGAUUUUCUUUUCACCCUCAUCUGUUUGAAGUUGGCUAAACAAAACUGAUGGGAGGUUGAAAAGUUUUCAAAAAAGUUGGUUCUCCAUUUCAACAAUUCUUUUUCAUUUGUGGGACAUCAUUAUAUAUGCUGUGUUAGUGUUUACAUCAACAUUUCGUGCUUAGCUUUUUAUAUAGAAAAAGGAAACUUUUUUGGAUGUCACUGAGAUAUUAAAGGGAAGAUGUCAACAUGCAUAUAGCUGGAAGGAUUGCGUUGUUUGACGUCUAUGUCUAGAGGCCUUGAUUUCAUGGGAACAUGUUCACCUCAAGAAGCUGAUUGAAGCUGCUAACCACUUGUGAUAACCUAGACCACACAAUUUCUUCAUGCCUAUCCAUAUUUAAUUAUCUGAAAAAAGUUGUACGCAAAGGUCUUUUUAACAAUAAAGUUUCAUUGAUCAAAGAAACCCUAAAAACACAGAUUGCACAAACAAAUCUAAUUGCCUCCUUUCCUUUUUGCGUCGUUUUUUGUAUAAUUAAUUUGCAAAUCUCUUUUAGAUCAUGAGGUUCUCUUUACUUUUAAAGAAGAGUAGGUAUGUGAUUCGAAUUCUAGCCUCGAGUGCGUGGAUACAUGCUCACUAGCUACCCAGUGAACCUGCCCUACAAGCCCUACAAGCCAGAAGCAUGAGAUCCUCAUUUGAUAAACAAAAAGAAUGAUCAAAAUUGCAUUCAAAGUGUCGGCAUGCGUUGGAGUAGAUCGACACAUAGCUUGCUUGGAAACCCAAUUAGUAAAAGUGAAUGUUCAUAAUUAUUAUGAAAUAGCAGAAUAAGAAUGUGGAGUUGAGGGUCCAAACUUUUUUCUUUUUUCUUGCUCUUUCUGGUUCGUUGAACGACAGCACAUGGCUUUGCACUUAGCUUUGGUGUGCUGUGCUGGGAGGGUGAAAUGCUUUGGUGGGCUGCUUCCAAUCCAAAUAUUGGAGGGGCCGCUAUUCAAAUAUACAGAGCAUAUUUUAGUGACGCAAGAUAUACAAUAUUGCACUAAAUGUAAACAGUUAUUUUCUCAUUCGGAUGUCGUGCGGAUGUCAUUGUAAACAUGAAGAAAAGUAGAGAAAGAUAAUAAAAAAUACAUGACAUUCGCACGGUAAUAACGUCUGGUCUGAACAUCUAUAUAUAUAUAUAUUUCAUUAUUAGUUGUUCAAUCUUUAACGUACACCUUAAGUGAAAUUAAUCGUCCUUUUCCAACUGAACUAUUUAAGGUACGAAUUGGCAGGCUAGCUUGUACGUGGAUCACCAAGGACCGCAUAAAAACAAAACUUCCUUACAGAUGCCUGAUUAACUAAAGCUAAGAUUUAAUUAAAGCUAAGAUUGGGGAAUGAGUCAGAUAGAGUGACCCAUUAAGCAAUCCACUCCACUAGAAAAUGAAUAAUUAAAUUAAAAGAGAUAAAAAAAGAAAACCAAGAGAACAAAUAGAUGAAGAAAAAUAGCAAGCAGAAAAAGAGUAUAGUAACUUUGGGACCCUAUGUUCCCUCUUCUAAAUUUUUCCCUUUCCCCGUGGACCCUGGCAAAGGAAAAAAUUGCCAAGUUUGGCUUAGGUCACAAUUCUACUAACUAAUUGAUGAUGCGUUUUCAUAUGAGGGAGAAGAAGAUUAAAAUAAAUAAAUAAAUAAGCAAUUAUAACAUUUAUCAUCUCAAAAAUCGAAACCAUAGCACUUGUUUUCAGGACAUUAUAGCUGCAGCCUGCAGGCAUUUUUGGACCACCUUAUCACAAUAUUUUUGUGUUAAAACCUCAAAAAUUCUUUAACUCUGUCCCUUUGUUUUUCAUUUGCCAACGUAUAAAAAGAAAAGUCCAUAUUAUUAAUUACAAAGAGAAUAUAACCUGCAAAUGAUCCACUAGUGUAGCGGUUUAGAGCAACUACUCUCUCAGGCAAGGUCUUGAGUUCGAGUUAUCUUAGCAUCCGUGUAGUGUAUGUGAGUUUAGUAUAUUAUCACCACUCUCAAUAGAAAAAGUCCUAAAAAAAAUAGAAUAGAACAUAACUAGCAUAUCUUCCCAUUUUGUAGAAGACAUUGGUUAAGAAUUCCAAUACAUAUGAAGACUCAUUUUCCCAUUUAUAUCUUUUCAUAUAAGUGUUUCUCCUUUCCCUUAUAUAUACAAGACCUAGACGGUUCCCACACACCAACAUCUAGCUACUUCUGAUAAUUAGAAAUUAAUUGAAAUGAGCAUUAUGCAUAUUUGUAGAAGAAGGUAAACAAAUAUUAAGAGACCAACUUUUGAAACAAUCUCUAUUAAGGGAAAUGGGAACAAUUUUGUGAUCAAACGGAAUUUGACUAAGUGGUUCCUACAAAUUUAUUAGGACCCAAAAAGUCUCAACUACUUUGAAGGGAAAUUUUGACAAACCUCAACAAGCUCAUUUUCUUAUGUUGGUUGACAUCUUAUUUCCACCACAUGAUGAGUUUUCUGACAAUUACCAAUGACUUGAAAUCUUACCCUUUUUGAGUUUUGAUCGAUAUCUCAUAGUACCAACUUUCUUGAGAGCUCUAUAAGGCAAAACAGACCCUUAACAAACCCAUGCCAUUGCCCCAAUUAGUACAAAUAUUUUCUUCUACCAAAUGAUUGAUGAGGCACAAAGAAAAAGAAGAGAACAAUUCGAAAGCAUAUUCCUUUGGUCUUUUUAGGAAAUUGGCAUAAACUAAAUUACCCUUAUUUUUAGUGCCCCAAAAAACCCAAAAGUUCAUGUUUAUUAAUAUUUUUCUAAGAGCAAAUGGCAUGCACUUUUUUAACACCCAAAUCACUUUUGGCACCAUCAAAGUACUAGUACUUGAGCAUCUGAGAAGGCACCAAGAAGCUAAAAUCUUCCUCUUAAACCCAUAGGGGCAAUAUAGUCAUUGAAAAGUUGAACCCCCAUACCUCUUUAUAUAUUGUUGAGGCACCAACCUCAUUUCUUCACACUAAACAAAAGAAAGAAAGAAAGAAAGCAAAUUACCAAAUAAGAAGAGAGAAAAUGAGUUCUGCAAGUUCAACCACAAGCCCCAUUUCAUCACCAGCCAGAAUCCACCACCUAUGGAAAUCUCCAUUGCCUUACCUCUUUGGCAGCUUAGGCCUAAUGCUGGUUGUGAUUUCUGUUGCACUAGUCAUCCUUUUUUGUUCAUACCGCAAACCGUCUUCGAGUGAAGAUGAAGAGGAAGAGAAGCCGGCAAAACCCUUGAACGCAGUGCUCGAUGAUGAGAGAAAGAUUGCAAUUGUCAUAAUGGCAGGGGAAGACAAGCCCACCCACUUAGCUACAGAGAUCAUCAUCACUUCACCAACUUGCUACUGUUCUUGCUCUUCUGAGACUGAUCAGAAAGCCUAAGGGAUCAUCUAGCAGCUAGAACUAGAAAAAAUUAAAAAGUUUUGGUCUACCCCUUACUUUGAUUUGAUCUUUCUUUCAAUUUUUUGUUUUUUUAGUUUCGUUAGUGUUGUCGGGAAUAUGUAAAUUGAUUAUGAGAGUUUUUCUCAGCAAAUCGUUAUAACCAAGGAGCUCUUUAUAUUAACAUGUAUGCUAUUGUUUUUAGCAUAACUUGGUUCUGAUAUAUUAACCAAGAAGCAUAGUUUUUUUUCCUUCUUUUAAUUGAGAUUGAGCAGAGAAACCUUGUUUUGUCUAAUGAGAGUAUUCAACCAUUUGAAAAGCUACACGUUAUCCCAACAGAUUUUAUAUAAAAAUUGUGUAAACAAAAAAAAAAAAAAGGACCAUUAGAAACUUUUCUAAAGAAAAAUAGAAUCUAAUAUGAAUAAUGCUACUCUUACCACAUUUGUAUACCACAUUCUCAUAUCACUUUAUGUGGCAUAUGAGGUGGACAACCACAUCAAUUAAAUUAAUUUAACAUUUUCUUUUCUUUUAUGAUUUAUUGACACUUUUUAAUUGAUGUGGUUGUCCACUUCAUCUGCCACAUAAAAUGGUAUGAGAAUGUGGUAUACAAAUAUGGUAAGAGUAGCAUUACUCAUCUAAUAUUGGUUUUGUAUAUGUGGAGAUUAUAUGCUUGUCUCAAGAUAAUCUAAUUGUAUAUAAACGGUUAUGUGGAGAUUUAUUUAUAAAGGUUCAACAUUGUCCUGAUAAUAUAUUAACUAUAACCAUCUUCAAGGAUGACAACAUCAUGUGCGUCCCAAUUGAAUUAUCGGCUCUAAUACCACUUAUUGAGAUCUACACUUACUAAAUCUCAUACAUGUUAAUAAAGAUAUUGUUCCCAACUUAAAUAAAUUUUUAAGUGCUGAAUCUCAUUGAAUAGCUUUGUAACGUAUUUUUUUUCCUAGCACAUAAUGAUUUGAUUUUUACUUAGAAUUCCUGAACUUGGACGAAAAGAGGAGCAAAGUUCAUGAACUAAAGCACUCUAAUUGAGAUUGGGCAGAGAAACCUUGUUUUGUCUAAUGAGUAUUCCACCAUUUGAAAAGCUACACGUUAUCCCAACAGAUUUUAUAUAUAAAAUUGUGUGAACAAAAAGAGGACCAUUAGAAACUUUUUCUAAAGGAAAAUAUAAUCUAAUAUUGGUUUUGUAUGUGUGAAGAUUAUGUGUUUCUCUUAAGAUAAUUCAAUUGUAUAAAUUAAUGGUUAUGUGGAGAUUUAUUUAUUUUUGAAGGUUUAAUAUUGUCCUGAUAAUAUGUUAAAUAUAAUCAUCUUCAAGGGGUGAUAAUAUCAUAUGUGUCCUAACUGAAUGAUCGGCUCUAAUACCAUUUAUUGAGAUCUACACAGACUAAUAAAUCUCAUACAUGUUAAUAAAGAUAUUGUUCAUAACUUAACUAUUGUAUAAAUUUUCAAAUGCAUAUAAUCUCAUUGAAAAGCUUUGUAACCUUUUUUUUUUUUUCCCUAGCACAUAAUGAUUUGAUUUUUACUUAGAAUUCCUGAACUUGGACGAAAAGAGGCGCAAAGUUAAUGAACUAGAGCAUUCUUUUAAUUGAGAUUGAGCAGAGAAACCUUGUUUUGUCUAAUGAAUAUUCAACCAUUUGAAAAGCUACACGUUAUCCCAACAGAUUAUAUAUAUAAAAUUGCGUGAACAAAAAAAGGACCAUUAGAAACUUUUCUGAAGAAAAAUAAAAUCUAAUAUUGGUUUUGUAUGUGUGGAGAUUAUAUGUUUGUCUCAAGAUAAUUCAAUUGUAUAAACGGUUAUGUGGAGAUUUAUUUAUUUAUGAAGGUUCAAUAUUGUCCUGAUAAUAUGUUAACUAUAUAUAACCAUCUUCAGGGUGAUAACAUCAUGUGCGUCCCAACUGAACCAUCGGCUCUAAUAUCACUUAUUGAGAUUUACACUUAUUAAAUCUCAUACAUGUUAAUAAAAAUAUUGUUCUUGACUUAACUAUUGUAUAAAUUUUCAAGUACAUAUAAUCUCAUUGAAAAGCUUUGUAACCUUCUUUUUUUUUUCCUAGCACGUAAUGAUUUGAUUUUUACUUAGAAUUCCUGAACUUGGACGAAAAGAGGAGCAAAGUUCAUGAACUAGAUCCUUCUUUUAAUUGAGAUUGAGCAGAGAGACCUUGUUUUGUCUAAUGAGUAUUUAACAAUUUGAAAAGCUACACGAUAUCCCAACAGAUUAUAUAUAUAUAAUUGUGUGAACCAAAAAAGGACCAUUAGAAACUUUGCUAAAGGAAAUUAGAAUCUAAUAUUGGUUUUGUAUGUGUGGAGAUUAUAUGUUUGUUUUAAGAUAAUUCAAUUGUAUAAAUGGUUAUGUGGAGAUUUAUUUAUUUUUGAAGGUUCAAGUUGUCCUAAUAAUAUGUUAAAUAUAACCAUCUUCAAGGGAUGAUAACAUCAUAUGUGUUCCAACUGAACCGUCGGCUCUAAUACCACUUAUAGAGAUCUACAUAAACUAAUAAAUCUCAUACAUGUUAAUAAAGAUAUUGUUCCCAACUUAACUAUUGUAUAAAUAAAUUUUCAAGUGCGCAUAAUCUCAUUGAAAAGCUUUGUAAUCUUUUUUUUUCCUAGCAUAUAAUGAUUUGAUUUUUUACCUAGAAUUCCUGAACUUGGACGAAAAGAAAAGCAAAGUUCAUGAACUAGAUCAUUCUUUUAUUAGAAAAUCCAAGGAAUUAAAAGGCUGAUCAAAAGAGCCAAAACUAGAUGUGAUAUUGGGAGGUGCAGGUUUGUCGAUGAUCCUCCUCAUCUUGGUCCUAUUGCCAAUCCAAGUCAUACAUAAUGCCAUUGGAUAACAGAGCAUCUGGGCAUGUGAAGAGCUCCCCCUUUCUGCUGUUUCGAAACAGCCUUUCAUCAACCACUGGCUAUGAGGCUAUGAGGCUAUGAGCCUACGAGCCUAUAAAAAAGAAUAAAAAACAAACCAUGACAUUGCUUUGCACUAAAAAGUUGUUUUUUGUUGCUGAAUAAAUUUUUAUUUUCAGUGGGCAGACGCGGCGGCUUGGAAAAUACACAAUAGGAUAAAAUGAUGGCUUCCACUGGGAAUAAUGGGGGACUUUAAUUUGUGAGGCUUAUUUUUCAACUACCCUUAUUAUAAUUAUAUAUAUAUGUGGAUAUAUUCUAAGGAUAUUCCAGGUCAAAAACUAGGGCUUUUAUUUUUUAGGGUUUAAAAUGUGAAACACUGUGGCAUGGACAACUCUUUGGUCAUAUCAAAUCCAGGCAUGGUGUAGAUUGUACCUUUCGCAACAGAAGCUUUUGUUUGCGGCUAGGUAUGUAGAUUGAUCAUCUUUGCAUCACCUUAUCUGAUCAAUUAUUUUUCUGUGCAGAUUGCAGAACAAACUAAUGGUAGGCAAAUGCACCAUUUGGAAUGAUCUGAGGGGGCCUCACCUCAAAAGGAAUGGCUAAGCACCACAAAAAAAAAAAAAAAAAAU
rnacentral:lncRNA from 1 species